rnacentral:lncRNA from 1 species
UAUUAUAGACUUAUUUACGCUCUAAAAUGGCUAGGUAUAUAUAUAAAUCAAUCGCACCAAUCAAUAUCACACAAUCAUAAUAUUUAUUUAUUAUAAUCUGGUGUCACAAAGCACACAAACACACACACAGUUGCCAAGUAGGAGAGUACAUAUUACUAUAGAAAACAAACAGCUUGGUAACUAGGACCACUUAUUCAGUACAUAUACAUUUCAUAACUCUCAUUUCAUAGUUUAGAAAUGAGUGUUAUCUUCUUUUGGAGGGUGGUGAGGAUGUGGUUUGGGUAAGUUGGUAGGAAGUAUAGGAUGAGGUUUAGAACCUUGAUGAGGAAAUUCUUGAGUAGACGGUGGAUGUUUUGGAUGAUGAUGACGAGGAACUUCUUGAGUAGACGGUGGAUGGUUUGGAUGAUGAUGAGGUUGAGAAGCAAAGCCUUGAGGGAUGAGAAUAAGAGAUGCAAGGAAAAACACAAGCAAGUAUGAGGAAAAAGAAGUCAUCUUAAUCUUAAUUAGUGUGAUUUUAGUAUUGGUGCAUAAAACAUAAGAAAUAAUAUAAUGUUUUAUACUAGUUAGAUUAGAGACAUUGGUGAGUGGGAGGUGCAAUUAUUGAUCAAAUACGUCAGGCUAUUGCCAUAUGCUUACGGAUUAACCUACACGUCACAAAGCAUAUCAAAUUAACUUUUUAAAAGCCUAAUUUAUCGGAAUUAUUGAUUCUGGAUUAGGAUUAAAAAAUCUGCAAUUUUUUAAUUAGGUUUUUCUUGUGGAGGUAGAUGUGUGUCUGUUAACCUGCAUAUAUUAUAUAUAGAGGUUGAAGUUUAAAUUUAGAACAUCCCAUUUAUUUAUUUUGUAAAAAGUAAUAUUUCUAUAAAAGUGUAAAUAACAAAUAAAUACAUUUUUGAAAUAAACGAGAAAGAAGAAACUUAACAAGAACAAAUAAUGUUAUUUUAUAAAAAUUUCUAUGAGUAUUAGUCAAAGUGAGAUAUGUUUAAUUAGUGUUUUUCUUAUGUUGGGCUAGGUUUGGUUAGUAGAAUAAAAACUGCAAAUCAAAACAAAUCAUGUUGUUGAGUAAGAAAAUGAUAUGAAUACAUCCGAAUCAAAGUGUUGUUUUUAAAAUUACAGUGAGUAAGAAACUAAGCUAUGAUAGUGUUGUUUUUAAAAUGCACUACAGUGAGUUGAAGAAAGUGCGAGUGUGUGUUUCUGUUGCAAAAACAUAAAAGUAUUUGUAUAUUUAUUAUUUUAUUUAUUUUGAUAGCAGAGAAAUAUUUAUUCACAAUGAGACCCAUCAGUACAUAAAAUAAAAACCCCGCUCAAACCAAAGUACUCGAAAAUUAAAUUGUUGUUGUUGGCUAUCAGGUAUGUUUCAUCGAGUUAGAAUCCUCUUCAUUUAGUGUACUCUUCAAUCUCCAUUUAUUCUAUUUAGAUUAUCCACAAUGGAGCACUUUAUUUGGGUGUUUAAACGGACUCCGGCUGUACACGUCAUUUGUUUUAUAAUUAAUACUAAAUAAGCAAUCAAUCUCUCCAAUCCAGCACCACAAAAUAAUUACUAAUUGGGUCCCUGCAAAACACUAUAUAAUUUAAUUUUAACAAUAAUUUAUAUAUUCAUUCAUAAUUAUAUAAUUUAAAAAUAUUGAAGUAAUUUAAUUAUAAAUAAUAAAAAAGUUAAAACUUGAAAAAACAAUAUAAAAUAAAUGAUGGUAAAUUAUUUGUUGUUUUGUUAAAAUCCAAUCAUUGUAUGCUUGUUUUUUUUUUUUUUUUUCCAUUCAAAUCGGUAAAUUAUUUUUGUUUUAAAAAAAGUUUUUGUUCAAAAUUUAACGUUGAUCGAUUAAAUAUUACUCUUACAACUUAUAAUUUACUUUUCAAUAUUGAAAUAAUACAACAAUUGAAUUGAGAAAAAAAAUAUAAUUAAUUGUAUAUGUGGGACCCAUGAGUAAUAAGAGAGAGUGCCUAUAAAAGCAUUUAUCUUUAUAAGUGACGUAUUAAUUUGUUUUACAAUGGGGUGCUUAUUUAGCGUGAUGCUAGAAAAAGGACUCCUAUUGUAGAUGGUCUAAAAAUUGUAGUCUUCACAAUUAGAACACGUAAACAAAAGACUUUUUGACUUUAGAAUACCGCUUUUAACUUUAAGUUUUUUUUUUUUUUUUUUUGUCAAGUAGCCUAGUGAUUAGAGCUCACACAAUUUAAUUGUGAAGAAGUGGAGUGUUCGAGGUUCGAACCCCAGCUCCUGCAUAUAAUAUGCAAUAUCCCUACCAACUGAGCUAAGCUAAGUUUUUAAAUUUAACUUUUAGAUUAAACUAAAAAAAUACAUGUGAUCACGCGUUGUUGGUUAAAAUACUAGGAAAUUUCACCCAAAAAAAAUAUUAAGGUAAUGUAAUCAUUAUAAUAUCACGAGUAAUAAUUUAAUCAUUGUCAAAAAAGAGUAAAGUAUUUAAAAAAAGAAUGAGGUAAAGUAUGAUUUUAGUCUCUGAAAUUAUUAACUUUUGCGUCAUUGCCAUAAAAAAAAAUUGGCACUUCUGUUCUUACACAACUUUCUUGCAUGCAAUUUUAGUCAUUACUAAAACAAUUUUUUAAAUUAUUCUUAAACUUUUUAAAAUCUUAAAUGAUUUUGUUCAAGUAUGAUUAGAAUAAUAUAAAAAAUAUUUUCAAAAACUUAGAUUUUUUAAUAUGGGAUUAAUAAAAUAUAAAUUUAUAAUAUAAAAAAAAAAUCAAUAUAAGGUACUGAAAGUUUGGAAUAAUACAACGUGCUAUGAAAGUUUUAUAGGGAGAUUAAAGUGCCAUAAUUUAUUAGGACGAAAAAAAAAAUCGGUAAUUUUGUAGGGACCAAAAAUUUAAUAAACCAAAAUAUAAAACUUCAAGCGAAAUUAUUCAAAUAUAUCAUUUUCUUUCACUUUCUCAAAAUAAAAACAUUUUCUUUCACAUUUACAAAUAAAAUAUUAAUAAAUAUAUACUUCCAUUUAUAUGUAAAAAUAUUAUAUUAUUAUAGAACUACUACGUCGUUCAUUCUGGAUAGCUUCGUGCCAGCUCAUUUUGACAAUAUGUUUUAUGUUGAGUAUUCCUUCAUGAGGGGAUUGAGAAAUGAAAAUUGUAAAUGUUCCAUGCACAUUAUAUCCGUAAAUAUGAAGUUAGGGUUUAAUUGGAAAAAAGUGGGAAAGGAUAAAAUUCCUAUGAGUUGAGGAAAGUAAAUUAAGUUGUUACUAGGUCAUGCAUGUAUCCGUAAUUCUAGAAACGAUAUUGAGUAAUAGUGCUUGCAUGUUUCAUUUUGAAUUGUAUUGACGAAUUUUAAGUUUAUUGUGUGUUUUGUUAAUCAUUCAUGUGUUUCGUUAAUUUAUGGUUUAAGUUAUGAUUUGUGCAUAAAAAUCCCAUAUUCCCACCCUAACUUUCGAUAGUACUGAACCCACUUAGGUUGAUUUGGUGGAUAUGUUUUAGAUCCUUAAUGAAUGAAUGUGGGUUCGAUGCCCAAUGCCAAUAUAGACUCUUAAUAAAUCUUCGAUGCCCUAAGCCUUUGGUUUCGAUUACGGGGCACGUGCUUUCCAUUUUUCACCAUUUUGACUUUCAAACAUUUGGUUUAUUUAAAAUGACCAGUUAAUCGUAGGAAGACCUCAAACUAAUUAUUAUUAAUUUCACAUGACCAUUUAAUUAUUUGAAGAUUUUUUUUUUUUUUUGGUAGAUCAUUUGAAGAUUUUUUAAUAGUCUAUAUUUUGGAUGAGAAAGGUAAUAAAUAUAUGGUCAAUAUCGCCAUAAUUCUUAACUUGGAUGAAUAGAGUUCCAUCUUUAAUAUCUUAGUGCUAAUCCUUUUUUUUUUAAGAAGCUAAAUUAUGCAACCUAAAUUGGCAUUGGAGAGAAUCAAACAUGAAACUUUUAGGAGGAGCACACUCUUAGUAAUAAUUUUUUUAUUAUCAUUAGAACCAAUAAUUUACACUUAGAAGAGAAAAAUGAGCUGGUGAACUCUUCGUUCGAAAAAAACAUAAAUGACAUUGUUUGAAAAUUCGUAAGUGUGAUAAUAUUAUGAUAUAAAAUUGAAGUUAUAUGCGGUAGGUCUGUAAGUAUAAUAUCAUAUUCUUAAAUUAAAGGUCAUGGUGAUAAAGAAAAAUACAACUAUUGGAAUCCAGGACAAUAACUAAAUAGUAACUAUAAAAUAUUUUAGCAAAAUAUAUAUUCCAUAUUUCUUGUUGCUAGUGUAAGAACUCACUCUUUCAUGCUUGGUGUAAUUGUAAUAUCUUGAGUAUGAAACUCAUGCUAUCAUAGAUGUAAAUGAGUGUACAAGAAGUAUUUAUAGGAAAUAUGCAGAUUACAGUUAGCCUAAUUACAAGCUAAAACGAACGUGCUUAAGUAAGCUAACUAGUUAACUUGUAUCUCAAGUAAACUAGGAGCCUUUACUUUAUUAUGACCUUCUUUCUCUAAUAUCCCCUCACAAGCUGGUGAAUGGUAAAUAUCUAACAUUCCAAGCUUGAAUAAAAGAAUGUUGAAUGGUUGAGGAAGAAGAGGUUUAGUACAGAAGUCUGCAAGUUGGCCAUAUGAAGAGACAGGAAGAAGCUUCAUGAUGUCUGCUUGUAGCUUUUCUCUAACCAAGUGACAAUCAAUCUCAAGGUGCUUGGUUCUUUCAUGAAAUACUCGGUUGGCUGCAAUGUGCAAAGCACUUUGGUUAUCACAGUAAAGCACUUUGGCUGCAAUACUGGGUUUCCUUAAGAAGAUAAAGAAGACAUUGAAAUUCACAAGUAGCUUCGCCUAAAGCACGAUAUUCAACUUCUGAAGAAGAUCUGGAGACAGUCAACUGUUUCUUAGUCCUCCAAGAGAUCAGUGAUGGGCCAAGAAAGAAGCAUUGGCCUGAGAUGGAUCUUCUUGAAUCCAAACAACCAGCCCAGUCUGCAUCUGAGUAUCCUGAUAAAUGUAAAGAUGAAUCUCUAGGGAACAUCAAACCCUGCGCAGGACAUUUCUUCAGGUACCUUAAGAUUCUAGUGGCAGCAGUGAAAUGUUGUUCAGUGGGAGAAGUGAGAAACUGGCUCAAUUGUUGAGUAGCAAAAGUGAUGUAUGGCCUUGUAUUAGUGAGAUAUAUGAGCCUGCCAAUCAAUCUUCUAUAGGAGGGCACAUCAUCAUAAGGAGCACUAGAAUCAUUGUGUAGUUUGCAUGAUGGAUCAGAAGGAACGGAGACUGGUUUGUAAGCAAGAUAGCCAGUAUGUGAUAACUGCUAGAAAGUGUUAAAUCCAUGAUGUAUUUUAAGCACUUUUUGUUACUUGUUUCACAAGUUAUUUGAGGAAAAGCCAUGAAAAAGUAAGAAAAUGCCUUAUUAGGCUUUUUAUAUCUUACUUAACCCAUUUGUGCAGAAAAGAAGUGAUCAAGACUUGAACAAAUGAAAGAAACACAAAAAGGAGCAAAAACCAGCAAUUUGUCGCCAUGGCCAGAACCUGUCGCCAGGGCCACAUCCUGUCGCCAUAGCGGGAAACGGGAAAUGACAAAACAUAACCUAUUUCUUUGUGCCUAAAUGUCGUUGUCGCGAAAAAUGUUCUGCCUGGCAAGAAAAGGCGGUUUGGGUUAAGUGAUGAUGUGGCAGAAACCCACUGGCAAAGAAAGUUGAUGUCGUCGUGGCGACAAAUGUCCUGCUGGGCCAGAAUGUCAAAUUGUGCAUAAAGUAUAAAAACCCAUUUCAUUCAUUUCAGACAUGAUCUUUUUACAUUUAUAGAGGGAGAAUAGGGUGAAAUUCUUAUGUUUUCAUAGAGAAAGGAUGUUUGAGUGUGGAUUCGUCAAGAUUCUUGGAGAAAUCAAGUUCUUGGCAUGGAUCUUCAAAUUUCUUUCCACUUUUGUAAUGUUCUCAUGACAGUGAUGAACAAAAUCUCCUUUGUUGGGAUUAGAGGUACUUGAUUAAGUUGAUAAUGUAAACUUUUGAUCUUUCAAUAUAUGAUUCUAGCAAUUUACAUGAUAUUGAAGUUAUUCUUGCAAUUCAUUUCCUAUCUUUGAUUUAAUUGUUAUUGAAAAGUAAUUUUGAAUCUAUGUUUAGAAUAUUCAUCUAUCAAAACAAUGGAUUGUUUAAUAGUUAGGGGAAUCAACGAUUGAACAAUACAAUUGAUUUCACAAGAUUAUUUGGACACGAAUAGUCUUGUUGAACGAUACGUGAUAAUAUCGGUAAAACGCUAGAAUCCAUAUAUGUGAUUAUUAUGUUAUGUUUGACGCUUAACCAAGGAACUCUAAUUCCAACGUUUUUACGCCUUAUUACUCUCUGUUUUUAUCUUCGCAAUUUAGUUUCCAUCGUUUUAAACAAACAACCAAUCAAACUAUAGCCUAGAGUAUCACAGAAGUCCUUGUGGAGACGAUAACAAAAAUACUUACUUUUGAUACUACAUCAGUAUCUAUAAGUAAAUCAAUGCAAUAUUUUCUCUGACAUAGAGAUAUGCCUUGAGAAGAAUCAGAAACCUCUAAACCAAGAAAAUACUUCAAUUAACCAAGAUAAUAAAUCACCAGCAAUUAUCACAUCAUCUACAUAAACAAGUAAUGAUGUGAAAGAAGUAGCAGUCUUUUUGGUGAAUAAGGAAUGAUCACUGAUAGACUGUGUAUAGUUGUGAUGUAGAAGUAGAGAGGUGAGCUUCUCAUACCACUUUCUACUUGCUUGUUUCAAUCCAUACAGUGAUUUUACUAGUUUGCAAACCUGAUUUGGUUUGCAAGUAGUGAUACCUUGAGGAACAAUCAUGUAAACAUCUUCCUGCAAAUCUCCAUCUAAAAAUUCAUUAUUAACAUCCAGCUGAUGAAUGUGCCAAUGAUUGAUGGAUUCCAAAGCAAUAACAGUUCUGACAGUUGUAAAUUUGGCAACUUGAGAGUAAGUAUCAAAGUAAUCCAAUCCUUCAAUUUGAUUAUAACCUUUGGCAACCAAUCUAGCUUUGUAUCUCUCUACUGAGCCUUCUGCAUGAUAUUUGAUUUUGAAAAUCCAUUUACAACCAAUAGGCUUGACAUUUGGUAUUAAAUCAACUAGUUUCCAUGUCCCAGUAUUUUCAAGAGCAAUGAUCUAAGCUUGCAUAACCUGAUUCCAACAACUGAAUUUGCUUGCCUCAGCAUAUGUAGUGGGCUCAGUCUGGGAGUCAAGAGACAAAGAAUAAGCAAAAUGAGAAGGUGACAAAUUGGUAAAAGAAAUGUAAUAAUGAAUAGGAUAUUAGACAUCAGAAGAAAGAGAAGCAGAAGCAAUAGUGAAAUUACAAACACAAUCUUGUAAGUGUGUAGGUGGGUUAGUAUUCCUGGACGACCUUCUCAAUGGAGGUGGAUCAAUAGGUGAUGUGGUGGGUGAAGGGGAGUGAUUAAUAUCAAUAGGAGGUGAGUCAGUAUCGAUAAAAGGAGGUGGAAAUGGAGGUGAAGGAAGAAUAGUAGGGUUGCUUGUUGAACAAGCAUCAGAAGGAAAAUAAUUCUAAUCAGUAGUAAUUGAUGAUGAGGAUGGAGGAUAAGGCGGUAUAUGCUCAUGAAAACUGACAUGUGUAGAGAUAUGAAUUUCUAUAGUGUGGAUAUCUAACAAAACAAAACCUUUGAAACCAAUGAAGUAUCCUAGAAACACAAACUUUCUGGCUCUAGCAGCUAGUUUGGUUAUAUGGGAAUGAAGGGAAGUGGAGAAGCACAAGGAACCAAAAACUUUAAAUGAAUCAAUGUCAGGAAAUUUAUCAUGAAGAAGUUUGUAAGGUGAUUUGUUAUGAAGUGUAGGGGAAGUAACCCUGUUGAUGAUAAAAGUGGCAUGUAGGAGAGCAUAAGACCAAUAAGAUGCAGGAAGUUUAGAUUGAUAUAGAAGGGCUCUGCCUACAUUAAGGAUAUGUUGGUACUUUCUCUUAACCCUAACAUGUUGUUGAGGGGUCUCAACACAAGACUUAUGAUGAAAAAUACCCUUAGAAGCAUAAAAUGAAUUGAGCAAAAACUCAGGACCAUUAUCACUUCUGACAAUUUUAGGAGUAAUAUGAUAUUGGUUUUCUAUAAGAGUGAUGAAGUUUUUAACAUGUUGUGAAACUUUAGACUUAUUUUUAAGUAAAACAAUCCAGACAAAUAUACUAUAAUCAUCAAGUAUAGUGAGAAAAUAUCUAUGAUUAUGGACAAAAGUAAUGGACAAAGGGCCCCAAAUAUAAAAAUGCAAUAGUUCAAACUUGCUACAAGCAACAUACAAACUAUUUGUAAAAGGUAACUUCUUUUGUCUAACAAAAUGGCAUAUAUCACAAGUGGCUUGAUGAUCAAAAGAUAAUGAAGGAUAAAGUUUGGACAUAUGAGAGAGUCUCUUAUGAGAAACAUGCCAUAACUUAAAGUGCCAUAAAGUAGAAGAAGGAAUGGUCAUGUUUUUAUUGGUGGAAACAUGAUAAAUAAAAGAAUUAUUGUGUAAAGGAAAAGCAGAAAAAUCUAAAACAAGUCUAUAGAGACCUUCAAACUGUUCACCCAAACCAAUCAUCUUAUGGGAGUCAAGAUCCUGUAACAAACACUUGUUGUCAUGAAAGGUGACAAAGCAUUGUAAAGAAUCACAUAGUUUAGAAAUGGAAAUUAAGUUGAAGUUGAAUGAAGGUGAAUAUAGAACAUUGUCAAGGUAAAAAUGAGGUGUAAAGUGUAUGGUGCCAACAUAUUCAGCUAAAAUAGAUGAACCAUUAGGUAAAUUGAUAGGUUUAGGUGAAAUUUUGUGAAAGGAGUUGAACCAAUUUGAAGAAGAAACAAUCUGUUCAUUUGCACCAGAAUCUAACAAUCAUAUAUCAGAUUUUGAAGAUAUGGAACAAGUAAAUAUGGAAGAAGAUAUACCUGAUUGUAUAGUGGAGAUAGAAUUAGAAGCAGGGGAAGUAUGAACAUGAUUGACACUAGUUUGAGGUGAAGCUACAGAUGAAGCAUGAAGCAAAUUCACUUGUUGUAACAGGCUAAGAAUUCGAUCAUACUUCUCUUGAGAAAUAUUAGAACUAGAGGAUGAAGAAGCAUCAUUGCAACUUCUUGAUUGAGCCUCAAUUUCUUCAAAGCUACUUAAGGCAUUCACAGAAGAAUUAUGCUUAUGAAAGUUUGGAUUUGGAUGUCCAUGCUUUUGAUCACAAUAUUCAAUAGUGUGAUUGUUCUUUCCACAAAAUGAACAAUGUCUAGGAGGCUUGGAUCCACUAAAGUAUCCUCUUCCUCUUCCUUGUGGCUUGCGUGAAUCAACAACAUUGAUAAUGGAUGAAGGUUCACCAAUGGAGGAAGAAAGUGAAUGAUUGUUACUUUCCUCUUGGAUAACCACAAAAUAUACUUUGUUGAUAGAAGGAAGUGGAUCAAUCAUCAGUACUUGAGUUUUGAUAACUUUGAAUUGAUCAUUCAAACUAGUCAAAAACUAGAUUACUUGAUCUUUAAGUCUGCAAUUAUGUGCCUCUCUCAUAGCUGCACAACAACAGGGAUGAGGAUAAGUGCAAGGUGGCAUUGGACGGUGUGAAUUCAACUCUUCCCAAAGAGUUUUCAUUUCAGUAAAGUAAUCCAAAACUAACUUAGAACCUUGCUUCAAAUUGUUGAUCUUAGAACGAAGCGUAGCAAUACGAAUGUGAUCUACCUUGGAAAAACGUUCUUUUAGAUCUAACCAAGCAUCAAUGGUGUUUUCAUGGAAAACCAGAGUUUGUUCAAUUUGAGGAGUAACUGAAUUGAUAAUCCAUGACUGAAUUAGGUGAUUGCAAUGUUCCCAGGCACUGCGAUUGAAAUCUUCCUCAUCUGGAAGUUCCAUGGAUCCAUCGACAAACUUCAAUUUGUUCUUCGCACCAAAAGCGAGAAUCAUGGAACGACUCCAUGCGAGGUAGUUAGAACCAUCCAAGAGUUAAGUGACAAUAACUUAAUUCGGUCCUUCAAUUGAUUGCACGUAAAAAAAUUAUUCAGUGCCAGGUUGAUUCUGACGAGGCAUGAUGAACAAAGAAGCAAAUGACGAAGAAGAGAAGAAAAACUUGCUGCAAAACGCAAGAACAACAAGAGAUUCACAAAGGAAGAAGAAAUUCGUGAGGAAUCAAUGGAGAAAUGUGAAGUUUUCAGCAAAAAACGAAGAAGGUGAAGAAAAGGAUCUUAACUUUUGUAAUAAACUUCCACCAUGGAAAUGAGAGAAAAAAGCUCCGAUACCAUGUUAUGGGAAGCAAAUAAUGAAAUGAAUCUCAUUUCUCAUAGAUGUAAAUGAGUGUUUCUCAUAGAUGUAAAUGAGUGUACAAGAAGUAUUUGUAGGCAAUAUGCAUAUUACAAUUAGCCUAAUUACAAGCUAAAAUGAACAUGCUUAAGUAAGCUAAACUAGUUAACUUGUGUAUCAAGUAAACUAGGAGCCUUUACUUUAUUAUGACCUUCUUUAUAUAAUACUAUAUGAUACACAUUUGCGAUUACGGCACUUAUACAAUAUAAGCCGAGUUCUUGGUGGGCAAUCAUUAUUAGUUAUACAAACAACAUAUCCUGCAGUGAAAGAAUAUAAUAAACAAAUGUUAUAAAAAUGAAAUAAAGAUUAUAUAUGAACUACAAACUAAAGAAUGAAAUUUUAAAAGGAUGGAAAAAAACAUUACCCUUAACAUUAUUUGCAAGAAAAAAUAGGAAGAUAAAUAAAAUUAUAGCAUACACAAACAUAUGAGUCAUAUCUUUGUCUCUAUACAUACAACAAAUAUAAUUUAUUUGAUCACUUUAUAGUGUAUAAUCUUUACAUUCAACAAAUACAAUUUAAUUGAUUACUUUAUAGGGUAUAAACCUCACGCUGUGUUGAGAAAAAUAUAAUUAUUUUUACCUCUUAAGAACUUUUAAAAGUCUCUCCCUAAAUUUAGAAUUAUUAUUAAGUGUCUCUUAAGAAGAUGAAUGUGUAAUAUUAUUCAUUUACCACACUUAAUAAAGGCAUAAAAUAAAAAACUUGCUAAUCAUUACAAUUUAAUAUUUUGGUAGUUAACCUUAUUACUUUUGAUGAUUGAAAGGGGAACUUUAAAAAAUAAUAAUGCAUAAAUUAAUCGUAUUGUAGUAUUUUUAUAUAUAAAAUCAUUUAAUCAUAUGGAAAAGUAUAAAAUUAUGAUUAUACAAAUCCAACGAGAUAAAAAUCGUUAUUUUUCGUUGUUGGUAUAGAUAGAAUUUCGAAUAAAAUCAAAUAAGAAUUCAAAACAAGUGAUAAACAGGGUUCUAAAUCAUAUAAUAUUGGCUUUGAUACCACAUGUGAGAAGAUAUUGAAUAUUAUACGAGAUAGAACAUACUUACUUGUUGGUAGCAAUGUCAUGGAUGAGUCUUCCUUUGCCUUUCACGGUGCUCCAGUUCUCGAUGUGGUAAACCACUGAUGAGCAGAAACAUCAGAGUGAUGGAAAAUGGAACCUAGCCUUUCUAUUUAUUAUUGUGCAAUCCUAGUUACCACCCAUCAUGGAUCCUAGUGUUUGGACCUACAAUUUAUUUCUACACAAAUCAUAUUAAGUGCCCAAAUCACAUUAUAUAUUGAUCACUUUUAUUAGAGCCUAAGCAUCAUCAAAUAGAUCAUAACAUCAGUCCACUUUUAUUAAACCAAAACGAAUAAUUGAUUGCAACCCACAAAAUAUUAGAAGAAAUUCUAACAUUCUCCAACACAUGUAAAAUCAAUUGUGUAUUUUUAAUUAAAAAAAUUGAAAACGACUCUCGGACUGAUAAUAAACUUCCUAACAUGGCCACUAAAUGAUCCCAUGAUGCAACACUUUAGUAAUACUUCAUCCAAAAUAUAAAAAAAAUUGAAUGAUAUCGAAUCAUGGCGGUAGUUAUAUCCUUAUUGAUAGAACACCUUCCAUGGUUACAAAUAUCACAAAUUUCGUCGACUAGUCAUUUGUGUAGAGUGUAGCAAGAAAUGAUAUGUCAACGUGAUCAUCGACCAUAUUUUCCUUUUUAUUUUCGGUCCUCAAUUUCUCUCUAAUGUCUUAAAGCCAGAGAAAUUAUGUGAUUCCUCUCAAAUGCCUUAAAGCCAAAGAAAUUAUGUGGUUCACACAAAACAACAUUGUGUCAACUAUAUAAAAUAGUGUUGAUCAUUGAUGCACGAUCGGACUAAUGGCAAGUGUACCAAUCAUUUACCAAGUAAUAAAGUGAUGAGUAAAGUAUCGUAUCCACAGGGAUUGUCCUUUCGCCCAAACAAUUCGCGUUACUUAUUAAGUUGACGAUACAAAAGUUAAGGGUUAAAAAGACUUGCAAUUUUUAUCUGUUUGCAACGGAGCAAGUUUACCUGUUUUGGUUGCAGAAAAGUAAGCAACGGUUAGGAUUCUUCGAAUCCCCUAUGUAUAUUCAUUGUUGGAUUAUAAGUAAAAUAUAUGUCGCGUUAAUUUAUCUUAGGUAGACUAUACGAGUGAUGAGGCCAUUGGAAUGUUCCUAACUGGAUAAGGCAUCACCUGACCCAAUGGGAUUUAAUACUGAGUAUCUAAUUAGGCUUUUACCACUGAUGGCUAACUGCACCUGUUGAUCGCACGGUGAUCCUUACGUGCGGGGUCUUGGUAAUUCAAAGGUAAUUGAAACAUAAACUUUAUAUUGGCUUCCCAAGGCGAUAAAACACGCGAAUAUUACAAAUAUUCAAGAAAUAGACGUCACGUCUUCAAUAAUUCUCAAAACAUGCAUAAAAAUUUCUCAAAAACAUCGCAGCGGAUAAAUAGCAUACAUAUCCAUGUAGCCAUGUCAUAUGCAUGAUAAAUACACCACCAAAUAAAUCAGCAGUCUUAACAUAUGAGUAAAAGUCAGAACAAUAUAUAAAAUAGUCAACACCAAAGAAAAAGCAAGACCGACACCCUAAAUCAGAGCCUAAUACUAAGACUCCAAAGCAGAUAAACGGGGGAAGUGAUGAGUCAUUUAUUAUAUAUUUUUAUAUGUUAUUUAGUUUAGUUUUAAUUAGAUUUAAGUUUAUUUUAUAUUAGUAUUAUUUCCUUUUCGAGCUAUUUUACUACAAUUGCAUAUUGUUAUAUUUCAUAAACGAAUAUUUGAUGGAUUGAGUCUUGGAGCAAAAGAAAGGGGUUUUGGAGCUGAUUCGGUACGAAAAUAUGAAGAUUCGGAGACAAAAAUAUAUCUCCCUAAAGUCAGAAGCUUGGCACGGCCGUGCCACCUCCCAGAACAACUUUUGCUGCUUUUGCUUAGAGUAGCUAGCCAUCAGAAAUAUUCAUCUUUUCUUGGAAUGCAAUAUGUGACAAUUGUCUUUCUAAUAAAAGUUCAUUUACUUUCUUGUUUUUUACUUUUAUGCUUUCUCUCUUCUUCUCCUUGUCUACGAUGAACAUUAGUGAGUAGACUUCUUCUUGUCUUGGGAUUGUUGGAUAAGUCUAAAUGACAUAAUCCUAAUCAAACCAAGCUCUAAGCCUUAAUCUUAUGUAACCCUAAUUUCUUAUCUAAAUUCACCGCUUUAACAUGGAUCAACCAUUAUCUAACUGUGGAAACGAAAGUGGAGGUGUUAUACCUUGAUUUUGGACCUAAAAAUACUCGUUCAAAUUUCUUUUCUAACACUGAUAUUUGUCAAUUCGCUGUUGUUUUACUCUGAACCUUUACUCUCUUUUCAUCUGCAUAUUUUACUGUCUCUGUCUCAAAGUACGUUCAAGCAUGAUUUUCUUGCAUAAAACUAUCCAAAGUGUUUUUCUUGCAUUACAAGUCAUUUGAAAACUCUCUGAAUCAUUGCAUUACUUUUCUUACAUUUUAUUUCAAAAAUCAUACAAAAAGGGUAUUUUGGUCAUUUCCUGCAGUGGAACCCAUUUUAGUCCCUGUGUUUGUCUCUGAGUCUUUUCAACCUGUCUGUACAAAUCAUUGUUGAGUCUUUGUUUAAAAAAAAACCAUUUCAAAAAAUCGCAUCUGAGUCAGUUUGAGUCAGUUUAGUCCCUAGGGGCAUUUUGGUCUUUUCCUAUCAAAAUUUCGGCAGAGAGGUAUUUUGAAAUACCUCAUUUUUGUAAUUGGUUCAUUUUAGUCCUUUUGUUGAUUUUAUUUUAGGUUUCACUUUACUUUUUUUUCCAAUUUACCAAUUUUAAUUCAAUUUUAUUUUUAAUUGCAUUCUGGUCCCUCAAACAAGUUUCCAGAAUUGCACUUUAGUCCAAAACUUUUUAAAAUUGCAUUUUUAGUCCAUUAUUAUUAAUUGAAGUUUAGUCCUCAAUUUUACUUUUUUGCAGAAAGGCCCCUAAGUCCAAAACAGGUGUCAUCAUCUCAUUAAUCCAGAAUCACACAUGGCAGCCUAUAAAAGGUACACAGUGCCACACAGACCCACAGAUCACACGCCACAUCACAAACAGAUUCAGAUUUUCUCUCUCUUUUCUAUUAGAUCAAAACUCAGAGAACACCAAGAACACAAGAACAUUCAUAAAACCCUAAAUCUCCAUAAUCACAAUGGAAUACCAAAUUCAGUGAAUUUUUCUUGCAAUUCUCAGAGAUUCAUCACUGAAUCUUCAUCAUCGAAUUGGUUUCCUUCGCAAUUCAAGGUGCGAAUUCGCCAUUGGCAAACUCAAGCAUCGAUCACGAAGGAAUCAGUGAGAAGAAGAAGAGAAAGAAGACGAAGAAGAUUGAACCAGCGAAGAAGAAGAAGAACCGAUUUAUUUUCGGAUUCAAAUCCAAAAAAUCAACAAACAGAAUCAAGUUCAAGUGUUUCCGGAGAUCUUCGCUCAAAACCUCCAAUCGAAAUCACAGGUAAACACUCAAACUUCCUCUUUCUUGCUCAAAAACAGCAACGAGGACAAAUCAAUGUAGAUCUAUGAAGUUUCAAAGAGUUUCAUUCAAAAAAACUAAAAACCUAAAAAAUAUUUUCAAAACCGUAAUAAAAAAAUGUAGAUCUACAAAGAUUUAAGCCUUGCAUGCAAAAACCAAUGCCAGAUUCGUGCUUAGAAUAAGAAAACGAAGAGAUUGAUGCAUGAUUUGUGUUUUUCUGGUGAGGAUCUAGGUUACCGGAACCUGGAGAUCUCGCCGGAGAAGAUGAAGUUUCCAGCGGAUCUAUGAAGAUUCCGGCCGAACUUCAUCAUCUUCGGCCGCUCAAUCCAGAAGCCGACGGAGGGAGAGAGGAGAGAGGCGAGAGCUUCUCUCACUAGGUGAGAGUUAGAGAGAGAAAGAAAUUAGAGGAAUGAUUGAACCGGCGCUAACAUGCUUUUGUAGACCCCUAGACCGGACCGGUUCAAGACCGGUCCAAUCCCUUGCAAUCCUGGGCGUUGGAUCUAGGGUUUCCCUCCCUGGAUCAAUCCAACGCUCCCUGUGUGUUCGGACCUUAGAUUUUGGGCUUGGGCCUCCUCCUGCGCAGAUUCUUUGUUUUUUUGUUAAUUUCUUGCUAUUUGCACCCUACCUCUUGCUAUGUGAACCUCCUGUUGUCUAAAUUUUUCUUGCAAAAAUUCCUAAAAAUUCCUAUAUGUUUCUUGAUGUAUUUUAAUACUUUUGUGAUGUUUUUUUACAUGUUAAAAAAUGAUAAAAAUAUAUGUAAUAUUUUCUUGUUGAUUUGUUCAUUUUUUUUAUUAAACUUGUGAAUUUUCUUGCCAUAAUUUGUUCAUGAGGUCUUGACAUGAUAUGAGUGAUUAAUAUACAAUUUCAUGUUGAAUAUGCUGCUGAUUGUGUGAUUGUUCUACUGUUUUAAUGUGAUUUGUUAAUUUCUUUUGUUACAAGUAACGUGUAUAUUUUGCAUUUUGGUUAUUGUUGUUAUUUUUACCGUUUCGCCUCGUAAUUCUUUGCUUGUUUUCUUACCAUUUUACACCUUGUUUUACUAACCAUUUCAUUUCAUGUUUCAUCCAUCUCAUGAGCAUCUUGCCAUUGUCAUCUCAAUUUCUCAUAGUUUAGGCAUUUUUACCUUUUAAAUUCUAUGUUAAAAUGUCAUGUAAUAUUUUAGGUAGUUUAAGUUUCCUUUUAAUUUCUUGCAAGACCAUAGAAUGUAAACUAGGGCAAACGUAACGGACAAUGGACUCUCUAUAGUGAUGUACACACGUUGUAUGCUUACCGCUUUAGAUGUAUGCUUAGGAAACGCGAUACUUAGAAAAAUACUAAUUUUUUUCAAAAACAAGCAAAUUCCAUCACUUGAAAUUUUUUCCAAAUAAACCUUGGAGUCAAAACUCCAUUGAAUUUUCUUUUCUUAAUCAAACUCAAAUGAACUCUAAUUCCAGCUUACACCUUUUUUUUUUAAUAAUAAUUGAACCAACUAUUCACCAUUUUUUCUCUCAUGCCUUUACGGCCUCUUUCUCUUCUUCAAAACCAUUUUCCAACACUUAAAAUCAAUUGAAACACACAAAAACAUUUUUUGAAAGAGAACUACAUGGAAUUUUGAUCCCUUAAAAGGGUAUGUAGGCAAGAGGUCAAAACCUCUCCAAGUCCAAUAAAAUCAAACGUCAAACAUUUUCUCCCUCCAUUCUUAACCUAAAUAGACAACUUCUUUUUUAUAAAUAGCAUUAAAAAUAAAGCGUAGACAUAAAACUAGGAAAACGGUUCCUAUAGAGUACUAUAGUCAUUGCGGGUGCCUAACACCUUCCCGUAACGAAAACGACCCCCGAACUUAGAAUUUCUAAGGGUUUUCUCAAUUUUGCCCUUCCCAAGAAAAAAUAGAGAAUAUCAAAUAUUGAAAGGUUCCAGCCUAAUUAAUGACUUGAUACCCCGAAAUCGUGAUAACAUGAGGGUUUGAUAAUUGUUUAUCCAUCAUCUCAAAUAUCAAUUCAUAAAACGAAAGUGGAGCUUUGAUAUUCGAACAAGUGAAUUUAUACAAGGGUUUCAAAGGCAGCGAAAUAGUCUUUGAAAUCUUUGAGACAUAUAGUUUCGAUCUUCAAGGAAACUAAUAAUGAUCAAGUCAGCGAAAUAGGCUUGGUUGUUAGAGGAACCAAAAUCUAAUAGUAAUCAAGUCAGCGAAAUAGGCUUGGUUGCUAGAGGAACAAAAGAGAAAUUGUCUUGAGAAAUUAGGUCUAACAUAAAGUUAUAAGCUUAUAGUUUGGUUUGUGAAGGACUUGUCAUUUAGAGGAACCAAUAAUCCCAAGGCUUUUAUCUUUUCUUUUAUUAUUUUCUUUUAAUUAAAAAUACAAACUUUUCUACCUUCUAAACCUUCAGUCUAAUCAUUAUUUAAAGUUAAUUGAAUUCCUAACUCCCUGUCGGAACGAUACUUUAUUUUUACUACUUCGGUAAGACCGUGCACUUGCGGUUUUAUCCCAUCAGGAAGCUCCUGCUAUCCUCAUGCAACUCACCAAACAAGCAACAAGCUUCUCUUUCACACCGUCUACACCAUAUUUAAAUAUACUGAGGCGGUCACCCGAACGACCACUAGGGGGUUAGUCUACAAUCCACAAUUAAUGCAUAAUCAAACAUAAGCAUUCAAGGAUUUCAUGCAUAACACAUACACAUACUCAACAUUCUUAGAAUAUUAACUCCACAUGGAUAUUAUCCCUCAUUCCUUACACAUCAUAUUGUUACAAUUCUAUCAUAGCACAUCAAGCAUAUUCCUCCAAUAAUCAAAUCGUCAACAAAGUACAUCACUUAACAGCAUCAAUCCAUAUAAGAAUUACUCACCUUAUUCCUCAUUUAACAUAGUUAACUCAACAUAAUACCAUUCAUCAUUUAAAAAGUAUAAACAAGGAAAUUACCGUCACCAAAGACAUUAUCAAAUCACAUAUAAUUCACACUUCAUUAUUUUCACCAAAAUAAACAUCAUCAAUUAAAAUCACCAAGUGUACAAGUAUGGCACAACAUCAUCAAGUACACAAUUCACCAAGUUAACUGAUGCACAUAUUCAACUAAUUCACAUAAUUCACCAAUGCACAUAAGCAAGUAUGACACCUGUCAAGUUAUGCAAUGCGCCUAGACAGGACUUCUAUAUGCAUGUGGUACCAAGUCAACACCGAGGUCGUCACCUCAAGAUACAUAUGUAUCAUAAUCAUUGCCAAUAUAAAUGCAAAGCAAUCAGUCUCAUUUUUAUCAUAUUGCAAAGCCAAUUCAUUAUCAACAAAAAAACUAAGUCUGAUCCAUCAUUGCAUAGGUUAAAUACUCUUCACUUCCUAAUACUCAUGUUUUGAGUUUUGGGUUGACUGAAAAAUACUUAAGUUGAAUUUUCGUAAAAUUUUAUCAAGACAUACUUGGAGUAUUGUCAUCAUAACCCAAAAUAUAGACAUCAUUUUCAAGCCAAACCAAAGUCAUGGGAAAGCUAACACAUAUCUAAAACUUUCAUGUUUAAACCUAAAGCCAAUUCAAAACAUAAAUGUGUGAAAAAGACACAAGAAUGCGAAACAAGGAAUGAUGUCACUGAGUAGCUCGCUUCGAGCGAGUUUCCUCCAGACAGAACUCGCUCCAAGCUAGCUUCAAGCGAGUCCCCCCUAUACUUACGAGUUUUACACCACUUUUCACCAAAAAUCCUCAAUUUUGACCUCCCUUAACCCAAAACUCGAUCCCAAAUCUUAAACACUUGAUUACAAACAUCGAAGGGCAUUCAAAACAACAACAACAUCAGAUUACAACACAGAUUCAUCUCAAAAUCAUCAUCUAGUUCAUUUUCACCAAAAACGACCAAAACUCAACACACACAACAACAACACACCCAACAUGAAUAAAAUCAUGGAAUCUCUAACACCCAUAGCAUAAUUCAUCACCAUUAUCAUAACACAACGUCAUUCAAGACAUAAUUCUACAAUUCCAUCAACAAACAACAACAACUUCAUUUUCACCCAAUUAAGCAAAAAUCAAUUAAGUGACUUAACGACACACUUUUCUCAUACAAAAUCAACAACAACAACAAGUUUAGCAUAAAUUUUUCACACACAAACUUAUCAUCAAAGAAGGAGCACGAAAAUCAUCAUUAAAAUUCACAAAAAUCACAUUUCACAAAUAAGCACUUAUGAAACUAAGUAGAAAAAGUGAUUUGGCUUCACUUUUUCUCCUUAAGUCUCUAGCCUCUUCUUCCUCUCCAAGCUCUUCUUCUCCAAAAACCCUUUUCUCCUCUUCUCUAGCUAUUUCUCUCUCUACCUCCCUCAAUAUUUUGUGAAAAUGAGUGAAUGAGUAUAAAAGACCUAAUUUCUCUUAAGACUAGAGUUUAUAUAGGCUCUUCACAAAUGAACUUAACCCUCAAUUGUCUUAAUGGGAUUAAAGUUCGUACUAACUAAUUCACCAAGUUUCUACUCAUUUACGGAUAAAAAUAACGAAUAAUUUCUGUCUCUUAUUUAAUUACCCAAACUCACUAGUAACUUAGUAAAAAUAUUUAUUGUCACCCAAAACAUUAAAAAUAAUUCUCAUAACCAAAAAACUAUUUUACCCAGAGUUUGAAAUUACUAAAAUACCCUCAUUAAGUCAAAAUCUACUAAUCCUGGAUAAAAUACACAUGGAGACAAUUAAUCACAUACAAGCACAUAUAAACACACAUAAUAAAUAAUUAAAAUAAUUUCUAGCGAAAAUUGAGCUGUUACAAGGUUCCCUUAGGUCUGUACAUCUAUGAAUCUUAGGACACACAUAGCACACUCUCUCUACACUUUCUUAGUAGUUCUACAAACGGGCAGCCCUAAUCUACGUCUACCUUACUAAGGGUUUCAAUAGAAUGGUUAUAUUAGGUUGUAGCUCUAAGUCGGACAGCUAGGUGAUUGUUUCCCUAAUUACUAACAAGUUAAUUCAUAGGUUCAGUAAGGCACCACCCGAUUUAAUGAGAUUUAACACUGAGUACCUACACCUACGAUCAACAAUUCUUAUGGCAUCUUUCGCUAAUUAAUAAUCACGUACUUCCUAGACAGAUAGUUAUAAGUAAAAGGAUAUAACUAUCAAGAUAUAAGCAUCCGGUUAGUGAUAGUAAUAUUAGGCCCUAUCGCAACCUAGGUACCUAGUCUAGGGUUGCCCUCUCACAGAAAUAAAACUACAUCCUAAUAAAAUGGAUUAGUCCGAAAAAUAAUGUAUUCAAUUUUUUUAAAAGUUGAAAAUAUCCUUAAGACUGUAUUUUUUAUAUUAUAUUUCCUUUAAGAUAGUGUUUCACUAUAUAUAAAAAAAGUCAUGCUAAAUAACUACAAAAAGAAAUGAAAAAUAAAUUCAGCAUUGAAAUAAUUAACUUUUAGAUUUGUUAGAUGUUAAAAGCACAAUUUCCAAUACUAUAUUUUUAUGUUGGGUUUUCUUAACAUGUACCCUUAAGGGCACAAACUAAUUUUUCCCAUAAAAAAAAUGUUUAAAUGUUGUUCACGCCACAAAUUUGUUGUACUAUUUUUCACUUAUUGUCUGCUUCAAUUUGAGUUUGAUGUAUGAUAGUGUUGUUUUUAGGGUUAAUAAUGCUUACCCCUGUGAUAUAGGUUAUUUUCGAUUCUCCCCUCUGUAAUUUUUUUAUUUAUUUACCCCUGUAAUUUUUUUGUUUUGGAAUACCCCCUAAUAGGUCAUAAAAAAAAACCAACUUUUUUUUUGGGUUAAUGAUGUUUUACCCCCUGUAAUAUUAGCUCAUUUCCAGUUUUCAACCCUCAAAAAAAUUUUGUUUAGUUUUCGUCCUUAUAAUUUGAGGUUUUUUUUUGUUUUGGACCUUCAUGGCAAAUUUUGCACCCUCUAAUUUGUGAAAAAUUCGGUUUACACCCCUGUAAUUUAAGAAAAUUUUGGUUUAGCUCCUACAAAAUCGUCUAUUUUGUACUGUCAAAAUUCAUGAAGGUUCAAACCUAGAAAUCUUCAAAUUACAAGGACAAAAACAAAACUAAAAAAUUUACGUGGUGAAAAAUUGGAAAUGAUCUUUAUUACGUGGGAUAAAGCACUAUUAACCCUAUUUUUUUAUUUUUAUUUUUGCAAAAAUUUUCGUUUUUCUAUGACCUAUUAGGAGGUAUUUCAAAACAAAUUUACAGGAGAAAAACCGGAAAUGACCUAUAUUACAUGGAUAAAGUAUCAUUAACCCUUAUUUUAAAAAUGCACUACAGUGAGUUGAACAAACUGCAAGUGUGUGUGCUUUUGUUGCAAAAAAAAAAAAAAAAGUAUUUGUUUAUUUAUUUAUUUUGAUAGUAGAGAAAUAUUUAUUCCCAACGAGACCCAUCAAUACAGAAAAUAAAGACCCCGCUCAAACCAAAGUACUUGAAAUUAAAUUUUUGUUCGUGGCUAUUAGGUAUGUUUCAUCGAGUUAGAAUCCACUUCAUUUAGUGUACUCUUCAAUCUCCAUUUCUUUUUAUUUGAAGAGAUAAAGAAAUAAUGAAUUUUGAAAAAAAUACAAAUUAUUAAUAAUGGUGGGACUCAUUUAAUAAUAUGACCUAUUAUCUACUAUUUUGUGUCUAUCUCUCACAGAAUGAUAUUUUCUGUUUAUUUGAAACAAAUGGAGAUGAUCAUCUUCCACGAUACAAAUGGGUAAACAAAUUUAUUUAGCUAUCAAAUGAGAAAAAUAUGUUUGCACAACUUAAACUCAGCGGUAACUACAAACUUAUAUGCUUUAACUUGUCUUGAUAUGGAUAAUAUAUGUUUUAUCUUGUCUCAUAAGUCAUAGCUCAACUGACAAAAAUGCUGAAAUUAAUAGGCCGGAUGUCUUGAUCGGUGUUCGAACCCUGAUACCUCCACUUUAUGUGUGUGAGUUUAUAAUGACUUUUUCAUCUCGUCUAUCUACCAAAAAAGAAUAUAUGCUUUAACUUUUGUUGAUUCAAUUUAAUUCCUUAAGGUAAUCAUUAUAAUAUUACGAAUGAAGUAUUUAAUAAAGCAAAUUCUAUAGUAUACCAAAAAAUUUAAGGGUAUUGGUACAACAAAUCUUUAAAUUAAUAGUUAAAUGAAUUACGUUUUUUAGGAAAAAAUUAUUUUCUAUCACCUAUAAUUAUAAUAAUUAAAUCUUAUUUACCAAAAUCUUCAACGCAAUAAAAUUUAAUUUUUCUGAAUUUUUAUUACUCAUAAUAGAGAAUUUUGAUUAUUUUUAUAAUAAAAUGUAAAAAAAUUUAGGAUGAUUUUUAUAAUUAAUAAAAUGAUAUUUUCUCUUAUGAAAUUAUAUUUUUUAAAAUAUAUAUGUCAACAAACAGCUAUUUUUUUCAUAAAAAAUGAUAGUUAAUUUUAAAAAAAAAUUAAGUAGGUGUACCGUAUAAAUUCUCAAUUAAUAAUUGUCAAAAGAGAAUACAACAACAACAACAACCAAGCCUUAUUCCACUAAUUGGAGUCGGCUACAUAGGUAAAGUAUGAUUUUAGUCUCUAUGAAAUUAUUAAAUUUUACGUUUCAUCACCAUAAAAAAGGGGCACUUAUUGUUCUUACACGACUUUCCUCCAUGCAAUUUUAGUCCUUACUAAAAUCAAUUUUUUUAAUUAUUCAUAAGCUUUCUAAAUUCUUAAAUGAUUUUAUUCAAGUGUGUUUAGAAUAUUUUAAUAAAACAUUUAAAAAUUUAGAUUUUUUAAUAUGGGAUGAAUAAAAUAUAAAUUUAUAAUAUAAAAAAAUUAAGAUAAGGUACUGGAAGUUUGGACUAAUAGAACGUACUAUGAAAAUUUUAUAAGAAUAUCAAAGUUCCUUUUUUUUAUUGUGAUGAAAAGAAAGAUCGGAAAUUUUAAAGGUACGAAAAAUAAAAAAACCGAAAUAUGAUCAAAUUUCAAGCGAAAUUAUUCAAAUAUAACAUUUUCUUUCACAUUUAAAUUGUAAAUGUCACAUGCACAUCAGGUGUUUGAUAUUUUUGAGUGAUAUAAAAUGAAGUUAGGGUUUAAUUGAAAAAAAGUGGGAAAGGAUAAAUUCCUAUGAGGUGAGGAAAGUAAGUUAAUUGCUAUCCAUGCAUGUAUUAUUUUGAAUUGUGUUGAGGAAUUAUAAGUUCAUUGUGUAUUUUGUUAAUUCUUCGUGUGUUUGGUAUGUUUGUGGUUGAAGUUGUGAUUGAUGCAUGAAACAUUUGGUUUAUUUAAAAUGACCCGUCCAUUAUUUGAAGUUUUUUUAAGAGUCUAUGUUUUCGUUGAGAAAGGUGAUAAAUAUAUGGUCAAUAUUGCGAAUAAUCCUAACUCGGAUGAAUAGAGUUCCAUCUUUAAUAUAUUGUCAAUGAUCCUUUUAUUAAUUAUCAAUAGAACCAAUAAUUUACACCUAUAAGAAAGAAAUGAACUAGUGAACUCUUUGUUCAAAAGAAACAUAAAUGGCAUUGUUUGAAAAUUCAUAAGUGUGACAAACUUUUUUUAUAACAGCAGCCAAUAUAUAAUAAUACUUUUUUUUAUAACUUUUUUUAUAAGUGCAAAUUGCUGUCAAACAAACCAAGUAGUAACUAUAAAAUAUUUUAGCAAAAUAUAUAUUCGUUAUUUCUUUUUGCUAGUGUAAGAAAUCACUUUUCCAUGCAUGGUGUAACUGUAAUAUCUUGAGCAUGGGACUCAUAUUAUCUGUAGGAUAGAAAAACUGAUUCACAUUUGCCAUCAAUGCACCUAUAACCUUGAACUAGAGUAUUUGGUGGGCAAUCAUUAUCAGUUAUACAAACGAUAUCUCCUGUAGAGAAAGAAUAUAAUAAACUAAUGUUAUAAAAAUGAAGUAAAGAUUAUAUAUGAACUACAAACUAAAGAAGAAAAUUUGAAAAGGUUGAAAAAAAAACAUUACCCUCAACAUUAUUUGCAACAAGGAAUAGGAAAAUAAAUAAAAUUAUAGUAUACACAAGUUUAUGAGCCAUAUCUUUUCUCUUUACAUACAACAAAUAUAAUUUAUUUGAUCACUUUAUAGGGUACAAACCUCAUGUUGUGUUAAGAAAAAUGUAAAUAUUUUUACCUCUUAAUAACUUUUAAAAGUCACUCCCUAAAUUUAAAAUUAUUAUUAAGUGUCUCUUAAGAAGAUCAAUGUGUUAUAUUUGUCAAUUUACCAUACUUAAUAUAUGUGCACCGUAAAAAACUUGCUAAUCAUUAGAAUUUAAUAUUUUGGUAAUUAAAUUUAUUACUUUUGAUGAUCGAAAGGGGAAAUUUUUGAAAAUAAUAAUGCAUAAGUUAUUAGUAUAACCUUAUUGUAGGAUUUUUUUAGUACUUAUAAUUGCAUGAAUUCAUCAACAUUCUCAUUCAGAUAAAGUCUUUCAUUGUUAUGUAUAUCUGAUGAGCGGAUCACGCAAGUCUACCAAAUCAUUUUCCAAGUAAUAAACUGUUGGAAUAAUAGUCAAAAUUAGUUAAAAAUAUUUUUUUUGUCACCGAAGAGAUUACCACGCUGAGUCGUGGACUAGGUCGCUCUCUCUAAGACGUUUAGUGGAAAUGCCCAAAAUUAUGCAAGCAGACUAUCAACCAUGACGUCCCCAGGAUAAAACAGUCCAGCUAUAGGAUCUGUUCUAUGAAUACACCUUCAAAUAUGGUGUUAGCUAAGACCACUCUCAUAUGGUAUUGAUAUAUACCACACUAUUAUGAUACUAAGACCAUUCUUAUAUGGUUCUAAGACCAUUCUAAUAUGGUGUUUCCACCACUCUAACCUUUAACAUCUCCAAUGGCGUAAAACAUAAAAAAUGAACUAUAUUCUUAAGAUCUUUCUUAUUUUCCGAAGGGACACUUUAUCUCGAAAGAGACUAUGAUCUUAAGAAUACUCUUAUUUUUUAAGGGACGAAUUUUAUCGAAGGGACUAUGUUCUUAAGACCAUUCUUAAUUCCGAAGGGACAUUUUAAACCGAAGGGACUAUGGCCUUAAGAACACUCUUUAAAUCCGAAGGGACAGAAAGAGAGGGAGACAAAAAGAAUAGCUCGUCAACACAAGCUAAAACAGGGAUAACAAAGAAAAGUUCUUUGAAAACUCAAGAGAACUUUUGGGGUAAUUACAAGUGAGAAAUGAGAGUUCUAUUUAUAGGUAAGGAGCCAGAGAUAAGUUACAAAUCCAAUGCCUAGGAUUAGUUGACCGCUACAAAAUCAAUGACAUAAUUUCUCCUCAUAAAUGAGCACUCAAUGAGAUAGUUGACAUGAGAAUAUUUUAAUUCAAAUUAACAUACAUAGUGGAUCAAACUUGAGACCUUUAGAAGUAGCACGCUCUUAGUAAUAAUCAUUAGAACUAAUAAUUUACACUUACAAGAAAGAAAUGAACUGGUGAACUCUUCAUUCAAAAGAAAAAUAAAUGUCAUUGUUUGAAAAUUCAUAAGCGUGACAAUAUUAUGAUAUAAAAUUGAAGUAAUAUGUGUUAGCUCUUUAAAUAUAGGGAACUUCUACGGUACAUCCGCAAAUUAAGGUGUACCGGUACUCAUGCUUUAAAAAAAUUUAAAUUAACUAUUAUUUUUAUAGAAUAUAGUGCUAUUUGUUGAUAUUUAUAUUUUAAAAAAUGUCAUUUUAUAGGAAAAAAAACAUCAUUUCAUUGUUUAUAAAAAUCAUACUAUUUUUUUUUACAUUUUAUUGUAAAAAAUAAUCAAAAUUCUCUAUUAUGAGUACUAAAAAUUUAGAAUAAUUUAAUUUUAUUUCGUCGACGUUUUUGGUAAAUAAGAUUUAAUUAUAGAUGAUAGAAAAUAAAAAUUUUCUUCAAAAAAUAACACAUUUAACUAUUAAUUUAUUGAUUUGAUGUACCAAUACACUCAAAAUUUUGAGUGUACCAUAGAACUUGCCUUAAAUAUAAUGUUAUAUUUUUAAAUUAAAGGACAUGGUGAUAAAAUAAGGAAAAUGCUAGUUGUCCCAUAUAUAAGGAAAAUGCUAGUUGUCCCAUAUAUUUGUUUCACGAUAUCAUCGCGAAGCACGUGGUAACUGGCAAACCAGUUGUGUUGUUUAUUUUUGCCUGUUUCUCUCUCCAAUUGUUAUUUUGGAGUUCGUUGGUUGAUUUAUGGAGUUCGGUGGCCGAUUUUUACAGUAGAAAAUAAAACAGAAACGUAUUUUCAGGCUUAGAUUUGUUCUAGUUUUAUUGAAGAUUCUUUUACUAUAAAUAUAGACAUUGUAUCAGAGUAAACCAUCACUACAAGAAUUUUUCAUUUUACUGGCAGAACUAAACCCUCACUAAUGCAAAACAUCCCUCAGUAAUGCCCAUUACUGGCGGAUUGAUGUCCCUCAGUAAUACUGGAGUCAAUAUUGUUACUGACGGAUUUUUUCCUGAGUAAUGGGGAGAUAGUCUUGACAAAGCUUUACUGAGGGAUUAUUCCGUCCGUCAGAAAUUACUGAUAGAAUAAUCCGCCAGUAAUUACUGACGGAAUAAUCCCUCACUAAUGUUCCAACCUAAUCCGUCCAAGUAUUAUUGACGGAUUUAUCCGCCAGCAAUGUUUAUGCAUAUCUACAUUACUGACAGAAAUUUCCCUCAGUAAAAUACUUCAUACUUUUUUUGUUGAUCCCUUCCCACAUUUUUAUUUUAAUUAAAGAAUUAUAAUCAAUUAAACAUAACUAAAUUAAAGUGUAAUUUAUUAAGACACAAACUAAUUAAACGACAUAUCAUCAAAAUAUUCGUACAAUGCAUAAAUAGUUUUCGUACAAAAUUAUAAAUAUUUCAAUAAUAUUCGUACAAUCUAGAGAAUUAACAGAAUAAACUAAUUAUCAUAAUAUUUGGGCAAAUUCAAUCCCAAUCUCCCUCUGGAUGAUCUCUCGCUCAUAUUUUAUCCUCUCCGGGUAUUUUGGAGAUUUUCUUGCGCAGUAUGAUCCAUAUAAUUAAAGUUUCCACAAAAGUAUCAUACUGACUUUCAAAAGUUUCAAUAAAUGCUCUCAUGGUGGUAUGCACGUAUAUUCAAAAUUCAAAAAUAUAAGUAAGUUAUCUUAUGCCAAACAUUAUUAAGGUUAAGCUUGUGAAAGAAACACACAACUCACGUAAAAAAUAAGAAUCACAUGGUACCUGUUCCAUUGAUGGCAUGGUAUGUCCGGCCUUCUUCCACAACAACUCUGCAUAACUCUGUCGUGUCCAUGUAAAAAACACGGACACAUCACUAAACAAUCUGCAAUUUUGCACUUGUUAACAAAUAGGUUGAUCUUCAAACACUUUUUCCUAGUAUCCCAAGCUAUACUUUCCAAACUUCCUCUCACUAUAUCAUUGUCUCAGUCUUCUUCACAACCUUAUCCCUUCAUGCAACAUAUUAGCAUUAUAGCAAUCUGCAACACUUUAUUCUGCUGACACACAAUCUGCAUCACUUAACCAUGUAUGAGAAAAAAUGACAUCUUUAAAGAAACUUGUUAAAAUGAUGGAACAAUUCACAAAUAGUCUUAAGAAUAAAAUCCAAAAGGGGUCAUGAACUUAACUAUAUAUAAGUAUAAAAAGUUCAUUUACAUGUGAAUAUGUGAUGGAACAAGUGUAACACUUCCUUUCCUACGUAUAUACCAGAUAAGCAUAUUAAACAAAAGGCCCCAGAAACAAUAAGAGUUAGUGAAAGAAAAACCAAUUAUAAGACAAAUAGAGAACUACAAAGACAUCUUCUGAUUAAACUAGUUAUGUCUGUACAGAAACUCAGAAACAAAUCAUAUAUGAUCCCAAAUUCACUUGAUUUUCUUUUUCUUUUUCCUUAUGGGUUAAGAAUUGAACCAUUCAUUUGAUUCCAAGUUCUUGAAUUCUCUAAUCUCUGAUCCCGAAUUCACUUAGUUUAUUUAAAAAUGAAGGAAAUAAGAUGGGUAUAAAUAAGUAAAACAACUUUGAGUAACCCAUUUAAACAAAUCCUUACAGAUCCAAUAGUAACAUCUCAUAUCUACAAAUAACAAACAAAUUAAAUAAAAUGGAAACUUUAAAUAACACAAAAUCAAAUGAAAAAUGAAAACUUUUAAGUAACCCAAAUCAAGUAAAAAUCAAAACUUUAAGGGAGAAUUAGGUGAAUCAAAGGUGCCCAUGAACCUGGUUUAGUGAUAACAACUAAUAAAAUUUAAAUUAAUUAAGGGUAAGAUGAUUUGUUACUCACCCGAAUCUUCUUCAACAUUCUCCUCGAUGCCUCUGAAAAAUUGGUCAAUCAAUGGAAAAAGCUUAACAAACGAAAUAUCAAAAUCGAACUAAAAUAAAAAUAAAAAUUCCAUAAAUUUGGAGCUUUUUUACAAUACCUUUUAGAACUUGAAAUCUUGGAGUCAAAACUAAGAGAAGCAAGUAAUGAUCCUUCUUAUAAGUGUUCUUCAAGGUAGGAGAGAAGCUUUUGAGUUAGCAAUGGGUUGGGGGAGUUCGGGUAGCCGACGGAGAAUGAGAGAGAGAGACGAACAUGAGAUGAAUUUAUCUUCUUUUGUUACAAUUUUAAUGUCUAAGUACCUUUCGUUUACUUGCGGAAAUGAAAGGGUAUUGGCGGAUAUUAGAACAUUAUUGACGGAUUUAAAUCGGCCAGUAAUACAAACAUUACUGUUAUUGAGGAAAAAAAUCCGCCACUAAUUCAAUGCAGAUUGGUUAUUGACAUUAUUGACGGAUUUUUCUGCCAAUAAUACUAACAUAAUUAUUAUUUAUUUUUUUGCGUGUAAUUUUCUGAAUUAUUGAAGGUUUUUUCUGCUAGUAAUGUUAUUGAGGGUUUUUCUUGUGUUACUGAGGAUUUAGAUCGCCAGUAAUUACUGAGGGUUAAAAUCCGUCAGUAAUGAGAUUUUCAAUUGGUUAGUAAUUAAGGGUAUUCUUGUAGUUCAUGAGAUAGAGGGGGCUGAAAGAAGGGUCUAGUAAGACAACAACAAAAAUAGGGUUUGUCUCUUGACAACAGACACUAGGGUUUGAGGGUUGAUUCAUCUUGGGAAACACUAUUAUGAUUGAGUCUCUAGGUUACGGGAAGAGAUUGAGACUUUGGGUAGAAUUAGGCGGGAGAUCCUUAUUCUUGUAAUCCAUUGAUAUCUCUUUUGUAAGGUUACUCAUCAUUAUAGUGAAACGGAGGGCUGCUCUCCCCAGACUAGGUCAAUUUGGACCGAACUGGAUCAACAAAUUCUUUUGUGUUCUCUCUUCUUUUCUCUCUCGCUGUUUUAUACUUUUGGUUUGUUUUUAUAAUUGUUUCAUACACUUUAUUUUGGUUGCAUGAUAAUCACUUACUCCACACAUCAAAUUUAUUAUUGGUGUGAUUUUUCUUCAAAUUCACAAGAGAUUGAUGGCCCAUUAUUCUAGUUAUUCUAUUGAAGAUGACACUGAUAGAGGUGAUGGUUUCUAUUCUCAAAUACUUUAGAGCAUGUGAAAGAUAUUUUGAUUUUGUUUUUUAUUAAAGAAAUAACCUAUAAAUAUAAAUUGUGGCUGUAUGAUUAAAAAAAGUAGCCGCUGUAAGCACUUUCGUGAGACUUCGUGAGGAUAUCUUUCGCAUUAUAUAACACGGCUCGACAAAAUAAAAUACAAUAUUUGGAAUCCAAGACAAUGAUUAAAUGGCAACUAUAAAAUAUUUUAGUAAAAUAUAUAUUUCAUAUUUAUUUUUGCUAGCGUAAGAACUCACUCUUCAAUGCAUGGUGUAAUUGUAAUAUCUUGAGUAUGAGACUCAUCCCAUUCAUAUAACACUCUAUGUGAUUUACAUUUGCCAUCAAUGCACCUAUACCUUAGAUUCCGAGUAUUUGGUGGGCAAUCAUUAACAGUUUUGCAAAGAAUAUACCCUAUAGUGAAAGAAUAUAUAUAAUAAACUAAUGUUAUAAAAAUGAAUUAAGAUUAUAUAUGAACUACAAAUGAAAGAAGGAAAUUUGAAAAGGAUGGAAAAAAAACAUUACCCUCAACAUUAUUUGCAACAAGAAAUAGAAAAAUAAAUAAAAUUAUAGCAUACACAAGCUUAUGAGUCAUAUCUUUCUCUUUACAUACAACAAAUAUAAUUUAUUUGAUCACUUUAUAGGGUAUAAAUUUAACCUCAUGUUUAAGAAAAAUGUAACUAUUUUUACGUCCUAAUAACUUUUAAAAAGCAUUCCCUAAAUUUAAAAUUAUUAUUAAGUGUCUCUUAAGAAGAUCAAUGUGUUAUAUUUGUCCAUUUAUCACACUUAAUAAAGGCGCACCAUAAAAAACUUGCUAAUCAUUAGAAUUUAAUAUUUCGGUAAUUAACCUUAUUGUUUAACCUUACUGUAGAGUUUUUUAUAUAUAAAAAUCAGUUAAUCAUUUGGAAUAGUAUAUAAUUUUAUAAUUGAAUGAAUUCAUCAACAUUCUCAUUCACAUAAAGUCCUUGAUUGGCAUGUACAUACAAAAUAAAUUAGAAUUGAAGACUGAUUAUUCGCGUGAUACAUGAGGGAGAAAUACAACGGACUUCUAGGGUUUCCCCUUGCACUAUCGCCCUACUGAAUUCUGAUUAAUUUGUUCCUUGCUAACUCUCAAGUGGUUUCAUAUGCCGUUGAACCAAAGUAUUAAUGAUAACAUUGUAUAAAAGAACAGUUGGAUACUUUAAUGUAUCUUUAAAUAUGCAAAACCAUAAAAUUAAAUUCUGAUUUAAAGGUCGAGUUUUGGCUCUGAUACAUCAUGCUCUGACCAUAAAAGAAAUCAUUUUGAUGCUAAAGAGAACAAAAGCCUUGAGGAAUGAGAAUCAGAGAUGCAAGGAAAAACACAAGCAAGUAUGAGGAAAAAGAAGUCAUCUUAAUCUUAAUUAGUGUGAUUUUAGUAUUGGAGCAUAAAACAUAGGGGAUAAUAUCAUGUUUUAUACUAGUUAGAUUAGAGACAUUGGUGAGUGGGAGGUGCAAUUAUUGAUGAAAUACGUCAGGCUAUUGCAUAUGCUUACGGAUUAACCUGCACGUCACAAAGCAAAUCAAACUUUUUAAAAGCCUAAUAUAUCGGAAUUAUUGAUUGUGGAUUAGGAUUAAAAAAUCUGCAAUUUUUCAAUUAGGUUUUACACAAUACAAGUGGAGGUCGAGGUCUGCCCAUUAACUUAGUUCGGUUGGGUCCUCGUGAGUUUAACUCGGUUAGUUUGAACAAUGCAUAAUAUAUGUAAAGUUUGGAGUUCAAACCCUGACGACCACAAAAAAACUUAGCUCAAUUGGUAGGGAAUAACAUAUACAGAGAAUGUGCGCAGUUCAAACUUCAGACAUCCCAUUGUUUAUUUUUUAAAGAUUAAUUUUUAACAACUUGACUAACUAGAAAAACUGGAGGUGGAUUCAGCAAUUUUUUCAUGUGUUUUCAAUUUUAUCCAACAUUACAAUUUCAUUUUUAUUUAACAAUGUUUCCAACGACAUAAACCAAUUUUAAAACGUGGGCAAAAAGUAAUCUUAUUACGUUAGAAAUGUAAAAUACUAAUAUUUUAUCAUUCUCUAAAAGUUCAAGUAGCACAUAAAUACAUUUUUGAAAUAAAAGUUGUUGACCUUCUACAUAGAGUUCAGAAGAUCAUGCAUAACAAUAGGGGUGUUCAAAACCGAACCAACCCAAUAGAAAAACCGCAAACCGAACCAACCCAAACCGAAACUGCAAAAAACCGCACUUGGUUCGGAUGAGUUCGGAUGACUUUUAGACUGAACCGCGCGGUUCGGUUCGGUUUGCGAUUUGCAUCUCAGCAACCAAACCAAACCAAACUAAACCGCAAAAAUACUCAAUGUUAUUAAACUAAGUAAGUACUGUACUAGCCCAAUACCAAAGUGAACCCAAGCCCAAGCCCAACCCUAUCCAGCUAUUUUUUGGUUCUUAAAUAUUAUUUUGGUACUGUAAUGUUAUUUUAGAUAAAUAACUUUCAUUGGUAUUGUAAUGCUAUUUUUGAACUUCAAGUUAAAAAAUAAAAAAAUAAAAAAAAAUAAAAAAAAAAAAAACUUCAAGUUCUUUUUUUGAAUAAUUAAAAUUGCUUGGUACUAGUUGGCAAUAUUAGAGUUAAUGUAAUUUUUUUAUUUAUCUCGCGAUUAACCGCAUCAACUGAACCAAUCCAAACCGCAUUGGUUUGGUUUGGUUUGGUUCGGAUGACUUUUUAAAAAUCAACCGAACCAAACCAAACCGCAUGCUUUUUUCUCUCGCGGUUUGGAUGAUUAUUAUGCUUGAAACCGAACCAAACCGCACCGCAAACACUCCUACAUAACAAUGUCAUGUCUCCUUGGUCCAUGAAUGUUGUGUUUACGAUGAUUGAUUUUGUUAUCCAAAAAGGUUUGGCGGCGCAGCUUGUUGCCCGCUUGCCUUUGAUUAAAGUGUAAAUAAUUAAUGGUUUAUAUAUUUGAGAAUAAUUUUGGAACAAGAAACUUAUCAAGAGAAAAAUAUAUGUCAUUUUAUAAAAGUUUAUAUGAGUAUUAGUUUAAGUGACAUAAGUUUAAUUAUUGUUUUUCUUAUGUUGCGGUUUGAUUUGGUUAAUAAAAUAAAAACCGCAAAUCAAAACAAACCAUGCAGUGGAGUAAGAAAAUAAUCUUAAUACAUCUGAACUAAAUGCAUUUUUUACAAUUUCGGUUUUGAUUGAUUCAGUUGGCAGCUUUUCUAUUAGGUUGAUUGGUUUUUAACACCCUAAUCAAUAUCAAAAACGAAGUUUUUGAACUAGCCUUAUCCACCGGCUAACUUGUCUUUACACACGAUUAAAAAACCCACACUUAUCUUUGCAACUAUAGAGCAUAUUCUUUCGAUCAAUCAAACUAGUCCAGAGAAAGCAAUCAUAUUGCAUGAAAGCAUUUACGGGAUUCUUUUAUAAAAGAAUGAAGACAAUCAAGGACACUUCUAGAUAAAAGGACAAUUAAGAAAUAAAUUAUUAUUUGAAUUCUCUUUAAAAUUAUAUCCACUUAUGCAUCUAGUUUAAUAUGAGUCGUUGAUUUCUCGUAUGGACCACUAAGGAAGGUUACAAAUCCCACAAAUUAGAAGGUCUAUAAACCUUCACUAACCAACAAGAUAUAAGCGUGACAAAAAUCAUGCACAUCAGUUUAUAGUGAUUUGAUUAGACAAAAACUAAAAUCGUCACAAAAUUAUUUUAAAUCUCAUAAAAUGGAUCUCUGAUUUUUAAUUUUUUUCAGAUGGAUCGUGGCAGAGUCAUUGAUGGGCUCCACCACUGCCAAUUGGGCAUUAAACAAAUUAUCUUUAACGAUUUUAAGACCCAUGAAGGGCUCUUCCACUACCUAGAAGCCGCCCUACCUCCUUAAUUAUGAGAUAAGAGCUUAUACCAUAAACCUUCUUAAUCUACCUUAAGCUUCCAAUACCAUUUUCGUAAAAUUGAAAAAUUAACUUUCAUUUCUCUCUGAACACAUAAACCUCUUUUACUUCUAUCUAAACAAAUAGUGCACCCCAAUGAACUCUACGAGCUUCCUCACUCGCCUCCUCAAAGAAAUUUUAUAAAAAGGUAAUCAAUUUAAAAAAACUAUCUGAGGGAGUCUUGAAGAAGGAAAUAUAGUAAAUCGAAAGAGACAAUGGACAUUUAAGAAGAACAAGACGACUAUCCAUAGAUAGAUUACAACUUUUCUAUCCAAAGAGACAUUUCUUACCCAAACUUGGAAGGUGAAUGUAUUUAAAGGGAGCCCUCUUGAUUUUGCAAUUAAGAACUAUAGAUACAUCUUCUAACCAGAUAGGAGAUAUAUUAACACCAAAUAAUAGACGGUUAUGGAAGUUAAUUAACUUUAAGGCCUAAAAUUUUUUAUUUAUUUUUGACAAAUGGCCUAAUUUUUUUUUAAAAAGGACAAUCUUGGCUUGUCGUAGCAAUUCCAUAACUUAUUAAAAAAUAACCAUAACUUAUCAUAGCAAUUUCGCAACAAAUCUACGACAACAUAACUUAGACUUGUCGUAGCAAUUCCAUAGCAAAUCUACAGCAGAAAUUUAACAAAAUUUUCUUUAGUGGAUCCUAGCAAUUAGGACCUUUUAACCUUAUUAAAAAAAACAUUUAAAUCACUCCCAAUCAAUUAAUAAGAAACUUUAGUUGAACACCACAAAAAAUACAAAAUAGUAUUGAUAACAAAUUAGGUCUCAUACAAUGCUAAUUUAUGAAGCUAUUUCAAACAAACUAACAUGCACUUAUGGUAGUCCUCGCACAUCACAACGUGCAGAAAAGUUUACCACAUCCCAUUUCUCUAUUUUAACAGGUUGCACAUUUUUCUGGAACAAAGUUUAAAACAUUAGAAAAUAAAUAUUAUAGAUGAAACAUACCAGUAAAUUAAAAUUGGAGCUCAGAUUUGACAUAAAUACCUUGUUAUUGAAGUUCCAUCUCCCAUUCCUGGGAUUGAAGUCUUCGCCAUUCCCAUACUUCAACUGUAAGUCAAAAUAAAUAAACAGGAACAAAAAAAAUUCUUCAAAAAGUAAUUUCGAAAAUCUUUCUUAGGUGAGUGCUUGAGAAUGUUUCCAGGAACAACACCUGUCUUCUUCAGAGUAAACUUACAAUGCCAACAUUUUCAUUAAUAACAACGUCCAUCAUGAAGAACAGCAACUACAAAUAACAGUUUCCAAACCUUAAAAAUGGAUACACAUCAACAGAAAUGGGAUAGAAAAAUCAACAAUUCAAUAAACAUACACAUUGAUAUAUCACUAUCAAGCUGUUUUGAAUAAAUGCCCCCACUCAAGGACUGACAGGCCCUUUGGCCCCCGACUAAGGGGCUACUGUUUCGAUACAUAAAAAAGUCUCACAUUGCUAAAGAACGUGGUAAGAGUAACAACAAUAUUCAUCUCUUCAACUCACAAACACCUAUUUCAAUGACUCAACAAACACCUCUUACAAUGAAUAAAACCUCCUUAAAGGCUUUAGCAAUGAAGAAGGCAUAACACCAAGUAAUGUGUUCUGAGUGCCUCUUGUACUCACCUUAAUACAUUUCAUUAUAGAGUCAAAAAUGUAUUAAAUUUUUUUAAAAGUUGAAAAUAUCCUUAAGACUGUAUUUUUAUAUUAUAUUUCCUUUAAGACAAUGUUUGACUAUAUAUAAUAAAAAAAUGUCAUGCUAACUUGUGCCUUAAACACAAAAGUUAAGAUUUAAAAAAGGAAAUGAAAAAUAAAUUCAGCAUUGAAAAAAUUAACUUUUAAACUUCUUAGAUGUUAAAAGCACAAUUUCAAUACAAUAUUUUUAUGUUCAAUAUUAUAUUUUUAUGUCUAGUUUUCUUAACAUGUGCCCUUAAUUAGCUUUUCGCAUAAAAAAAUGUUAAAAUGUUAUUCUUGCCACAAAUUUGUUGGAUUGUUUUUAACUUAUUGUCUGCUUCAAUUUGAGUAUGAUGUAAGCUAUGAUAGUGUUGUUUUUAAAAUGCACUACAGUGAGUUGAACAAAGUGCCAGUGUGUGUGUGUUUUUGUUUCAAAAACAGAAAAGUAGUUGUUUAUUUAUUUAUUUUGAUAGCAGAGAAAUAUAUAUUCACAAUGAGAUCCAUCAGUAUAAAAAAUAAAGACCCUGCUCAAACCAAAGUACUCGAAAAUUGAAUUGUUGUUAGUAAGCUAUCAGGUGCGUUUCAUCGAGUUAGAAUCCUCUUCAUCUAGUGUACUCUUCCAUCUCCAUUUCUUCUAUUUGGAGAAAUAAAGACACAAUGAAGUUUGAAAAAAAUAUAAAUAAAUUAAUAGUGGCAGGAACCACUUAAUAGUAUGACCCACUAUCUACUUUUUUGUAUAUAUCUCUCCGCAAAUGAUAUUCUCUAUUUAUUUGAAACAAAUGGAGAAGAUGCUUACUCGAAUUUCAUCUUCCACGAUACAAAUGGGUAAACAGUUCUAUCUAGCUAUCAAAUGAGUAAAAAACAUUUGCAUAACUUAAAUUCAGCUGUAUCUACAACUUUUAUAUGGAUAAUAUAUGUUUUACUUUUGAUGAUUCAAUAUUUUUCCUAGUAUUUAAGAUCGGAAAGAGUAUUAAAAAUUGUAGUCUUCAUAAUUAGAACACGGAAACAUAGACUUUUUGACUUUUGGGGAUCGCUUUUAACUUUAAGUUUUAGAUUAAACUAACAAAAUACACUUGAUCACACGUUGUUGAUUAAUAUACGAAGGUAAUUUCACCAAAAAAUAUACUAAGGUAAUGAUUAUAACAUUACACGUAAAGUAUUUAAUCAUUGUCAAAAAAGAGUCAAGUAUUUAAAAAAAAAGGGUAAAGUAUGAUUUUAGUCUCUAUGAAAUUAUUAACUUUUGCGUUUCAUAACAUAAAAAAAGGGGAGCUUUUUGUUCUUAUACAACUUUCCUCCAUGCGAUUUUAGUCCUUACUAAAAUCAAUUUUUCAAUAUUAUUCUCAAACUUUCUAAACUCUUAAAUGAUUUUGUUCAAGUAUGUUUAGAUUUUUUAAUAUGGGAUAAAUACAAUAUAAAUUUAUAAUAUAAAAAAAUCAAGAUAAGGUACUGGAAGUUUGGAAUAAUAAAACAUGAUAUGAAAAUUUUAUAGGGAGCUCAUAGUGCCAUUUUAUUUAGUGUGAUGAAAAAUAAAAAUUGGUAAUUUCGUAGGGGCAAAAAAUAUAAUAAAAUGAAAUAUCAAAUUUCACUCGAAAUUAUUCAAAUAUAAAAUUUUCUAUCACAUUUACAAAUAAAAUAUUAAUAAAUAUAUACUUUCAUUUACAUGUAAAAAUAUUAUAUUACUAUAGAACUAUUACGUCGUUCAUUAAGGAUAGCUUCGUGCCAACUCAUUUUAACAAUAUGUUUUAUGUUGAGUAUUCCUUCAUGAGGGGAUUGAGAAAUGAAAUUUGUAAAUGUCAGAUGCACAUUAGGUGUUUGAUGUUUUUGAGUGAUAUAAAUAUGAAGUUAGGGUUUAAUUGGAAAAAGGUGGGAAAGGAUAAAUUCCUAUGAGUUGAGGAAAGUAAAUAAAUUGCUAAUUCAUGCAUGUAUCGUUAAUUCUAGAAAAGAUCUGAAGUAAUAGUUUCUCAAAGUUUCAACCAGAGAAGAAAGAGAAAAAAUGAAGUGAAAAAGAUUAUUGAUUAGUUCAACUGAAUUCUGUUACAAUGAAUGUAGAAGUUGGUUAUGACAGCUAUGUCUAACUAACUUCUAUCUAUCUAAAUGUAAAAGAAAUACAAAUGAAAUUACAUGUAAAUAAGGUAAUUUCCACCCACAAGCUGGAGGUUGGUAGAUAUCCACCAUCCCAAGCUUGGUGAUGCAUUCAUAGAAUUGCCUUGGCCCUGCUGCUUUUGUGAACACAUCUGCAGUUUGAUUACGAGAAGAAAUAGGUAACAGUCUCAUUACUCCUGCUUGCACUUUCUCACGUACCAAGUGACAGUCUAUGUCCAGAUGUUUUGUGCGUUCUGAUGUAGUAUUUUUGCAUCAAACAAUUGUAAGUAUUUGUAUCGUCUCCACAGGGACUGGUGCGAUAUUCUAAGCCGUUCAACAAUUCAUACUAUUCUGAGCUAGGGUUUCGAAGUUGUUUUUGUUCAUAAACUAUAGAACUAAAGAAAGGUAAAUGGGACGAAAGUUAACAGGGAAAUGAUUAUGUUGGGAUUAAACUUCAUCAACCUAUUCAUACGUAUUCUCGGAUUAGUGUUGCAGAUCUUAAUUAUCAAUUGAUAUUAUCACAUAUCGCUCGACAACAUCAUUCGUGUCCAAAUGAUGUCGUGAAUUCUAUUGAGUCGUUCAAUCGUUGAUUUCCCAAACUACUAAACGAUCCACUAGUCGAUUGUAUCGUUGUAUAGUUGAUUUCCCAAACUAUUCAAUGAUGCAAAAGCUUUAAGUUCCAAUAGUCAAAGUGAUUACCAAAACCUAAUUCAAUGUCUAGAACAAGAGAUUUGAUAGAAGAUUAUUCUAACCUAGAUUCAAAAGGUAUUUUUCAAUCACGAUUCAAAUCCAUAAGAUCAAAAUGGAAAACAAGAAUAACCUCAACAUCAAAAGAUAACUAAGAACAAACAACAUCAUAAUCAAAGGGAAUACAUACUAAUAGAGUUGAUUACAUUCAAUCCCAACAAAAAGAGUUUAGCUACACAUUGUCAUGGUAACCUUACAAGGAGAAAAGAAGAGAUGAAAUGAGCAAGCCAUGAUGUCUCAAUGAUCUUGGAGAUUCCUUCAAUCCUUGUGCUCCUUGCUCCUUAAGUUCUCUCAGGUUUUCCCCUGCUUUUUCUCUCCCUAAAGUGGUCUAUGAUAUGAUAUGAUAAUAAUAUCAGAUAUCCCUGCUGAUCUGAGUGAAUGGCCUUUAUAUAGUUUUGAUCUGACUCAACUCGCCUCGCGAGUAGGUGUUCUCGCCAUGGCGAGUUGAGCUUUCUUCCCCUAUAGGUUUCUGCCACGUCAGCUUGAAGAGGUUAGGCCGCCUUAGCUCGCCUCACGAGUAGUUUUGCUCGCCAUGGCGAGCUCUUGGAUUUCCUUGCUCGCCUUUCACUCGCCAUGGCGAGUUGGAAGCAAGUGAGAGAUGGACUUUCUGCCUCAGCUCGCCAUGAAGUCGCCUUGGGCUCGCCUGGCGAGUUGACCUUUUCAUUUCUUCAUGUUUUCUUGCUUUUUAAGUAUCCAGGAAUGCAUUUUCCUACACAAACAGUUGGCAUUAGAUGUAAAAAGCAUAAUUGAAUGAUUCUUCAAUAUUUCUGAGCUUUUUCACUAGAUAACUUGCGAACCAAGUAAUCAAAGUGCCUAAAAUGUAUGUCCUAUUUAACUGUUUUCUGACACUUAUCACGUUCAUGAAACACAGGAUUAGCUGAAAUAUGCAAUGCACUCUGGUUAUCACAGUACAAAACAGGCAAACGAGAAGGAGCUUGAUGGAAGUCAGAUAAGAGAAAGCACAUCCAUUGAAGCUCUCUUGUUGCUGAAGCUAGUGCCUUAUACUCAGCUUCUGCUGAAGAACAUGAAACUGUAGGCUGUUUCUUGGAUUUCCAGGACACUAGAGAACUUCCAAUGAAGAAACAAUAGCCAGAUAUGGAUCUUCUGGUAUCCACAUACCCUCCCCAAUCAGCAUCACUGAAACCAAAAAUUUGUAAAUCUGCAGAUUGGGGAAAGAAAAGGCCACAACCAGGAGAUCUUUUAAGGUAUCUAAGCACUCUAAGAGCAGCUUUAUGAUGUGUUUCAGUGGGGCAUGAUGUAACACCCCGUUUCCCAAAAUCAAUUUAAUUAUAAUUAUAAAAUCAGAGUUCCACAUUAAACGGCAUGUCACACUACAAAAUAUAAAUUCUUAAAUAGAUUAAAACUAUUUAACAACAUCCUUCAUUAAACUGCAGCGGAAAAUUCUUUAAAUUAAACUCCAUUAUCCAAAAUAAUCUUGGCAUUAAGCCACAACAUAAAAUAUUUCAUCGUUCAUAGGGCUACAACAACAUUAACCAAAAUUUGAUACAUAGAAUGAAUUUAAACAAUGAAAUCCCAUCCCACGUAUCAGAGCCCUAGACACUUGAGCCACCACCAACUACUCAGGAUCACCUGCAAGUUACCCAUAGGAAGGGCAACAUUUUCAAGCAGAAGGGGUGAGAUUCACAACAAAAUAUAGAUAAAGAAUACAUCAAUUGAAUCUAACACCCUAUCAUAAUUCAUCCACAUAUUAUUAAUUUCAUAACAUCAUUUUUGCAUAUUAUUAAUAAUAUUAAUUCAUACACCUCUCAACAAUAUAUGCAACUUAUCACCACUCCACUAAGACUCCUCUAAACUCCCAUGCAUGUGGUACCAUAAAUCAGGGCCGUGACCCACACCGCUGUCGAAUGGUUAAAGCAUUCUCAACAGGACAUAAGUCCUCACCACUACACCACUUUGAGUAACUAGUACUCCACCACUUUGAACGACUAAGCAUUCCAGAGCCGAAGCUCUCCCACUGUUAUGUUAAUGCAACUAAUCCCCAUAGAGUAUAUCUACAUACCAACCAACCUAGACAUAUACAUAUAUAUGAUUCACCAACCAACUUACACCUUUAAGGGAAUUUAAUUAUAUACAACAUACACCAGUCAGCAUCCAUUCAUCAAAACCAACUAAGCAUCUAGGGAAAUAUAUAUCAGCAUACAAGCCAUGCAAUAAUUCAACAAAAUACACAAUCCAAACAACAACAGAAAUUAACCAACCAAAUACUGGGCAGCUCGCCUCGCGAGCUCAUCUACUCGCUAUGGCGAGCUCAGAAAAACGGGUACUCGCCAUGGCGAGUUGGAGGCGAACUCGAGGCGAACAGAAAUAUGGUGCUCUCGGGAAAAAUGACAUUUUUCUCACUCAAACCUCAAUUCUAAGCUCCCUAAUCAUCUUUUACACUUAAAACUUGCUCUAGUCCUCUUAAAAAUCAUCUAGGUACACGAAACUACCCAAAAUACGGCUUAUAACAAUUUUUUCAAAAUCCAGAUUUUCACAAGGCUACUCGCCAUGGCGAGCUGUAUCACUCGCGAGGCGAGCCAUGAAGUUGUUCACUCGCUAUGGCGAGCAAUGGCUACUCGCGAGGCGAGCGAUGAACUCCUGUACGGGCAGAAUGCAGGUUUUUCCCAAAAAUCCCAUUUUUCCUCAAAUCACUCCCCAAAUUAGUUUACAGAUAUGCAAUGAAAGGUUUUAUGCACCCAGAACCCAUUUCUACCCUCAAUUCUAUGAUUCCUACACCCAAAACUCCUUUAUCAACAAAACCUAAUUUCUCCCAAAUCCUCACAUAAACCUGUUAGAACACAAUCAACAUUCAGAAUCUAUAUAAUUGCGGUAAACCUCACCCUUACCUUAGAUUUGCAGAAAAAAUACAGCAGCAAAUGAUUCCUAAGCUUCUCUCCCUUGCACUAGCUUUUCUCCCAAAACUUGUAUGUUUUCACGUAAAACGUUUUCUCUGUUUUUUUCUCUGAUCAUCUUGACUUUUUAUGUAGUCUCCUGAACCAAAUCCGGUCCCAGCACAACACUUUCUCCUGACUCAAACCAACACAACGGAGUCCUGCACCUUCGACCAUACAAAGCUUCGAAGGGUGCCAUUCCUAUACUCGAAUGAUAACUGUUGUUGUAGGUGAACUCUAUCAAUGGUAGGUGACUAUCCCAAGCUCCACCCUGUUCAAGCACACACACUCUCAACAAGUCCUCCAAUGAUUGGAUCGUCCUCUCCGACUGACCAUCUGUUUGAGGAUGAUAAGCCGAACUCAGCCUCAACUUCGAACCCAAAGCGUCCUGUAAACUCUUCCAGAACCUAGAAGUGAACCUCGGAUCCCUAUCCGACACAAUACUCGAAGGAACUCCAUGUAGCUUUACCACACUAUGUAUAUAAAUCUCAGCCAACUGAGCUACUGGAUAACUGAUGUUGAUAGGAAUAAAAUGUGCCGACUUCGUCAACCUAUCAACCACCACCCAAAUCGAAUCAUGUCCCCUCGGAGUGUUUGGUAAACUCGUCACAAAAUCCAUAGAAAUGCUAUCCCAUUUCCACUCCGGUACAUCCAAUGGUGUCAACAAUCCUGCAGGUUUCUGGUGUUCAACCUUAGACUUCUGACAAGUUAAACAUGCAUACACAAAAUGAGCAACAUCUCGCUUCAACCCAGACCACCAAAACAGCUUUUUCAAAUCAUGAUACAUCUUCGUAGCUCCCGGAUGAAUGCUUAAGCUACUCUUAUGACUUUCCUCUAGGAUUAACUUUUUCAUUUCUUCAUUAUCAGGAAUACAAAUUCUACCUCUGAAUCUCAACACACCCUGUUCAUCAACCUUGAAGUCACUAUCUUCAACGCCAUUACCAGCAACCAUCAGAUCAACCAACUUGACAUCCACUUGCUGUGCUUCUCGGAUACUACUCAGAAAAUCACUGUUAAUCUUUAGCAUCCCCAACUGUACACUUUGAGGCGACAACUCACAAACCAAACUCAUGUCUCUAAACUGUUCCAAUAAAUCAAAUUCUUUCAUCAUCAUAGCAGACAUAUGGAGUGUCUUCCUACUCAAUGCAUCCGCGACUACAUUAGCUUUGCCUAUUAAAUUGAUUUUGGGAAACGGGGUGUUACACAUGACAUAAAUUGGCUUAAUUGUUGAGUGGCAAAUGCAAUGUCUGGUCUAGUAGUUGUCAGAUACAAUAAUCUGCCAACUAACCUCCGAUAAGCAGUAAUGUCAGUGUAGGGAGGUCCUCCAUCUUGAUAUAGGCGCAAAGAAGGAUCAAGUGGAGUACUAGCAGGUUUACAUGAGAUGAGGCCAGCAUCUCCUAAAAGCUCAAGACAAUAUUUCCUGUGGCACAAAGAAAUACCUUUAGAAGUGCGCGCAACUUCCAAACCAAGAAAAAAUUUGAGGGGUCCCAAAUUCUUAAUACAAAAAGCAUUAUGGAGAGCAGCUUUAAGAUCAUCAAAAAAAUCCAAAGAGGUACCAGCUAAAAUAAUGUCAUCCACAUAAACAAGGAUAACAGUGAAGGGCGUGGAAGUGGAUUUGAUGAAUAGGGUAUGAUCUGAAGCUGCUUGUGUAAAUCCCUGUGUGAAGAGAAACUUAGUUAGCUUUUCAAACCAUUGCCUACUAGCCUGUUUCAGUCCAUACAAUGAUUUCUUGAGUUUACAAACUUGCCCUGACUUUGGAGAAAUCACACCUUGAGGUAUUCUCAUGUAAACAGACUCAUUGAGGUCUUCAUGUAGAAAGGCAUUGUUAACAUCUAACUGAUGUAGAUGCCAACCAUGAAUAGAUGCCAAUGCUAAUAGAACUCUAACAGUGGACAACUUAGCAACUGGGGAAAAAGUUUCAAAAUAAUCCAAGCCUUCAGUUUGAGUGAAACCUUGUGCCACAAGUCUUGCUUUAAAUCUUUCAAUAGUUCCAUCAGCAUGCCUCUUAAUUUUAUAAACCCAUUUGCUUCCAAUAGUGACAACAUUGGGAGGUAAAUCAACAAACUCCCAAGUAUUGUUUUCAUUAAGAGCUCUUAUCUCAUUAUCCAUAGCUGCUACCCAUCUAGAAUAUUUGCUAGCAGCUUGAAAAUUAGCAGGUUCCACUUCUGAUGUGAGGGAUAGUGCAUAAGCUUGAUGUUGAGGAGAUAAUUGUGAAUAUGCUACAUAAUUGGCUAUAGGAUAUGUUUUAGAGGAACAUAUGUAAUCUUGUAAAUGUGAAGGAGGAUUACUAACUCUGUGGGAUCUUCUAACAGGCUCAGCAUGAGCUAUUGCAUCAUUGGGACCAGGCACUGCAUCAAGUUGCUCAGCUUCUGAUGCAGUGUCAGCUUCGGGGGUGGAUACAAAAUCAUCAGACACUUCAUGUGCAUUAGUUUGCAUAGAGAAAGAAGGAACUGUAGUCUCUAAGUAAAUGUGUGUAUUAGGAAUAGCAUGCACAGUAGAAGAGUGAAAAGGGAACUCCAGAUCAAAGAACUUCACAUUCCUAGAAAUCAAUAUCUCAGUGGAAUGUACAUCAACUAAAAUGAAACCUUUCAUUUCUGUCUUGUACCCUAAAAAGGCACAUUUUCUUGCUCUAGGGUCAAAUUUGUGUCUGUUAGUAGGUAAAGUAGAAGCAUAACUCAGACAACCAAAGACUUUCAAUUGAGUGAGAUCAGGUGCAUGUCCAUACAAAACUUCAUAUGAGGAUUUAUUGUGUAAAACUUUAGUGGGAAUUCUAUUUAGUAAAAAAACUGCAUGUAAAACAGCAUAUGACCAGAAUUUCUUUGGUAACUUAGAUUGAAACAUCAGAGCCCUGCUAAUGUUCAAAAUAUGUUGGUGUCUCCUCUCAACCCUACCAUUCUGUUCUGGUGUAUAAACACAACUCUUUUGAUGUAAAAUUCCUUUGGCAUCAUAAAAAUCUUUCAAAAAAAAACUCAGGACCAUUGUCACUUCUAAUGGUCUUCACUUUCUUUUCAAAUUGAUUUUCCACCAUAUGAACAAAACUCUUCGCUUUAUCAGAAGCUUCAGAUUUAAAUUUUAACAUAACUACCCAAACAUUUCUUUGGCAUUAUUUUUACUGACAGGAAAAGGUAAUUUCUUCUGUCUAGCCAUUUGACAAACAUCACAGGCUGUAUGUAAACUAACAGGAAUGUAGCUAUACAUUUUAUUCAUGCAUUGCAUUCUAUCAUGAGAUAGAUGCCCUAACCUAAGAUGCCAUAAAAUUCCAGGAGGAAUGACAUUCUUAGGUAAGCUAUCAGAAGCAGAAAUACUUGAAAUUUUGGCUGCUUUAUUCUUGGUCUUUUCAGCCUUCGAGUAAUAAAGUCCAUUCAUCUCUUUAGCCAAACCAAUCCUCCUCAAAUCCUUCUUUUCCUGUAUAAUGCACUGAUCAGACUCAAAACCCAUAAUACAAUCUUGUUCCUUACAUAACUUGGAAACAGAUAUAAGAUUCACAGCAAAAUCAAGCAAAUACAGCACAUCAUCAAUUUGCAAGUGCUCAUUAAUGUUAUACCCUGAUUUUGGACCUAAAAAUACUCGUUCAAAUUUCUUUUCUAACACUGAUACUUGUCAGUUCGCUGUUAUUUUACUCUGAAUCUUUACUCUCUUUUUAAAAUAUAUUUUACUGCCUCUGUCUGUCUUUUCUUGCAUUACAAGUCAUUUAAGAACUCUCUGAAACGUCGCGUUACUUUUCUUGCAUUUUAUUUCAAAAAUCAUACAAAAGGGUAUUUUGGUCAUUUCCUGCAGUGGAACCCAUUUUAGUCCCUGUGUUUGCCUCUGAGUCUUUUCAACCUGUCUGUACGAAUCAUUGUUGAGUCUUCGUUUAAAAAUCAUUUCAAAAAUUGCAUCUGAGUCAGUUUGAGUCAGUUUAGUCCCUAGGGGCAUUUUGGUCUUUUCCUGUCAAAAUUUCGGCAGGGAGGUAUUUUAAAAUACCUCAUGUCAGUAGUUGGUUCGUUUUAGUCCUUUUGUUAAUUUUAUUUUUGGUUUCGCUUUACGUUUCGUCAAAUUUACUUUUUAGUCCAAUUUUUUUUUUAAUCACGUUUUGGUCCAAAACUUCUUAAAAUUACUUUUUAGUCCUUUUCCUUAUUAUUGCAGUUUAGUCCUCAAUUUCACUGUUUUGCAGAAAGGUCCUUAAAUCACAAAUUUCCCAAGGCCGAGCCAACCAAGUUCACAAACAGGUGGCAUUGCCCCAUUGGUCCAGGAAUACACAUGGCAGGCUAUAAAUAACACACAGUGUCAGAAAUUCCAGGGGGAUCCAAAAGAAAAUCAGAAUCAAUCACAAUCAGUCUCAAACAGAAUCUUUUUCUCUCUCUCAUCCAUAACAGAAUCAAAAACAGAAAAAUCUCAGAAAAAAAGAGGAAGAACACCAAGAACACAUCAUCACCAAAAUCAACAGAUCUAAACCGGAUCUGCUCAGAAUCAACUCCAAUCACCACAAAAUCAACAAAUCCGAACCGGAUUCACUCAAAACCACCGCGAAUCAUCACAUCAACACCAAAACGUACCGGAUUUUUGAGCAAAAAACAACCACAAACGGAGUUGAAACGCGCGCGCACGGAGGGGGAAAAAGGGAGAUUCGAAGUUAUCCGAAGAUUUUUCUCCGUUCUACGAUAGAGGUAACGCAUUUCUCUCCUCUUUUUCUUCAUUUUCGCGCGCGCAUAUAGUGUAGAAAAAGUGUGAAAAAGUUUGUUACGGAUAUGUAUUUGUAGAUCUAGGCUUGUACGUUCGGAUUUUAGAAAUUCAGAGACCGGAUUCGGACUCUAUAGAGAAAAGGAUAUCUAGAUCCGUAGUUUUUUUUUUUUUUUUUUUGCGAAAAGUGUGAAAAAAAUUUCAAAGUAAAAAUGUAGAUCUAGUCCGAAUCGCUCCGUUCUCGCUAAAACUAACGCGGGAUUUGUGUAGAGGAGGUGGUGACGGAACUUUUGAUGUAAAAAUUUCGAAAAAAAAAAAGAAAAACGCUCCGACGCGGCGGCGCUACGGCCGGCCACCGCGCCGGAGCAACUCCCACCACCACCACUUAGCUCUCGCCGGCGGCGAGUUUCUAGAGAGAAGGGAGAGCAUUUUUGUGAUUUUGAGUUUUAGAGAGAGAAGGAGAAGGGGUUUAUGUGUUUUUUGUGUGAAAAUUCCUUUAUAUACUCCCUCCGUUCCCACGCGCGCGCGUGCAUGUUUCUGUGGUGUUCCCUCGCUCUGUGAACCAUCGGAUCUGGAUUGUUCCAAGAUCUGAUGGCUGCUGUGUGUUUUGAUCUUGAAUCAUGUGUGUGAUCUUCUGUGUGAAAUAUGUUAUAUCUUCUGUUUGAACCGUUAGAUCUUUGAUCUAACGGUCAUUGUGCUUCCUGCAAUUUUACACUAUCUUUUUUGUGUUUUUUAAACCCUUGGAUCUUUGAUCCAGUGGCUGUGAUGAGAUCUUGGGAGUUAGAUCUGGACCUCUGGAUUCAUCCAACGGUCCAGAUUAUAACCUGCUGAGUUUUUUUUUAAUUGCUUUUUUUGUUGUGUUUUUAAAUACUUUUUUACACUUUCUUGGCAUUUUAUGCUCCUAAAAAUUUUCUAAAAAUGUUUCCCUAUCAUUUUAAUUUUUUCUCUAAAUGUUAGAAUUUACUUGCUUAUAUUUUUCUAUUUUCUUCAUUUGUUCUUUUUAAUUCUUGCUCAUUAAAUUCCUAUAUGUUCUUGGUGCAUUUUUUGACAUUUUGUGAUAUUUUUUUAUUUUUUUUUUUACAUGUUAAAUAAUGUGUAGAAAAUAUCCCUAGGAAUAUGGUAUGAUGCUUUGCUUGUGUGUUUUUAUGAUCCUCACAUUGUAGCUUAAAAUCAAAUCUCUUUUAAAAAUGGUUAUGAUGAGGGAAUUAUAAGCCAUAUGCAUGUCUAAGUGUCAUAACCAAUUUUAGGUAUAUUUUGCCAUUUUAUUUCAUUUCAUUACUUUUUUUUUUCUCUUGCUAUUCUAUUCAAUUUUGUUUACCUUUCUACUAUUUUUAUGCCUUAUGAUACUAACCAUUUCAUCUCACAUUUCAUUCAUCCCAUAGUUUUGGCAUCAUUUUUUUAUUCAUUUCUAUAUCAAUUGGGUUUGUAAUAAUUUUAGAUAGAUUAGUUCUUUUUUAAAUUCCUUGCAAGACCAUAGCAUGUAUUUAGGACUCAAUGUAAAGGACUAUGGACACUAUAAGGGAUGUACACCGACACAAGCACUGACACGCACACACGCUGCAUGCUUACCGUUUAGAUGUAUGCUUAGGAAAUGCGAUUUUUAGACAAAUGUCAAUUUUCAAAAAAAUAAUAAACCAAUUCCAUCACUCAAAUUUUUCCAAACAAAUCUUGGAGUCAAAACUCCAUUGAAUUUCUUCUUUUAUUUUCUUAAACAAAUCCAAAUGAAUCCUAAUUUCUACUUAGACUUUUUUAAUAACAAUUGAACCAACCAUUCACCAUUUUUCUCUCUUAUGCCUUUAAGGCCUCUUUCUCUUCUUCAAAACCAUUUUCCAACAAAAACUAAAAUCAACCAAACACACAAAAAAACAUUUUUCGAGAGAGAACUACAUGGAGUUUGAUCCCUUAAAUGGGUAUGUAGGCAUGAGGUCAAAACCUCUCCAAGUCCACUAAAAUAAAACCUCAAACACUUUCUCCCCCCCAUUCUUAACAUAGGUAAAUUUCCUUUUUCAUAAGUAGCAUUAAAAAUAAAGCGUAGACAUAAACUAAGAAAACGGCUCCUAUAGAGUACUAUAGUCACCGCGGGUGCCUAACACCUUCCCGUAGUGAAAACGACCCCCGAACUUAGAAUCUAAGGGUUUUUUCUCAAUUUUGCCCUUCCCAAGAAAAAAUAGAGAAUAUCAAAGAUUGAAAGGUUCAAGCCUAAUUAAUGACUUGACACCCGAAAAUCGCGAUAACAGAAAUGGCGACUUCACUGGGGACACUUUUUAGCGGGUCACGCCUAGUUUUCCUUAGUUUAUAUUUACACUUUGUUUUAUUGCUUACAUAUGUGAAUACUUGUUUAUCUUUAUUUGACGUGUGGGGUGAGAAUAUCAAAAGUCCUAUACCCGGGCUGAGUGAACUUAUGAAUAGGUAGAGAUAUAAUCGACAAUUCGAUCCGAGGGUUGCCUCGUGUAUUGGGUUAUGCGAUCAAUCUCACAUAGCUGAGGCAUUUUGGAAGUAAUAUUGUCGGCGUGUGUUGUCAUGCUUAGGCACUUUGCUUUCAAUUGUUCGACGAUGCUAUGGACCGUAGUUACCAAACCCAUCCCUGGCCUUUUUAGGACGUAGUGCGGUGGCUAAACCGAGUGUUGUCUCGAGUUUUAGUCGUCACGCGAUACUACACUCAAACUAGACCUUCUUGCGAAUAAACAUGGAACGGACGUUGUCCCGUGCUACCAUGAUAUACGUAAGAGAGGUUGCAGUUUGGGAACUUGAUUAGAACCUUGGUUACUAUUAUCCUAAACUUUAGUUUACCGGGCACCGUGUCCGCCCGUGGCUCCUCGACUUUAAUCUCAACCCUCCAUGUUUUCUCUGUAAUUGAAAAAAAAAAAAAAAAACAAUCAUGCAUACAUGCAUUCAUGCAUAAAUUUUUCUCAUGCAUUCAUCGAAGGAUUGGACAAAUUAAAAACUUUGUAAACAUUACAGGUAUGAAGAAGACUAAAUCCUACAAGUUCAAGGAGGUUGAUUUGGUUGGUUUGAGAGAAUUGGCACUCAAGGUUAAGAAUCAAACAGGUUUCCGACUCCGGUAUGUUGGUUUGCUUACUAUUCUCCGGACUAAUGUUGAAGAGAAGCUCGUGCACACUCUAGUGCAAUUCUAUGACCCGAGAUUCCGCUGCUUCACUUUCCCGGAUUUCCAGUUGGUCCCUACUCUUGAGGCUUAUUCCCACUUAUUGGAUUCACCUAUAGCCGAGAAGACGCCUUUCACCGGUCCCGGGACUUCUCUUACUCCUUUGGUUAUUGCUAAGGAUCUCUAUCUCAAGACUUCCGAUGUCUCCAAGCAUCUUACUACUAAGUCUCACAUCCGAGGGUUCACUUCAAAGUAUCUACUUGAGCAAGCUAAUCUCAAAACUACUUGUCAGGACGCACUCGAGGCUAUUCUUGCAUUGCUUGUCUAUGGGCUCAUUCUCUUCCCGAAUCUCGACAACUUUGUGGACAUGAAUGCUAUUGAGAUCUUCCAUUCCAGGAAUCCGGUUCCUACUUUGCUAGCUGACGUAUAAUGUUUACAAAAUUUCUAAUUUGUCUAAAACCCUUCGAUGACAAAAAGAGUCGUUUCUGCAUUUGCAUUUGUACAUAUCAUGCACCAUAUGCAUCAUUCAUCGGUCACAAAAGGUUUCCAAGUGCUCACUGCCUCCUGGUUCUUCUGCCAUAGUUUGAAAGGUGGCUCGUGCUUGGAAAGUCUACGAACCUGACAGAAUAUAUCAGACUAGACUAUACAGAAAGGAGAAUUUGGUAGCUAUGGAAGAGGAAAAUGCUCAGCUCCGUACCGAAUUAGCUUCUCUGAGGGAAGAAUUGGCUAAGGCCAAUAAUACCAUGACUGCUCUGCUAGCCGCCCAGGAACAAUCAGCCACGGCUAUCCCUAUAGCUACAAGUGUGAUCCCAACUGCAUCUACUGAUGCCCGCUUCGUUAUGCCAGCUCCACAGACUGAGAAGCAAGUCAGAGGUUUCCUCGGGCGUUUGAAUUACAUCUCCCGAUUCAUAUCUCACAUGACCGCAACCUGCGGGCCGAUCUUCAAGCUACUCAGAAAGAAUCAGCCUAUUGUAUGGAAUGAUGAAUGCCAAGAAGCUUUUGAUAGCAUCAAGAAUUACCUGCUGAAACCACCUAUCCUUGUUCCACCCGUGGAAGGAAGGCCCUUGAUUAUGUAUUUGGCAGUAUUUGAUGAAUCCAUGGGAUGCGUACUUGGUCAACAAGAUGAGACUGGAAAGAAAGAACAUGUUAUCUACUAUCUAAGCAAGAAGUUCACCGAUUGUGAAACUCGGUAUACAAUGCUUGAGAAGACUUGUUGUGCUUUGGCCUGGGCCGCUAAACGCCUGCGUCAUUAUUUGGUGAAUCAUACAACUUGGUUGAUAUCCAGAAUGGAUCCGAUAAAGUAUAUCUUUGAGAAAGCUGCUGUUACUGGGAAGAUUGCACGCUGGCAGAUGCUUUUGUCUGAAUAUGAUAUUGUGUUCAAAACUCAAAAGACAGUCAAAGGUAGCAUUCUUGCCGAUCAUCUUGCUUACCAACCUCUUGAUGAUUAUCAACCAAUUGAGUUCGAUUUCCCCGAUGAAGAGAUCAUGUAUUUGAAAUCAAAAGACUGCGAAGAACCGUUGAUUGAUGAAGGUCCAGAUCCCAAUAGCAAGUGGGGUUUAGUCUUUGAUGGUGCUGUCAAUGCUUAUGGUAAAGGAAUUGGGGCAGUCAUUGUAUCCCCACAGGGGCAUCACAUCCCUUUUACCGCCAGAAUUCUGUUCGAAUGUACAAACAAUAUGGCUGAGUAUGAAGCAUGUAUCUUUGGGAUCGAGGAAGCAAUUGACAUGAGAAUCAAACACCUCGACAUCUAUGGAGAUUCUGCGCUCGUCAUCAAUCAGAUAAAGGGUGAAUGGGAAACCCACCAUGCUAAGUUGAUUCCUUAUCGUGAUUAUGCGAGACGUUUGCUGACAUAUUUUACAAAGGUUGAGCUGCACCAUAUUCCUCGUGAUGAGAACCAAAUGGCUGAUGCUCUUGCUACUCUAUCCUCCAUGUUUCGAGUAAACCAUUGGAAUGAUGUGCCAAUAAUCAAAGUGUAACGCCUUGAAAGACCUUCACAUGUGUUUGCUAUUGGGGAUGUGAUCGAUCGGGCUGGUGAAAAUGUGGUUGACUAUAAACCCUGGUACUACGACAUCAAACAGUUCUUGCUAAGCCGUGAGUAUCCGUCGGGUGCUUCCAACCAAGAUAAGAAGACCCUGAGAAGAUUGACCAGUAGAUUCCUGUUAGACGGAGAUAUUCUGUACAAGAGAAACUAUGACAUGGUAUUGUUAAGAUGUGUUGAUGAACAUGAAGCAGAGCAGUUAAUGCAUGAUGUACAUGACGGUACCUUCGGGACCCAUGCUACAGGGCAUACUAUGUCAAGGAAGUUGUUACGGGCAGGUUACUACUGGAUGACCAUGGAGCAUGAUUGCUACCAGCACGCCAGAAAGUGCCAAAAAUGUCAAAUCUAUGCUGAUAAGAUUCAUGUGCCUCCGCACGCUCUCAAUGUUAUUUCAUCCCCAUGGCCGUUUUCAAUGUGGGGCAUCGACAUGAUUGGGAGAAUUGAACCGAAGGCUUCAAAUGGUCAUCGUUUCAUCUUAGUGGCAAUUGACUACUUCACCAAGUGGGUUGAAGCAGCAUCUUAUACCAAUGUGACCAAGCAAGUGGUAGCUAAGUUCAUCAAGAACAACAUCAUCUGUCGAUAUGGUGUUCCCAGCAAGAUUAUUACCGACAAUGGUACCAACCUGAACAACAAUGUGGUGCAAGCUCUUUGUGAAGAAUUCAAAAUUGAACAUCAUAACUCUUCUCCUUAUAGACCUCAGAUGAAUGGUGCAGUUGAGGCCGCCAACAAGAAUAUCAAGAGAAUUGUCCAGAAGAUGGUAACCACUUACAAGGACUGGCAUGAGAUGUUACCCUAUGCUCUGCAUGGCUACCGUACUACAGUGCGCAGUUCAACCGGGGCAACCCCUUUCUCUCUUGUAUAUGGUAUGGAAGCAGUUCUUCCUUUGGAAGUGGAGAUCCCAUCUCUCCGUGUGAUCAUGGAAGCAAAGUUAUCUGAGACUGAAUGGUGCCAAAGCCGGUAUGAUCAGUUGAAUUUGAUUGAGGAAAAACGUAUGGAUGCCAUGGCUCGUGGACAGUCAUAUCAAGCAAGAAUGAAGACUGCUUUUGACAAGAAGGUCCAUCCUCGAGAAUUCAAGGUAGGAGAACUUGUAUUGAAAAGGAGGAUAAGCCAGCAACCUGACCCAAGGGGCAAGUGGACGCCUAACUAUGAAGGUCCUUAUGUUGUCAAGAAGGCCUUCUCUGGUGGUGCUUUAAUCCUUACACACAUGGAUGGUGUAGAACUUCCAAAUCCUGUGAAUGCUGAUAUAGUCAAGAAAUACUUUGCCUAGAAAUAUGAAAAGAACAGCGUGGUAGGUUGAAAACCCGAAAGGGCGGCCUAGGCAAAAAUGCGCUUCCCGGUGGAUCGAAAACCCGAAAGGGCGGUCCAGGCAAAAAUAAGGGACAAAAAAUAUAUGAAAAAGCUCGCUGAGAUUGUACACAACUCAGGCAAGAAUGAGCGUCUCGAUGAGCCGAAAACCCGGAAGGGCGGUUCAUGCAAAAAAUGAGAUUGAAACAAGAGGCAAGUAACUAUAUCUGGCCAACCACCAUCCCCCUUGGGGCAUCUGCAGCUGUUAAUGACUAUCUUCAUCAAAAGCUCCUACGCUUGCGAAUUCAAAGUUUCUAGGAAAUGUAAUGAUUGCUGCGUUCAAUGUACCACCAACCAAUAAAAAUUACCAUUUUCCAAGCUUCGUAAAUCCGUGGAGUCACGCCUUCGGCUGACCACCACUCUUAUACAUCAAUUUGAGCCUGUGCUUUUGUUUGAAACUCUGCUUUCUUUUACUUUCUAAGUUAUGUACAAAAACAUUUUCCUUCUAUUUUUAAUAAUGACAAAUGCUCGAAACAAACAUCUUGAAAAUUGAAAAAGUUUUUUGAAAAGCAAACCUGAGCAACAGGGUACAUUCAAACGAACAUGCAUGAGCGAGUGUAUGUUGGUGCCUAUUUCAAUAUAUGUUACAAGCAGAUUCUCCUCCAGGAUAGUCUGUGGUCAAUGGCAAGAAUGAAAAAAUAGAAUGAAAAUGCAUGAAAAUGAAUAGGCUCGCUAAGUUGAAAACCCGGAAGGGCGGCUUAGGCAAGAAUGAGCACCCCGCUGGAUUGACAACCCGAAAGGGCAGUUCAGGCAAAAAUGGGGCAUUGAAAAGAAUUUAUUUCCCCGGUGGAUCGAAAACCCGAAAGGGCGAUCCAGGCAAAAAUGGGAUGCAAAAAAAAAUAAAAAAUGAAUGAAAUUGAGACAAUAACAUGCAAAAAGCAUUGACCACAGAUGCGACAUCCACGAUACAUCCGGCACUGAAAUGCCCAGCAAUGACGGCAUUAUUCCCAGUAGAGUCUCCCGAGAUUCUAUCCCCAGCAAGUUGCAUAGCUACCUGCCCUCAGCCAUGGUCCCGAUACGUCUCCCAACGACGUCAUCUCCAAAGAGGAUUUCCAAGAAUGUGUAAUAUAGCACGAGCCACUGCGUGCCCAACACUCCAGUGUCUUGUCUGUCUCUGCGGAACUGUGUCUACAAAUCGCCAACAGUCAUGCAUUACAAGCAUUCAUACAUGCAUAAUCAUGCAUAUUACGUGCCCAUGCAUUUAAUGAAACUGUUAUAUCAUUCAUGCAUGUUGCAUUUCCAAUAUCAACAUCAGUCUCAAUUCAAUACUCAUGUCAGGUUCUCUGUCAAAACCUUGUGAGCCAAUAAUAUCGGUCAAUUUCCACCUUUCAAAUCAAAUCGACGUCAAGUCAAUCUCAAUCUAUAUUUUGUCAAAAAAAAAAAAAACAAUCCCUAGUGAAUAUGUUUCCGUUUGGUCAAGUGGCUAGUUCAAGUCCAAGAACAGCUUGUACCUAUCAAUUUGCUUAUGUUAUCGGUCGAGUUACCAGUUCGAAUCCAAGAACAGCUCGUACCUGUCUAUGUGUCCAUGAUUUUGGUCAAGUGCCCAGCUCAAUCCAAGAGCAGCUUGUACCUAUCAAUAUGUUUCUGUUUGGUCAAGUGGCUAGUUCAAGUCCAAGAACAGCUUGUACCUAUCAAUUUGCUUAUGUUAUCGGUCGAGUUACCAGUUCGAAUCCAAGAACAGCUCGUACCUGUCUAUGUGUCUAUGAUUUUGGUCGAGUGCCCAGCUCAAUCCAAGAGCAGCUUAUACCUAUCAAUAUGUUUCUGUUUGGUCAAGUAACCAGUUCGCAUCCAAGAGCGACUUGCACCCGUUUACUUUUCAAUGUUAUCAGUCGAGUUACCAGUUCAAAUCCAAGAACAGCUCGUACCUGUCUAUGUGUCUAUGAUUUUGGUCAAGUGGCUAGUUCAAGUCCAAGAACAGCUUGUACCUGUCUAUCUGUUUCUGUUCGGUCAAGUGGCUAGCUCCAUCCAAGAGCAGCUUGCACCUGUCUAUUUGUCUUUGUCUCCGGUGGAGUAACCAGUUCGCAUCCAAGAACAAGCUCGCACCUGUCUAUUUGCCUUGCUUUCAGUCGAGUGACUAGUUCGAAUCAAGAACAACUCGUACCUGUCCAUCUUUUCCAUGUCCUCGGUCGAGUGACCAGUUCGAAUCCAAGAAAAACUCGCACCUGUUUGUCUGCUUUUAUUCCCGGUCAAGUGCCCAGCUCAAUCCAAGAGCAGCUUGUACCCGUCAAUUUGUUCCUAGUCUCCUAUCUACCCUGUUAUCUGUUAUCUUGUCAAUGUCUACCAAUCCCGCAAUGGAUACGACAUCUUUUGUUAAUUCCAGCCUUCGUUUGUCUCGCACUCAUAAUCCAAAUGUUGCAUGGCAUUCAUGAUAUUUGAGAAUGUACAAGCGUAUUUUUACGUCCAAACACAGUGCAAAUGUUAAUAUUUAAGUAUCUUCGUCCCGUCAAGUCAAAGACUCCGUCUCUUGACCCUCUAGACAAAGAAACUUAAAUAGGGGCAGCUGUUAUACCCUGAUUUUGGACCUAAAAAUACUCGUUCAAAUUUCUUUUCUAACACUGAUACUUGUCAGUUCGCUGUUAUUUUACUCUGAAUCUUUACUCUCUUUUUAAAAUAUAUUUUACUGCCUCUGUCUGUCUUUUCUUGCAUUACAAGUCAUUUAAGAACUCUCUGAAACGUCGCGUUACUUUUCUUGCAUUUUAUUUCAAAAAUCAUACAAAAGGGUAUUUUGGUCAUUUCCUGCAGUGGAACCCAUUUUAGUCCCUGUGUUUGCCUCUGAGUCUUUUCAACCUGUCUGUACGAAUCAUUGUUGAGUCUUCGUUUAAAAAUCAUUUCAAAAAUUGCAUCUGAGUCAGUUUGAGUCAGUUUAGUCCCUAGGGGCAUUUUGGUCUUUUCCUGUCAAAAUUUCGGCAGGGAGGUAUUUUAAAAUACCUCAUGUCAGUAGUUGGUUCGUUUUAGUCCUUUUGUUAAUUUUAUUUUUGGUUUCGCUUUACGUUUCGUCAAAUUUACUUUUUAGUCCAAUUUUAUUUUUAAUCACGUUUUGGUCCAAAACUUCUUAAAAUUACUUUUUAGUCCUUUUCCUUAUUAUUGCAGUUUAGUCCUCAAUUUCACUGUUUUGCAGAAAGGUCCUGAAAUCACAAAUUGCCCAAGGCCGAGCCAACCAAGUUCACAAACAGGUGGCAUUGCCCCAUUGGUCCAGGAAUACACAUGGCAGGCUAUAAAUAACAUACAGUGUCAGAAAUUCCAGGGGGAUCCAAAAGAAAAUCAGAAUCAAUCACAAUCAGUCUCAAACAGAAUCUUUUUCUCUCUCUCAUCCAUAACAGAAUCAAAAACAGAAAAAUCUCAGAAAAAAAGAGGAAGAACACCAAGAACACAUCAUCACCAAAAUCAACAGAUCUAAACCGGAUCUGCUCAGAAUCAACUCCAAUCACCACAAAAUCAACAAAUCCGAACCGGAUUCACUCAAAACCACCGCGAAUCAUCACAUCAACACCAAAACGUACCAGAUUUUUGAGCAAAAAACAACCACAAACGGAGUUGAAACGCGCGCGCACGGAGGGGGAAAAAGGGAGAUUCGAAGUUUUCCGAAGAUUUUUCUCCGUUCUACGAUAGAGGUAACGCAUUUCUCUCCUCUUUUUCUUCAUUUUCGCGCGCGCAUAUAGUGUAGAAAAAGUGUGAAAAAGUUUGUUACGGAUAUGUAUUUGUAGAUCUAGGCUUGUACGUUCGGAUUUUAGAAAUUCCGAGACCGGAUUCGGACUCUAUAGAGAAAAGGAUAUCUAGAUCCGUAGUUUUUUUUUUUUUUUUGCGAAAAGUGUGAAAAAAAUUUCAAAGUAAAAACGUAGAUCUAGUCCGAAUCGCUCCGUUCUCGCUAAAACUAACGCCGGAUUUGUGUAGAGGAGGUGGUGACGGAACUUUUGAUGUAAAAAUUUCGAAAAAAAAAAAAAGAAAAACGCUACGGCCGGCCACCGCGCCGGAGCAACUCCCACCACCACCACUUAGCUCUCGCCGGCGGCGAGUUUCUAGAGAGAAGGGAGAGCAUUUUUGUGAUUUUGAGUUUUAGAGAGAGAAGGAGAAGGGGUUUAUGUGUUUUUUGUGUGAAAAUUCCUUUAUAUACUCCCUCCGUUCCCACGCGCGCGCGUGCAUGUUUCUGUGGUGUUCCCUCGCUCUGUGAACCAUCAGAUCUGGAUUGUUCCAAGAUCUGAUGGCUGCUGUGUGUUUUGAUCUUGAAUCAUGUGUGUGAUCUUCUGUGUGAAAUAUGGUAUAUCUUCUGUUUGAACCGUUAGAUCUUUGAUCUAACGGUCAUUGUGCUUCCUGCAAUUUUACACUAUCUUUUUUGUGUUUUUUAAACCCUUGGAUCUUUGAUCCAGUGGCUGUGAUGAGAUCUUGGGAGUUAGAUCUGGACCUCUGGAUUCAUCCAACGGUCCAGAUUAUAACCUGCUGAGUUUUUUUUUAAUUGCUUUUUUUGUUGUGUUUUUAAAUACUUUUUUACACUUUCUUGGCAUUUUAUGCUCCUAAAAAUUUUCUAAAAAUGUUUCCCUAUCAUUUUAAUUUUUUCUCUAAAUGUUAGAAUUUACUUGCUUAUAUUUUUCUAUUUUCUUCAUUUGUUCUUUUUAAUUCUUGCUCAUUAAAUUCCUAUAUGUUCUUGGUGCAUUUUUUGACAUUUUGUGAUUUUUUUUUUUUUUUUACAUGUUAAAUAAUGUGUAGAAAAUAUCCCUAGGAAUAUGGUAUGAUGCUUUGCUUGUGUGUUUUUAUGAUCCUCACAUUGUAGCUUAAAAUCAAAUCUCUUUUAAAAAUGGUUAUGAUGAGGGAAUUAUAAGUCAUAUGCAUGUCUAAGUGUCAUAACCAAUUUUAGGUAUAUUUUGCCAUUUUAUUUCAUUUCAUUACUUUUUUUUUUCUCUUGCUAUUCUAUUCAAUUUUGUUUACCUUUCUACUAUUUUUAUGCCUUAUGAUACUAACCAUUUCAUCUCACAUUUCAUUCAUCCCAUACUUUUGGCAUCAUUUUUUUAUUCAUUUCUAUAUCAAUUGGGUUUGUAAUAAUUUUAGAUAGAUUAGUUCUUUUUUAAAUUCCUUUCAAGACCAUAGCAUGUAUUUAGGACUCAAUGUAAAGGACUAUGGACACUAUAAGGGAUGUACACCGACACAAGCACUGACACGCACACACGCUGCAUGCUUACCAUUUAGAUGUAUGCUUAGGAAACGCGAUUUUUAGACAAAUGUCAAUUUUCAAAAAAAUAAUAAACCAAUUCCAUCACUCAAAUUUUUCCAAACAAAUCUCGGAGUCAAAACUCCAUGGAAUUUCUUCUUUUAUUUUGUUAAACAAAUCCAAAUGAAUCCUAAUUUCUACUUAGACUUUUUUAAUAACAAUUGAACCAACCAUUCACCAUUUUUCUCUCUUAUGCCUUUAAGGCCUCUUUCUCUUCUUCAAAACCAUUUUCCAACAAAAACUAAAAUCAACCAAACACACAAAAUAACAUUUUUUGAGAGAGAACUACAUGGAGUUUGAUCCCUUAAAUGGGUAUGUAGGCAUGAGGUCAAAACCUCUCCAAGUCCACUAAAAUAAAACCUCAAACACUUUCUCCCCCCCAUUCUUAACAUAAGUAAAUUUCCUUUUUCAUAAGUAGCAUUAAAAAUAAAGCGUAGACAUAAACUAAGAAAACGGCUCCUAUAGAGUACUAUAGUCACCGCGGGUGCCUAACACCUUCCCGUAGUGAAAACGACCCCCGAACUUAGAAUCUAAGGGUUUUUUCUCAAUUUUGCCCUUCCCAAGAAAAAAUAGAGAAUAUCAAAGAUUGAAAGGUUCAAGCCUAAUUAAUGACUUGACACCCGAAAAUCGCGAUAACAAUUAAGUUGCACUUUCCCUUUACAAAAGGCUUGCACUAUAUUGUUAUUAGGUAGUUUAACACUAAUAGGAUCAAUUUCUUUGUAGGUAAUAAACCAAUUGAUGUCAUAACAAGUGUUGUGUGUAGCACCAGUAUCUACUAUCCAACUAGUAUCAUCAUAAUUCUUGGAGUGUUCAUAGAAAUUACCUCCUAUGUUAGCAACAGAACUGCUUGCCUUCAUCAUGUUGGCUUUUGCAUCAAUAGCAUUCUUUUCAAGUAAUGCCAUUAGAUUCUGAUACUGAUCUCUGGUUAACAUCAUUCCACCAUCAUCAUUCUUAGCAACAUUACUAGUACCUUUAGCAUCAUAUUUCUCAGACUCUACCAUGUUUGCAGAAGCAGAACUUGAGCCAUAAGAAUUUCCUCCUCCUCUACCCCAAUUAGGAGGAAAGCCAUGCUUCUUAUAACAAGUCUCCAUGGUGUGAUUUGACCUUCCACAGAAAUUACAAACUCUUCCAUUGCCUCUUCCUCUUCCUUGGAAACCAGCAUUUCCUCUUCCUCUUCCAAAUUGCCUCUGUGCAUCUACAGCAUUCACCAAUCUAGCACUGGUAUCCUCUACAACAGAAGCAGGUGCAACAAUUAUACCAUAUUGAGCCUUCCUUUCUUGCUGCAUAAUCAUAGAGAAAACUCUAUUGAUUUGAGGCAAUGGAUCCAUUAAUAAAACUUGAGAUGUAACACUUUGAUAUUCUUCAUUCAACCCAAUCAGAAAUUGAAUGAUUCUAUCCUCUAAUCUGAAACCUUUUGCAUUACGCAUAGCCAAACAACUGCAAGGAAUUGGACAGGUGCAGUGAGGCAUAGGCCUAUACUGAUCCAAUUCUUCCCAUAAGCCUCUUAAUUCAGUGAAGUAUUCAGUAACUUUCUUGCUUCCUUGCUUCAGAUUGGAAAUUUCUUGCUGCAAUUGAGCCACUCUAAUACGAUCUCCUCUCAUGAAACGAUCUUUGAGAUCAUUCCACAUAUCCAUAGCAUUCUCAAUGAAAACAACACUUUGCGCAAUUGAUGGCGAAAUCGAAUUAAUUAUCCAAGUAUGAACAAGAUUAUUGCACCUUUCCCAAGCAGCACGAUUGAGAUCGUGUUCAUCUGGAACUUCAAUAGAUCCAUCAACAAACUUGAAUUUGUUUUUCAUCGCCAAAGCUCUACGCAUCUUCAUUGACCAAGAAUGAUAAUUGUCACCAUUCAAUUGCGGUGUUACACUCACCGUGCUGGAAUUUUCUGAAGGAUGAACGAAAUACGGAUCCAAACUUUGAUCCUGAUUGUUGUUGUUGUUCCUCACCAUGAUUAAUCGAAACAAAUCAAAAACUGAAAGAAAAAUUCAAUUGGAACAGAAGAAACUGAUUCAAAGAUGAAUCAAUCGAAACAACGAAGAAAAGAAGAAAUUUGUAAAGAAAAAUACAGAACGAAUCGAAGAAGAUGAACGAGAUUGAAUCAAGAAUUGUUCAUCUUCAUGCAGCGGAAACAGAGCAGAACUGAUUCUGCUCUGAUACCAUCUCAAAGUUUCAACCAGAGAAGAAAGAGAAAAAUGAAGUGAAAAAGAUUAUUGAUUAGUUCAACUGAAUUCUGUUACAAUGAGGGUAUAUGUAGAAGUUGGUUAUGACAGCUAUGUCUAACUAACUUCUAUCUAUCUAAAUGUAAAAGAAAUACAAAUGAAAUUACAUGUAAAUAAGGUAAUUUCCACAUUAAGCAAACUAAGAAUUCUAGCUGCUAUUUACGUGCUAUCUUAUUUCUCAACAUCUUCUUCUAAUAUAGUUGUUGCAUGUUUGUUUUAUUUUAAAUUGUGUUGAUGAAUUAUAAGUUCAUUAUGUGUUUUGUUAAUUUUUCAUGUGUUUGGUAUCUUUAUGGUAUAAGUUGUGAUUGAUGUAUGAAACUUCCUUUUUCCCUAACUUAUGAUAGUAAUGUUGGGAUUCAAAAUGGAAUUGGUUGACAUGUGUUUGGAUGAGAAAGUAAUAAAUAUAUGGUCAAUAUUACGAUAAAUCCUAACUCAGAUGAGUAGGGUUCCAUCUUUAAUAUCUUAUCAAUAAUAAUCCUUUUAUUGAUUAUCAAUGGAACCAAUAAUUUACACUUAUAAGAAAGAAAUGAACUAGUGAACUCUUAGUUCGAAAGAAACAUAAAUGACAUUGUUUGAAAAUUCAUUACCGUGACAAUCUAAUGAUAUAAAAUUGAAGUUAUAUGUGGUAGGUCUUUAAAUAUAAUUUCAUAUUCUUAAGUUAAAGAUCAUGGUGAUAAAAAAAAUACAUAUAUAUAUAAAUAUACAAUUAUUAGGAUUCACGACCAUAAAUAAAUGGUAACUAUAAAAGAUUUUAGCAAAAUAUAUAUUUGUUAUUUCUUAUUGCAAGUGUAAGAACUCAGUCUUCCAUGCAUGGUGUCAUUGUAAUAUUCUGAGUAUGAGACUCAUACUAUCCGUAGGACACAAAAGACAGAUUACAUUUGCCAUUAAUGCACCUAUACCUUUGAACUAGCGUAUUUGGUGGGCAAUCAUUAUCAGUUAUACAAAAAAUAUCAUCUGUAGUGAAAGAAUAUAAUAAACUAAUGUUAUAAAAAUGAAUAAUAAUUAUAUAUGAACUACAAACUAAAGAAGGUAAUUUGAAAAGGAUGAAAAAAAAAAAAAAAAAAAAAACAUUACCCUCAAUAUUAUUUGCGAUAAGAAAUAGGAAAAUAAAUAAAGUUAUAGCAUACACAAGCUUAUGAGCCAUAUCUUUCACUCUUUACAUACAACAAAUAUAAUUGAUUUGAUCACUUUAUAGUGUAUAAUCCUUACAUACAACAAAUAUAAUUUAUUUGAUCACUUUAUUGGGUAUAAACCUCAUGUUGGGUUAAGAAAAUUUUAAAUAUUUUUUCCGCUUAAUAACUUUUAAAAGUUACUCCCUAAAUUUAAAAUUAUUAUUAAUUGUCUCUUAAGAAGAUCAAUGUGUUAUAUUUGUCCAUUUACAACACUUAAUAAAUGCGCACCAUAAAAAUCUUUCUAAUCAUUAGAAUUUAAUAUUUUGGUAAUUAACCUUAUUACUUUUGAUGAUUGAAAAAAGACAUUUAAAAACAUAAAAAUGCAUAAGUUAAUCGUUUAACCUUACUGUAGGAUUUUUUUUAUAUAUAAAAUCAUUUAAUUAUAUGGAAUAGUAUAAAAUUUUAUAAUUGCAUGAAUUCAUCAACAUUCUCAUUGACAUAAAGUCAUUGAUUGACAUGUAUAUACAAAAUAAAUUAGAAUUGAAGACUGAUAUGUUCGCGUGAUACAUCAGGGAGAAAUACAUUGGGCUGCUAGGGUUUCCCCCAUGCACUAUCGUCCUACUAAAUUUUGAUUAAGUUAUUACUCGCUAACUAUCAGUUGGUUUCAUAUGUCGUUGAACCAAGGUGGAUUUUAGAAUAAUGUCUUUAAAGUAUUAAUGAUAGCAUUGUGUAAAAGAACAAUUGAAUACUCUAAUGUAUGUUCAAGUGUGCAAAACCAUAAAAUUAAAUUAUGAUUUAAAUGCCCAGUUUUGGUUGAUACAUCAUGCUCUAAACAUAAAGGAAAUCAUUUUGGUACUAAAGAAACACAUUGGAAACUUCUGAAGAUUUAGAAGAUGAUCUGACGAUAAGUUAAGAAAAAUCCAAAGCUCUCAUCAAAUAAAGGAUGCAUCAAGUCUUGAAGAGUGACGAGAACAAGAUCUUAUGGAUACAUGCUCCAAAGGAAGCAAGUUAUGAAGGAGUCAGAAUCAUCUCCAUUUACUAAAAAUAAAUAGAUAAUGUCAUUUGGUGAGAGAUAGAUACAAAAAAAAAUAUGUAGUGGGUCCCCCUGGUAUUAAUUAUUUUCAAAUUUAUUUGUGUCUUUAUCUCUCUAAAUGGAAGAAAUCGAAAUCGACAGACUAAUAAAUGGAGAUGAUCUUAACUCGUUAUGAAGGAUUCAAUGCAAAUAUCUGAUAGUACUAUUUGUAUUUUCAUGACCACUUGACGAAACAAAGAAAGAAAUUCAAUGGAAAAGAAUGUAACAGAACAUUCCAUAAGUAGCAAAGGAUUUCUCUACUACUAUUCAACGAUAAUAUCCAUUAAAGGAAUAGUUUUCAAAACUAAUUCAUCGCUUCUCAAGGACGAAAUUGAUGUGAUAGCCUUCUUAAAAUAAAAGUUCUCUCAUUUCUCUCCUAUAUGAAGGGAAAUCAUGAUUAUAAAGGCAACAAAAAUACUGAGAUGUAAAAAGUAUUUGAAUCUGCCUUUGCAGAAGACGCAAAGAACAACACAAAGAUUUUGCGAGAAAUCAGAAAACAUGGUUGUAUUUGCAGCAGAAGUUUUCAGACACAUAAGAAAGGCGGGGAGUUUGAAUUUUGAACUUGUGGCAGACAAAAGCCGUCGCAAAGACUCAACUCCUAGAAUUUAUUACCGUUGGCAUUAGCACCGGAUUGUAUGCCGCUGCAAAUGGCCAAUGGUUAGAUUUUUCUCCCUUUAUAAAUAGUCAAUUCUUUCAUUCAUUCUUUCACAUACACUUCUCUCUACUUCCUUCCAUCUCACCAUUUGUCUACAACUUUUCUUAUUUUUAACUUUUCUGUUCUUUUAAUAGUUUGGUAAGUAUUGUUUUUAUAUUUAAAUAUUAAUUAAAUUUAAUUGAUAUUAACCUCAUUAUAGAAUUGUUGUAUUUACUAUUUAAAAUUGUUUUAUCAGAAAAAAGUAUUUAUAAUAAUUUUUUAUUAAUAUUAAAUUUGAAAAUAUAUGUGUAUGUUUAAAGAAAAUCGCAAAUGCGCAUAUAUAUAUAUCAUCCUUAAAAAAAAGGGUUAAUAGGUCUUUACCUCCCUGUAAUAUAGGUCAUUUCCGGUUUUCCAAACAAAAACCAAUUUUUUUUCAAGAAUUUUUCGUUUUUGUUUGGCCUAUUAGGGGGUAAAUCAAAACAAUUUUAUUUUUACAGAGGGUAAAUCAAAAAAAAUAUUUUACAGAGGAAAAAAAAUUGUUUUAAUUUAUAAAUCUCAUACAUUAAAUUUUUACAGAGAUGACAAUCAAAAAAAAAAUUUAGAGAGGGAAAAAAUUUAAAAAAUAAAGUAUCAAAAGUAUAUUUUAACUAGAGAUGACAAUGUACAUUCACGAGUACGGAUAGUAGGAAUCUGUUAUCUAAUAUGUUGAAUUCAAAUAAAGUUAAUGUUCGUUUCAUACUCAGAUGAGUAUUUCACAAUUUUUAAGAUGUCUAUAUGUAUUUGCAGUUAUCCAAGGAUAAAUAUUUUUCUAAAAAUACAUUUAUGUAAAAAAAAUAAAAUUAUGUUGAAUGUUUCUUCUUCUUUUGACAACAAAUAUUUUUUUUUUUGGUACAAGACAACAAAUUUAUUUAUUAAUCAAAACAAGAACAGAAAUUGAGAAAUUGGGUUAGGAUUUCUUUCAUGUGGAUAACACUUAUAUUUUAAUGAUGAUAUUUUCGUAAAUUUACUAUUUUAAUACCGAUAUCCGUAGGCGUAGGUUUGACAUGUAGUUAAAAUAUUUCUUUCAUGUGGAUAACAUUUAUAUUUUAAUGAUGAUAUUUUCGUAAAUUUACUAAUCUUCUCUUUGUGGAUUGUCCACUCCUAACCUUAUUUGUUUUAAUUAAUAUGUAUUUGUGCAAGAAGCUUCCUUCACUAUGAGAAUCAAUGAACCUUAAGUAUUAUUUUUUUUCUAUAUAUUAGGUCCUCUUCUUUUCGUUGUAACUUUGGUACUCUUUAUCUAUAUAUAUUUCAACAAGUUAAAUUUAAUGUAUUGUAAGUAUGAAACUUGUAAACACAUUAAGUGCUAAAGAGGAUUAGCUUUCUACAGUUACUUGAUCCUAAAUUAUCUUUUGUUUUUUAAAUUAUUUUCCUCUUGUAUUGAAUUAUUUUAUCUUGUUUGCAGGAGUGGUAUCUGAUGAGGUACAAAUUAAUUUCCUCUUUGAUAGGUUUUAACAUUACUCUUUUUACCAAAAUGAAGAUUGUGGCCUCUAGAAACAGUAACAAGAGGAUUUUCAAAUUAAGUUCACAACCAAAUAAAUUCAUGUCCUGAAUAUGCUAAAUGCAUUUUUCUUUUUCCACCAGACUUGUUAACUGCAACCAUGAACUUAUAAAGUGAAUUUCACUACCUUCAGAGCAAAAUUUAAGUGCUCUAGAAAAAAAAAGGACUAAUAUAGAACAAGUAACAAUCAUCACUGUGGUCUCUUUGAUGUGAAGAUUGAUUUGUGUAUGUUAGUGUUGCCAAAUUGACAUUUUGCAGUUACAUUUUUUCUUGGAAUCUAGUAGACAAUGAUCAUCAUAGUUGCAUUUUGUUUUCACCAACAGUAUGCAGGUAUCCUCAAUUGCUUCGACAGGGAUGUAAUACUUGGACUUGGGAUAUGAGCUAGCAGCAACAUGGGAUUAUCAUGCUUGGAAUGACAUGCAAAGCAACAGCAAGAUUAAUGAUAUGUACCUCAUUUCUCUGCAUAAGUCUUUUGUCGCUUGGGUUAACCCAUGAUGAAAAUUGAGUUUGUAUGGUGAGGCGAUAUGAAACAGUGUGAACCUCGACUUGGGUGAGGAGCUUAUGGACAAAUGAGUUCACAGUAUUAAUUUUAGUGGAUAUUAGACCAUUAAUGUUGUUGGUGCCUUCAUAUCCAUCCGACAUGUAUCUAUAUUUGCACAUGUAGCACUUAGCCAUGUCCUAAUGUCAGAACUCAGGUUCCAAUACUCUUGAUGCUUUUCUACAGUUAAUUCUAGACACUCUUGUAUAACAGUACCAGGAACCUGUGUUCUGACUUGAGGACAUGGCUAUGUGCACUUGCAAAUACAGAUACGUGUCGGGUAGGUUUGAAGGGCACAAGUGGUAACUUAACGAUCUAAUAUCCAUUAAAAUUGACAAAGUGAAUAUAUUGAUCAACAAGCUCUUCACCCAAGUCCAAGUGCUCAUUGUUUCUGGUCCUUUCCUUCACUAUGCACAUCAAUUUUCUUCAUGGGUUGAACCACGGGACAAAAACAUAUGCAGAGAAAUGAGGUGCCUGUUAUAAAUGCAGUUGUUGCGUGCAUUUCAUGGCUAGUAUGAUGAUGAUCAAAUGGAGUUUCGUCUUCAUCUUCAAUAUUCUAAAACCAUGCGCUUAGCAAGGAAACAUCUUCUGAUAGGUCGUGUUCCGUUUGCUCCAUACUUUUUGUACUUAAUAGUUGGAUAUAAGACGCACAUUGCCCUUUAGCAAAAAUAUUGAAUACAUAAUGUCAUACUAGGCACGAUAGUGGACAAUAUCUUCUUUUCUUUGAUCAAGUCGAUGUUGACAAUGUCUAGUAUGGCAGAUAAAAAUGAUUAUACUGGUGAAGGUGAAGUUGAAGGUAAAAUAUAUAAAAAGCUUGAAGGAAAAGACUUACAUAGAUUGAGAAAGAAUAGGAUUUUACUGCUUAUCAAAGAAAAUUCAAAACCAUGUAGGCAACAUAGAACUCAUACACAAUAGAACUUGCUAAACACUAAUCAAUACAUUUUAUAACAAUCUUUCUGCUAAUUGAAAGUAUGUUUGGUUCUAAAACAAUAACUAAAGCUGGUAUUGUCACUGUUUCAUAUAUGGAAAAGUCAGACAGCUCAUCAAGAAAAGUUAGCUGCAAAUCAAAUUGAUUUGCAUGACCUUUUGCAAACAACAUACAUUCCUCCCUUAGUGUUCCUUUUCUAUGAUCUUUAUAACAAUCUUCAUGAAAAAGCUUGAAAGUCAAUCACAAUCUUCACCACAAAUGCCCUGAUACUUCUUCACAAUCUUUCACUCUUAGAAUUCAUUCCUCAUGUGACUUCAAAACUAGCAAUUUGCAACCAAAUGCAAGUCAAUCACAUAUCUUUCAUGUAAAAUCUCUUUCUAAUCAUGAAAAGUAUAAAAACAACAAUGGCAUAUUCAAAAAAUAUAGAAUCUUAAGGGGAAAAAAAUGAACAUUUCAGCACAGUAUAGCUAACUUCUCUCCUACUACAAUUUUAGUUCUUCUGGUCAUAAUAUUUGGAAUUACAUAGCCCUAAAAUAUCCCUAAAGGUUGAAAGAUUUCAUACAACAGACCUAAAUAUUCGAUGGGGGAUAAAAAGAUUCAUAAUCCACCCAAAAUAUCGCCAAAAUUAUAACAAGAACAAGAGCAAGAAUACAACAUUGAACACCAAUCCAAUAUAAAUAAUUCUUCUUAGAAACAUGUUAGCUUCAUUUCACAUUAACGAUUUUAGUGACCUUUCUUUCACGGGUUUCCUCAUUCUCCUCUUCCCAUUAUCAUCAUCAUAUUCAUCCUCAUAAUCUUCAAAAUAAUUCAAUCCCUCAGAACAAGGAACAACAUCAACACCAACAUUAACCUUAACAUCAUGACUACUACUACCUAAUGCUACAACACUCUUGUUAUCUUCACCAUCAUUUUUAUCACCUCUUCGUUUCCCUCGUGGUGGACCAAACCCAGAAUAAAAAUAGAAUUCAUUAUUAUUCGAACCUGAAGCUGAAUCCGCUUUCACCUUCUUCGGUCUGCCUCUACCACGCCGCGGCGCCUCAAUGUCUCCUCCCCCAUUUGAGUUUCUCUUCAAACCUUUGUUGCAGCCACCAUUAUUAUUAACUACCUUCUUAUUACCAUCACAUUGUUGAUUAUUGUCAAUCGCCAUGAUAGAAGAAUUUUCUAUCACAGUUUUAUUAUCAAUAUCAACAAUGUCAGUUUCCAUCAUCGAAGCCACACUUUCAUCAAGAGCUGCUAGAGAAUCUUCGAACUGGAUUGAGGAUUUGUCAAAGUGAAAGGGGAUGGCAUCCCAUGGAGAUUGGUUAAGCUGACAAACGUGCAUUUGAAAAGGUUCAACCGGUAAUGAAUCAUUUUGUAGUAGUGAAGACGAACAAGUGAAUAGAAGAGGGGAAAUCUUCGCGGCUUUUCGAAUCCUCAUAUCAAAGAAUCUAUGAAUGAAUAAUAUUAUUAUAAUAUCUGGAAUUUGAGGGAAAGGGAACACAAUCUUUUCAAACUCACAGAUACCAUCUCUCUUCACCUACUCAUGCACUAAAUAAACAAGUUUAUAACAUAAGUGUAAAAGUAUAUGUUGAACCAUGAAGCCUUUUAAUUAAGAAUUGAUGAGGUCUAUGACGCACAAACAUUCCUCAGAUUAGAUGUGUCCUAGUGUUGGACACGCGUUAGUGUCAGACACCGACACGACAAUGGCACAUAUGAUUACACUGAAUUAUGUCAUUUUCUCACAUUUAUUGUCAAUGUUCGCAUGUUAGUGUCUGUGUCGUGUCGAUGUCCGUGCUUCAUAGGAUGUGGUCAACUAUCAUAAGUUUCCAACUUGACAACUUUCAAAAAUGUAACGGCAACACAGAGCACAUACACAAUAGAACUUGCAAACACUAAACAAUCCAAUUAUAAUCUUUUUGCUAACUAUAAGCAUGAUAGAUUCUAAAACAAUAAAAUUGGACUUGUCACUGUUCCAUACAUGGCAGGAAGCAGAAUGUAAACAAACUAUUACACAACAUAGCAGUAGGUUACCAGAUAUCUUGAAGACUUGUCCUCUUUCCAGCUCAAAGUAGCUAGCUAUAUGGCAUCAGUUCUUAGCAUGUGAGAUAGUUGAAAAGAGCAACAAAAUAAGAUAUAAUCACUAGUAUAUCAUUAUAAAUAAUGACUUAAUCAAUAUAAAUAGCCUUAUUUUUUAGCUUAGGAAGAAUAGCUUAUGCAAAUUUGCAUAUAACUCAAAAAAAAGUUUCUAUGUUAAUUCAAAAGCUCUCACUAACAAAAAUGGUAUCUUUAUAAAAUGUGUUUUAAUAAACUACGCAGAAACCCAUGAAUAAUACAUAAAAGUUUCUUUAUUUACUUAAGUUUCUGUUUUUGACAAAUAAUCUAGGUAGAUUGUUUUGUAUAAACUCAAAAAUAAGUGAAUCCAAAAUGGGCCCAAUGUUAAUAUACUAGUUGGUUAAAACAUUAGUCUACACGUAAAAUAUGUGUAUAUUCAUGAAAUCUCCAACAAUAUAAGCUACAAUGAAAAUGAUUACCUGUUUGCAUUCCACCAUAUACUUGUUGAGCAGUUUUUGGUUCUUAUGAGUAGUCAGUACAUGCUUUGUUACAUUGACUAAGAAGUCAUUCAAGUAAAGUGGAGAUAAAAAUGAAGAACUGCUGUGAAGAAGCGGCUGGCAAAACAAUUGAAGAGGGAAUCUAGGGUUAUCUUUUUCAUUAUAUAUGCUAUUGGGCUAGGCCCAAUGAUGUAAUCCCACAAACCCAAUUAGAUUUGUUUUUAUUAAAAAGGUAGCUAAAAAGCUAAAAAUAUAUCUAUUUAUAUUGAUCAACUCAUUAUUAAACAUUAGUUUACAAAUCAUUUAUUUUUAUCAAAUAAUAUAAUGGUUAGAAUUUUAUCUUUAGGUGAAUAAAAGUAUCUUCAAUGGUGAACUCUACAAAUAGUUAUUUUUUGGGUCUCAUUGCAAUACAUUAUUUUGAAGUAAUACAUUCAUUUUUAACUUUCAGUAGUGAACUAAGAGCAUCCAUCAUUCUGACAUCCAAUUUUCGAUACCUAAUUGAGUUUCACUUAUACAAAUCACUUGGUUAUAAUUUUUUGGCUAAAAUAUGCUUUUGAUCCCUGCAAAUAUGGCGAGUUUAGGUUUUGGUCCCUGGUAAUUUUUUUCUUUUUGAAAUCCAUCCCUGCAAAAUUUUUUGUUUUUUAAAAUAGUCCUUGGCCCAACUUUACUGAUGAUUUGGCACAUUUAUGCCUACGUGGCAUUCGCUGACUGUGUAACUUUGCACAGUUGGUAGCCAUGUGGUAAUUAUUUAAAAACCUUUCUUAAAAAAGAAAAAAUAUAUUUUUGAAAUUAAAAUAAAACAUUUUAAAAAAUACGGAAAUUAAUUUUUCAAAAAUUUUAAAAAAUAAAAAAGUAAUUUUUAAAUUAAAAUUUUUCAAAAGAAUUCAUUUUUAUUUUCGAAAAAUAAAUUUUCAAUUUAUUUUUUUAAUUUUUGAAAAUUAAUUUCCAUAUUUUUUUAUUUCAAAAAAAAUGAAAAAAAUCUUUUUUUGGUCAAGAAUUUUUUGUCUUUCUAAUUUUCGGAAAAUAUUUUUUUUUCAAUUUUUUUAAUUCUGAAAAUAAAUAAAUUCUGUUCAAUUUUGAAAGCAAAAUCUGAAGAUAAAAUUCCUAAUUUUUUUAAAAUUUUAGAAAAAUGUUGGUGGAUUUUAGGGUGAGGGCUCUAUUAAGUACCUCACCGGUGUACCGUUUAAAUUGACCGUUAGAUAAAAAAAGGGUACAUGAUAUCUUUAGUGACAAACCACUGAAUUAUGCUUUUUCUCUCCCCCUUUACAAUCAGUCACUCUCUCUGCGGCUGCUCUUUUUCCAUUCACUCGACACAGCCUACAUUUUUUUCUCUCUUAAACUGAUCUAUUAUGCCUUUUUCACCCUAUUCCUCUCAUAUUGAAAAUGUUGGAAACAACUAUAAUAAAGGUUAGCAUAGCAGGGAUUUUGAUUGUCUUAGCACUACCGACCUAAUUCAUUGUAUCCAUGGUCACAAAACUUCACAUUAAAAUUAGUUUCAGAUUGAAAAUUUCUUAAAAUUCAUUGUACCCAUAACAAAAUUUUAAUACUUUGAAAAGAUAUAUUAAAAAAGAAGCUUACAAGACGGACGGGUAAUGGAAGAUAAGAGUGGUAAAACGAAAUUUAUUGAAUCCAAUCAUUUUUCAAGGGAAAUAAACUGAGACAGAAUGAAGGAUUAAAUUUUUGUGAUUUGGAAGAAGAUGAUGAUUUAGAACUGGUGGUGGUUGCUUGGAGCGUUAGAGAGAAAAAGCAUAAUCCUGUGUUAUUUAUGACUAAAGUUAUCAUGCACACUUUUUUCAUCUAAUGGCUAAUGCAAAUGGUACACCGGUGAGGGACUUAAUAGAACCCUCACCCUAGAAUCCACCAAAAAUGUUAUCUAACUUAUUUUUUUUUUUAAUUUAUAAAAAUUAAUUUUCAGGAAAAAAUAAAAUAACCUUUUUAAGUUCGAUAAAAACUGAUUUUUUUUUAUUUUGAUUUUGUUUUUCUAACUUUCGAAAAUUAUUCUCUUUUCAAUUUUGAAAAUUAAGUUCCAUAGUUUUUUAUUUAAAAAAAUAAACUGAUUUUUUUUAUUAAUUUCGUUUUUUUCAAAAAAUUUAUAUCGAAAAUUCAUUUCCAGAUUUUUUUAUUAAUUUCUUUUUUUUAUUUCGAAAAUAUUUUUUUUGUUUUUUAAAUAAUUAAAAUGAAAUGAGUUACACGUGGCUGCCACAUGUGCACAAUUAAACAGUUAGCAAGUGACAUCUAUGCAAAAAUCAGAACAUUGAGCUAACAAAUUUUAGAGAGAGAGAGAGAGAGAGAGUACUUAGUUGAGCACUCAUGUUCCACAAGCACCAAUAAUACAUUCAAAAGAGAGUGUUGCUAGCAUUAUCAUACUCUUACUUCCAAUAAAGAGUACUUAUUAGGUACCACUGUUUAAGGAGGCAAGCAUCCCCUAUUAGGGAUGGUUUAACUCUAUAGAACUUAUUUUAAGUCCCACAACUUUACAUCACAUAUUAAUACUCUAUUUAUAUUUAAUAUUGUCACAACUGAAAAUAUUAAUUUAAUUAUUUUAAAUGAAUAUUAAUAUGAAAAAAAUUAAAAAUAAAAUAAAACUUAAAUUUUUAUAGCAAUAAUUGAAAAGUUACAUUAAGUUCAUGACGUAUAUAAUUAAAAACGGUAAAAACAAAUCCCAUUUAAUAAUUAAUAAAAUCUAAACUUCGUUAUUCUUAUGUCCAAAGUGUUCUCAAAUAUAUAUGCUCCAUGAAAUAUGUUUGAAGUUGUCGAUGAACUCGUUUUUCAUAAAGAUUUGUGCUCCUUUGUAGUCUUGUUUACGAUUCGGAUGAGGACCGUUAGAUGUUUCAGUUGUUUAGACAUCAUUAAUCAUGUCAUCAAAAGAGUAAUCAAAAUCACCUUCAUAUAUUUGUUGUUCAUCUUUCACGAUCAUGUUAUGUAAUAUAAUGCAUGCAUAAAUUAUAUGCUUGAGAAUUUCCAUAUGCCAAGCAAAUGUUGGACCAAAUAUAAUCGCUAAUCGAGAUUGGAGCACGCGAAACUCAUGUUCCACAUAUUUUAUUGCCGAUUCUUGAUGUUGGAUAAAUAGUUUUAUUUUUUUCUCCCUGCGACAUUGGAAUGACGUCGACAAAUGCAUCCCACUCAGAUAUAUAUAAUUUGCUAGAUAACACCUCAUAUUAUAUGUAGUUUUAUUAAUUGCAUUGUGGGUGCUUAUCCUUCCAAAAUACUGUUAAACAUGUUGGACCGGUUUAGCACGUUAAUGUCAUUGUUUAAACCUACAAUGUCAAAUCCACAAGUCUCGUGAUGUCGCUGCUUCAAGCAAGAUUGUGAUUUUACCAUGAUCACCUCGACAAAAUUGGCAUUUCCAAGCAACCAGACAAUUUUUCCAUUCAUAUAGAUGAUAAAUAACUUAAUGGUUGAUGCUAAUGCUACAUAGACCAUCAAUAAAAUAAGUUUUGAUUUGAAUGAAUGUCCAAUAGAAAAUACUAUUUAGAAAAUGGUUGUUGAUAAAUAAUUAUUAAGCAUUUUGAUCAUGAUUUAGUGGAAAUGACUUGUAGAAGUUGAUAAAAUUGGAAGCGUUGAUAAAGAAAACUUUGUUUCAAGUCUGAAUAUUGCAACAAAUGAAGACGUUGAUAAAGAUGAAACUUUUAAUGAGACAAAUUAUGUUCUCUUUGUUGGUCGAAUUUUUUUUAGUGAAAAAGAAGCAUGUCUUUUUAUAAGAGAUAUGCUUAUCAACAAGGGUUCUCAAUAAAAAAAGGUAGAUUAAUAAAAAAAUUGUGUUAUUAUCAUAAAUGAUAUUUUUGUCGUCUUGAAUGUAAAGUCUCCUUGAUAAAAAAUAUUUUUAAGGAGACUUUACCUUCACAAUGAUAAAAAAUAUCACGUUUGCUAAUAACCCCAUUCUUUUUUACGAAUCUACCUUUUUUUAUUGACAAUUCUUGCUGAUAAGCAUAUCUCUUAUAAAAGACAUAUCCUUCUUCUUCACUAAGAAAAAUUUGACCAACAAAGGAAACAAAAUUUGUCUUGUUAAAAGUUUCAUCUUUAUCGUCUUCAUUUAUUGCAAUAUUUUUGUUGCAAUAUUAAGACUUGAAAAGGAGUUUUCUUUCUGAACACUUCCAAUUUUGUCAACUUCUAACAAAUCAUUUUCCACUCCCUUAAAAAAAAUCAUUUUCCAUUAAAUCAUGAUCAUAAUGAUUAAUAAUUAUUUGGCCUAAUUAUUUAUGAACAACCAUUUUUGUCCUUGGGUAUUUGGUUGUAGCCGGAGUAAGCGUCCAUAAAAGACAACAACUUGUAACCGGAGGAAUUGUCUACCAACUUGUCGAUGUUGGGAACCGGGUAUGCGUCUUUUAGGCAGGCUUUGCUCAAGUCCGUGUAGUUGACGCAUGUAACACCCUGUUUUCCCAAUAUCAAAAUUUCUUAAGCCAUUUAUCAGAGUAAGCAUCAUAAUCAACGAGGUAUCGCAUAAAACAUAGUCCAGAACUGUUAAAUAAUAAUUUAACCAAUUAUCUUAAACAUUGCAGCAGAAAAUCAUAUCAUAAUCAUAAAGUGUUUUGGCACGCAGGCCUCAUCAAGUAAUUCUCAAAGAGAUAGUUCAAUAACAUAAAACAUAAACAUGGCAGUCACGUAAGAGAAUGAAGCAUGCAAAUAACCCCAUCCCGUUACGUAUCAGAGCGACCUAGACGACACAGUGAGGCAAGGUCACUCACAACAGCAAACUGCACACUAAACACGAUCACCUGCAAGUUACCCAUACCAAGGGCAACAUUUUCAAGCAGAAGGGGUGAGAUUUCAUAACAAAAUAAUAUUAAUCAAAGUAAUUCGAAUCAUAAUUAACAUUAACAUCAUAUUCAUUCUUAAAUAACUUUGCAUAAUUCAAUAACAAAUAUCACGUAUUCACAUAUUCAAUCGUCAUCAACAACAUAGCAUUAUGGACAUGACAAUGUUGCAAUGCUCUUAGACUCUUUAUAUGCAUGUGGUACCAAUCGUCAUCAUAAGUAUUAAUAUACUUUAAUCGUGCGGAGGACAAAACUCCUAAUAAUCGUGCAGAGGACAAAGCUCCUAAUAAACGUGGUGAAGACUAAGCUCAAUGAAAUGCUAUGCAUGGACUCUUAUGAACAAAACAUCGUAAUCAACAUAUCAACAUGCAUCCAACAAUUUGGAGCUAAACGUCAUCAUUUCAUCAUAUAUAAAUAUAUACAAUGCACUUAGUUAAAUAACAGUAGCAUAAUCAAGUCACAUAACAGGAUGAUAUCAUUAUAUCAAUAGCACAUCAAUUAUAUCAUAAUUAAACUUUCAUAUCUUACAUAAAUGUACAAUACAUUAAUCAUAGUCGAUCAAUAUCAACAUAUCUUAAACAGCUUUACAGAUUGCAUUAAACGUCAUCAUUAGGUCUUAUUAUCAUAAGGGGGUUCGCUCUUGAUCAAAACGUGCGACACAUAUCGCACAAACACUCAAAAUACUCAAAGCUGGAGGAGCUCGCGAGGCGAGAGUCCUCACUCGCCAUGGCGAGUACCACUCAAAUCCCAAACUAAAGUUGUUCUGGUCUAAUCUUGCCCUACAUUUGUUCCUAAUCAUUACUAGGUAUGUUCAGGCACUCAAAGGCACUCAAGGUCCAACUAAAAAGUCGAAAACACAAAAUCCAACAUGCUCUCUGCCUAAGCUCGCGAGGCGAGGAAAGGUUGUUCGCUAUGGCGAGCGAUACCAGAAACACUCGCGAGGCGAGCGAUGAAGAUCAUCACUCGCGAGGCGAGAUUCAUGGCUCGCCGUGGCGAGCGAUGAAUGUCGCUACGACCAGGUUUUCUAAUUUCACAAAAAUCCGACGAUCCACAUGGUUCUAAGCCUAGUAUUGAUUCCAAAGUUGAUCCUAAACAUAAUCUAAGGUCCAGGAACACUUUUUACAGCAAUCUAAUCAAUUCCUACCGUUUAAUCUCAAAUUCUAGGGAUUUGACCUAGUUUUCGUUUUCUCCAAUUAAUCCUAAUUCUUGCUAAUUACUCAUCAGAAUUACAACAACUAAUAUUACUGAGUUAUUAGUCUCACCCUUACCUUAAAUUUGCAUAAAAUCGCAGCCCUCUUGGUCUUUUGCUCCUCUCUAAGCUUUUUCUCCCUUUUUCCAAAAAUUUUCACGUACAAUCCGUUUUUCUAACAAUUAGGUCUUCUCUAUUUAUAUCUCUUCCUAAUUACUUAUCUUAUCUCACUUUCUCCCCCAAAACUAUCUAAAAUAUCAAAACAGCCCUUAACUAAAUAUUUUAUAUUAUUUUCAAAUCUUUAUUUUAUUUAACAAUAAAAUAAUUCUCAUAUCCUUAUCAAAUCUUCCAAAACUCAUAACUUAUCACGUCAUCAGUCAAAUCAUCCAAAUCAUCGUAAAUCAUCAAAUUGUACUAAAAUCAUGCAUAUAUUAUAUAAAUAUAAUAUAAUCGCCUAAACUCGAUUAAAUAAACAAUUAACGAAAUUGGGCGUUACAUCAACGUUGCAGAUCCGGAAGCAUGGGUAUUUCGGUGACUUAAGUUUUAUCAUAUUAUUUGUAGGCAUUUUGCCGUUGUAUGCUAUUAACUUGGGUGUUGUGAGUUUGUUUGCAGAUUCAUCCUUUAUGUUUUUAGUGAUGUUUGUAUCUGAUGUACUCUAUCGAUUUGGUUGAAUGAAUAUCGUUUUAUUUUUGUCAAAAAAAAAAAAAAAGGUUAUGGCCUUAUGUUUCAUUUUCAUGUUUUAAGUUUUUUUUUUUUGUUGAACCAUUGAAAUAUCAUCAUGUACUCUUAAUUAGAAAUGAGUGGAAAAUAUUUUGGUUCAAACAAAUUCUGUUUCUUUUUUAUACCUUAAUUUUGUUUUCGAAAAUUAAGGGGGAGUAAUUAAUUUAUUAUUAUUAUUAUUAUUAUUAUUAUUAUUAUUAUUAUUAUUUUUAUUAUUAUUAUUAUUAUUAUUAUUAUUAUUUUUAUUGGUGCUUUUCAUUAAUAUUGUUAUGUUGUGAAAGAGCGAAUGAACCAAAGUAGUUAAAGAACUCAAGAUGAGUGUUAGACAAUAACAUAUAAGGUGUAAAAAAAUGAAUAAAGAAUAUGAUCGUAAACGAUGAGAAGAUCGUUAAGACGAAAUGUAAGAGAAGGUAAGGAGUUGUAUAUUAAGGACUGAAAACAUAACAGGAAUGAUGAUAACGAUGAAUAAGAAGAGGAUUGAUUAGCAGGGAGCAAGAUGCAUAUGAAAGACGAUAAGAGGUAGUAGUUGUAAUGAGUGACGAAUAUAAUAACGACCGGUAUCAAGUGAAUGAAACCUCGAAUUAUAAUGAAGUAUUAGGUUAGAUAAUAACUUUAAAAUUAAAAUGAAGUUAAGAUUAGGGGACGAACGAUGUAUAGAUGACGACGAACGUGAGAACAAGUAAUAAGAUAUAAAGUCGUUUUAUUGAGGAGAAUAAGUAGGAAAGAGUUAAUAACAAUUGUGAGGAAAAACCUAGAUAUAUAGAACGAAGAUUUUGCAUGUAAUGAUAGCGAAUAAGAAAACAACUUGAGACCAAGAAUGAGGAAUAGGGUAUGAUAUUAGGAAUAAAGUUUAUAGAGUCUAUAAUAGAUGAGAGAAUAUUGUAUGUUCGUAAAAGGAAUAAUAAAAUAAAAUAUAAGGAAGUUGACGUAGAAUUGAAUUACGCGUAAGGGUUGGAUUAGUGAAGAGAUACAAUGGUGAUAUAAACGGUUGAUAGAGAUGAAUAAUGAGGAAUCCAUAAUGUGACGAAGAGUGAUGACGAAGAUAAUAUAUAUAUGUAAUUAAAUAAAUACGAUGAGAAAUGAUAAUGUUUAUAUGUUAGUGAUGAUGGUGAUGACGAUAACUAUAUCAGUAUGAUGAUGAUAGUAAUGAUGUUUAUCUAUGAUGAUGAUGAGGGUAGUGUGUAAAUAUAUAUAUAUAUAUUGACUAUGAGAAUGACGACGUAUAAUUAUGAUGAUAACUUGAAUGAUGGUGUCUAAUAUACAUUGAUGAUGAGAAUGACGAUGUUGACUUAUGAUGAUGUGAAUGACGAUUAUGUGUUUGUCUUGAUGUCGUGCAUAAUGGGAAGAGUCUGAAUUUAUGAUUCUGAUUUGUUGAUGAUGUUAUGAUCUUUUAAUACUUGAAGAGUCUGUCUCAUGCAUGCAUAUAGAGUCGUGUCUAGGAAUCAUGAUGACGAAAUGACGAUGAAAGUCCAGUAACAUAUCUCUGGCAAAUUAUGACGAUGAAAGUCCAGUAACAUACCUCUGGCAAAUUAUGACGAUAGGUGUGGUACCACAAUCAUAUAGGUCAUUAGGAGAGUCCAUAUGCAUAUAUAUGAUGAUGUUGUAUGGGGUGUUUGAGUGUGAAUAUGAUGUGUUGCUGUGACAUGUAAAAUGAAGAGAUUAUACAUAGUAACUGUUGAGAAUGAUGAGAUAGUGGAGACUAUAUUCUUUUGAUAUUUAUUUAAUGUGCAUGCUUUUCCCUAUUAUUUUGUUAUGGCAUGAUUUCUCACCCCUUAUUUUGUUGUGUUGUUUUCUAUACGGUGACUGUACCUUGAGUACAGAUACUCAGGUUGACAAGGAGUAGCUGUGGGAUGUUUUAGAGGAUGGAGAUGAUGGGAUGCCCUCCGUUUGGUUUGGUUAUUUAGUAGUUGAAUAAGUUGUAGUCACUACGAGCUCUGAUAUUGUAACACUAGGGUGGAGUUGGUGAUUUAAUUUUUUAUUGCAGUUUAAGUUGAAUCUUGGAAACUUUGUUACUUUGCUUUUAUGAUGUUAAAUAACGUGAAUAAUCUUAUUAAUACAAUCAUGAAUUGUUUUCCUCUGUUUGACAAUCUUUACUAUAAAAAAAAAAGAAAAAAAAGAAGUGGUAGUACUUUUAUAUGAUUAAUGAUGAAUUUGUAACAUCCUCUCUAUUAAAUAUAUUUUUAUUAUUUAAUAAUUAUUGUUGGGAAUUAGGGUGUUACACUUUCGCUGUCGGUGUUUCAUCCAUUCGCUCUCUGUCGGCAGCGUUCCGUGAAAGCCUUCAGUUAUAGUUUUGAUGAUGUUAGACGUUUUGAUUACAUCUACUUUAUAGUCAUUGUUUGUUAGUUUAAAUGAUGUCUAGUAUAGAUCUUUAUUUUGUAGAAUCUUAAAGCACUUUAGUGAACCUUGAAAUCUUUUUCGCUGCAUUCCAAGUUUGGCAUGAAUCGUCUCACAACAUGUAUGAAUCGAUUCAAAUAAGUCUCUGACUUAGCUUGAAUUGAUUCACCACGAGCAUGAAUCGAUUCAUGUUUGUAUCGUGUCAUUUAUCCUUGAGUCGUCUCACAAAUCUCUCUGUUUCUAUUUGAAUCGAUUCAAUUAUGAUAUGAAUCGAUUCAAUCCUUCAUCUGGGUAACUUGAAUCGUUUCAAAUAUCUCUUGACUUGUGUUAUACCCUGAUUUUGGACCUAAAAAUACUCGUUUCAAAUUUCUUUUUUAACACUAAUAUUUGUCAAUUCUCUGUUAUUUUACUCUCAAUCUUUACUCUCUUUUUAAACGUAUUAUACUGCCUCUGUCUUUUCUGACAUUACAAGUCAUUUAAGAACUCUCUGAAAUGUCGCGUUACUUUUCUUGCACUUUAUUUCAAAAAAUCAUACAAAAGGGUAUUUUGGUCAUUUCCUGCAGUGGAACCCAUUUUUGUCCCUGUAUUUGUCUCUAAGUCUCUUCAACUUGUCUGUACAAAUCAUCGUUGAUUCUUUGUUAAAAAUCAUUUCAAAAUCGCAUCUGAGUCAAUUUGGGUCAGUUUAGUCCCUAGGGGCAUUUUGGUCUUUUCCUGUCAAAAUUUUGACAGGGAGGUAUUUUGAAAUACCUCAUGUCAGUAUUUGGUUCGUUUUAGUCCUUUUGUUGAUUUUAUUUUAGGUUUCACUUUACGUUUUGUCAGGUUACCCAUUUUAUUCCAAUUUUAUUUUUAUUUUUAUUUUGCAUUUUGGUCCUCAAAGAAGUCCAAAAUUGCUUUUCAGUCCAGAACUUUUUAUUUUACAUUUCAGUCCUUUUUGGUUAAUUGCAGUUUAGUCCUUAAGUUUUUGUUUUUGCAGAAAGGUCCCAAAUUCAUUUCAAGUCCAAGGCCGUGCCAUUUUCAUACAAGUCCAGGUGUCACCUUUUCAUUGGGUCUCAAGUACACAUGUCAGAUUAUAAAUAGUGCACAGUGCCACACAAAGCCAUUAAUCACACGCCAACUCAACAAACACAAUCAAGCUUUCUCUCUCCUUUCUGUUAGGAUCAAAAGAUCAAAAAUUCCCAAGAACACGAAGAACAUAAACCCUAAUUUUCUGCAGAAAUCAUAGAAAUUCAUUAGAAAUCAACGAAUUUCACAUCAAUCCUCAGAGAUUCGUAUGAACCUUCAUCACUGGAUUGGAGAUUUCCCUACAAUUCCAAGUGCGAGCUCACAUUGAAGCAAGCUCAAGCACUGAUCACAGGAAUUCUCACGUGGAUCUAAGAAGCAAGAAACAAGCUCAAGCACGUAAUCACAGAGAAAGAAUCGGAGAAGAUGAAGAAACCAAGCCAGUAAACCGAUUUAUUUUCGGUUCAAAAAGCAACCAGAAAUCAUCAAGAACAAAUCGAAGUUUUCCGAAGAAACUCAGCAGAAUCUCCAUUAAAACUCAGGUAAAACUCAUUUUUUCUCUUUAAUGGCGUUAAUCAUAGUUGAACCUGCAUGCAAACGAACAAACCAGAUCUAAAAAGUUUCCAGAACAGAAAACGAACUGAACCGUAUGCGUAAGAUCUAGAUCCAUAAGGACUUAGACUUUGCAAGCAAGAACAAGCACCAGAGAAGUAACAAACACGAAACGAUGUAGAUCCUUAAGAGUUUGAACGUACUCAUUCAAAACCCUAAAAAAAAAAAAAAUUCAAAACCGUAUGAAAAUUCUCCGAUCUACGUCGUUUCAGGCUUUGUUUGUGAAAAUCAAUGUCAGAUUCGUGUUUAGGGUUUAAAAACGAACAAGAAAAUGUAAAAAAAUUUGAAUUCUGGGUGUUUUGCUCGUCGGAACCCUAACUUCUCACCGGAGAAGAUGAAGUUUCCGGUGGAACCUUCAUCUUCUCCGGCCAACAACCACCGGAGAAGGGAGGAGAGAGGUGAGAGGUCUGAGAGAAGAGAGAGGUUUAGAGAGAGAGAGAGAUGAAAGAAAUGAAUUGGACCGGUGUCCAUAUGCUUAUAUAGACGCCUGAACCGGUCCGGUUCAUUUUGUUUUCAUCCUGGAUCGUAGGAUUUAGGGUUUUGUUAUUUGAAUGGCUGUGAUGCUUUGUUCCAUGUGCUUGAUCUGUGUUACCAUGCGCUGCUUGUUUUGAACCGUCAGAUCUAGGUCUGGAUCAAUCUAACGCCUCUGAGGCCUUUGGAUGAUCCAGGCCCAGUCUGCAUUGGGUUUUGGGUUGGGCUUAAGGUUCCUUUUACAUUUUUACCUUUUUCUUGCUAUCUGUACCCCUACUUUUUGCUAUCUGAACCUGUUUCUUGCUCACAUAUUUUUACAAAAAUUCCUAAAAAUCCUAGGUGUUUCUUGAUACAUUUUUGGUAUUUUUAUGGUGUUUUGCAUGUAAAAAAAAAUGGUAAAAUGGCAUGAAUUAAUUCCCAUGUGUUUUUACAUUUUUGGUAUUCUUUUGGUUAUGUUUUUUUGUUCUUGACACUUUGAUAUGUGACAUGGAUGAUUGAUAUACAAUAUUGUGAUGAAUAUGCCUCUGAUCAUGUGUCCUUUUUGCUGUUUUUGGAUAUGAUUUUGUAAAUUUCUUGUUUUGCAAACAAUAAGUGUUUGUCUUAAGGAAUAAAGUGUCAAAUUUCUCUAUGAAUUUGGUGUGAUACUUUGCUUGCAUAUGUCUCUAUUAAUUUCAUGUCAUGGCUUGAAACAAAAUCUCUUUCAAAAUUGCCAUGAUGUGAGAAUUAUGGGUCACAAGCACAUUUAGGUAUCAUAUCAAAUUUUUUAGGUUUUUACCACUUUAUUACUUUCCUUUUUUGCCAUUCUUAUGCAAUUUCUUUUUGUUUAUUUCCUACUAUUUUGUGCCUUAUGAUUACUAACCGUUUCAUUUCAUGUGCCAUACAUUUCAUAAGCAUUUCACAAUUCCAUUCCUAUUCCUCAUAGUUUAGGGUUUAUUUCUUUUAUUUCAAUGUUACUUUGGCAUGUAAUAUUUUAGAUAGUUUUAAUUUCUUUUAAGAUUUUUGCAAGACCAUAGAAUGUAUCUAGGACAAUGUAAAGGACUAUGGACUCUCUAAUAAUGUACACCGACACAAACACCGACACUCGCACACACGUUGCAUGAUUAUCGAUUUAGGUGUAUGUUUAGGAAUUCGACGCCUAGUGAAAUUUCUCCUUCGAAAUAGGCUAAAUUUUCCAAACAAACUUUGGAGUCAAAACUCCAAUGCCUUUUUGUGAAAUAAAAAUAAAGAUCAAAUUCGACAUUUUUCUUCUAUGCCUUACGGCUUCUCUCCUCCUUUUCAAAAAUCAUUUUCCAAGUAAAAUAAAAACCUCAAUCAUCUUCUCCCCUCAUUCUUCACUCAAAUAAAAUAUCUUCUUUUCAAUAAGUAGGCAAUAAAAAAUAAAGCGUAGAAAUAAGCUUAGGAGAACGGUUCUUAUGGAGUACCAUAAUCGCUCCGGGUGCCUAACACCUUCCCGUAGCGAAAACGACCCCCGAACUUAGAAUCUAAGGGUUUUUUCUCAAUUUUGCCCUUCCCAAAAAAAAUAGAGAAUAUCAAAGAUUGAAAGGUUCAAGCCAAAUUAAUGACUUGACACCCGAAAAUCGCGAUAACAGAAAUGGCGACUUCACUGGGGACUUUUUUUAGCGGGUCGCGCCUAGUUUUCCUUAGUUUAUAUUUACGCUUUGUUUUAUUGCUUACAUAUGUGAAUACUUGUUUACUUUCAUUUGACGUGUGGGGUGAGAAUAUCAAAAGUCCUAUACCCGGGCUGAGUGAACUUAUGUUUAGGUAGAGAUAUAAUCGACAAUUCGAUCCGGGGGUUGCCUCGUGUAUUGGAUUAUGCGAUCAAUCUCACAUAGCUGAGGCAUUUUGGAGGUAAUAUUGUCGGCGUGUGUUGUCAUGCUUAGGCACUUUGCUUUCAAUUGUUCGACGAUGCUAUGGACCGUAGUUACCAAACCCAUCCUAGCCUUUUUAGGACGUAGUGCGGUGGCUAAAUUGAGUGUUGUCUCAAACUUUAGUCGUCACGCGAUACUACACUCAAACUAGACCUUCUCACAAAUAAUCAUGGAACGGGUGUCGUCCUGUACUACCAUGAUAUAUGUGAGAGAGGUUGCAGUUUGGGAACUGUGUUAGAACCUUGGUUACUACUAUCCAAAGCCUUAGUUCACCGGACGCCGUGUCCAUCCGUGGCCCUGUUACUUUGAAUCUCAACCCACCUUGUUCUUUGUAACUAAACAACACAAUCAUGCAUACAUACAUUCAUGCAUAAACAUUUUUCAUGCAUUCAUCGAAGGGCUUAAACAAAUGGAAAUUUUUGUAAAUAAUCACAGGUAUGAAGAAGACUAAGUGCUACAAGUUCAAGGAAGUGGAUUUGGUCAGUUUAAGAGAGUUGGCACUCAAGGUCAAGAGUCAAACAGGGUUCCGACUCCGGUAUGGGGGAUUGCUUACUUUGCUCCGAACCGAUGUGGAAGAGAAGCUAGUGCACACUCUAGUGCAAUUUUAUGAUCCGAGCUUCCGUUGCUUCACUUUCCCGGACUUCCAGUUGGUUCCUACUCUCGAGGCUUACUCCAAUCUAGUGGGUUUACCUAUAGCCGAGAAGACGCCUUUCACCGGUCCCGGGACUUCUCUUACUCCUCUGGUUAUUGCUAAGGAUCUCUACCUCAAGACUUCCGACGUCUCCAACCAUCUUAUUACCAAGUCUCACAUCCGGGGGUUCACUUCAAAGUAUCUUCUUGAGCAGGCUAAUCUCAGUACUACUUGUCAGGAUACACUCGAGGCUAUUCUUGCUUUGCUUAUCUACGGGCUCAUUCUCUUUCCGAACCUCGACAACUUCGUGGACAUGAAUGCUAUCGAGGUCUUCCAUUCUAAGAACCCGGUUCCUACUUUGCUAGCGGAUACCUACCACGCCAUUCAUGACAGGACUCUCAAGGGCCGUGGGUAUAUUCUUUGCUGCAUAUCUCUUUUGUAUAGGUGGUUUAUUUCGCACCUUCCGAGUUCCUUCCAUGACAACUCGGAGAACUGGUCCUACUCGCAGCGGAUUAUGGCCCUCACUCCUAAUGAGGUCGUCUGGCUCACUCCCGCCGCUCAAGUCAAGGAGAUUAUUACUGGUUGUGGAGACUUUCUCAAUGUACCUCUUCUUGGUACUCGUGGAGGGAUUAACUACAACCCCGAGCUUGCUAUGAGACAGUUUGGUUUCCCUAUGAAGUCGAAGCCCAUCAAUCUUGCUACAUCUCCAGAGUUCUUCUUCUACACGAAUGCUCCUACCGAACAAAGGAAAGCUUUCAUGGAUGCUUGGUCCAAGGUUCGAAGGAAGAGUGUGAAGCAUCUAGGUGUGAGAUCCGGUGUUGCUCAUGAGGCCUAUACUCAGUGGGUGAUAGAUCGAGCUGAGGAGAUUGGUAUGCCUUAUCCAGCUAUGAGAUACGUGUCUUCAUCUGCCCCAUCUAUGCCUCUACCUCUACUCCCCACGACUCAGGAUAUGUAUCAGGAGCAUCUAACUAUGGAGAGUCGUGAGAAGCAAGUGUGGAAAGCUCGGUACAAUCAAGCUGAGAAUCUAAUCAUGACUUUGGAUGGUAGAGAUGAGCAGAAGACUCAUGAGAACCUGAUGUUGAAGAAGGAGCUAGCUAAGGUCCGGAGGGAAUUGGAAGAGAAAGACGAGCUGCUUAUGAGGGAUUCCAAGAGAGCCAGAGGACGACGAGACUUCUUUGCCAGAUACUGUGAUUCAGAUUCCGAGUCCGAUGAUUCUCCGACUACUUCCUAUGCUUGAGGGCUUCAUUUGUUUAUCUUGCUGAAAUUUCGAAGUCUUCCUUUUGAAAAUACUAUGUAGUUUUGAUUAUUUGCAAGAUUUCUAAUUUGUUUAAAAAUCCUUCGAUGAAAAAAGAAGUCUUUUGCAUUUGCAUUUGCAUAUCAUGCAUCAUAUGCAUCAUGCAUUGGUCACAAAGGCUUCCAAGUACUCACUACCUCCUGGUUCCUCUGCCACAGUUUGAAAAGUGGCUCGUGCUCAGAAGGUCUACGAACCUGACAGAAUCGAUCGAACCAGAGAAUACAGAAGAAGGAAAAAGGCUAUGGAAGAAGAGAACGCUCAGCUCCGUACCGAGUUAGCCACUCUAAGGGAGGAAUUGGCUAAAGCUAAUGAUGUCAUGACUGCUCUGCUAGCCGCUCAAGAACAAUCAGCUACGGCUAUCCCUAUAGCCACAGCUGUACCGGUGACUACAAGCGUGCUCCCAACCACAUCUGCAGACGCUCGCUUUGCUCUGCCAGCUGGGUUUCCGUAUGGGCUUCCACCGUUCUUCACUCCCAGUACUGCAGCGGGCACUUCGGGCACUGCUAACAAUGUUCUGAUCCCUGCAACAAAUGCUGCCUCCAUCAAUGCUACUUUGCCACAAACAACGGCAGCUGUCACUGAGCCUCUUGUGCAUACCCUGCCUCAAGGUAUUAACAUCAACACACAGCACGGAAACAUCCCCGUGACCAAGACCAUGGAAGAGAUGAUGGAGGAACUUGCUAAAGAACUCCGUCAUGAGAUCAAAGCCAAUCGAGGGAAUGCGGACUCUUUCAAAACUCAAGAUCUCUGCUUGGUGUCAAAAGUGGAUGUCCCUAAGAAGUUCAAAAUCCCGGAUUUCGACCGGUACAACGGGCUAACUUGUCCACAAAACCACAUCAUCAAAUACGUCCGAAAGAUGGGCAAUUACAAAGACAAUGAUUCCCUUAUGAUCCACUGCUUUCAGGAUAGUUUGAUGGAAGAUGCCGCAGAGUGGUAUACUAGUUUGAGCAAAAAUGAUAUCCAUACCUUCGAUGAAUUAGCCGCUGCUUUCAAGAGCAACUACGGGUUUAACACUCGAUUGAAGCCGAACAGGGAAUUCCUCAGAUCUCUCUCCCAGAAGAAGGAGGAAAGCUUCCGUGAAUACGCACAAAGAUGGAGGGGGGCAGCUGCCCGCAUUACUCCCGCUCUUGAUGAAGAAGAAAUGACCCAGACAUUCUUAAAGACCUUGAAGAAGGAUUAUGUUGAGAGAAUGAUCAUAGGUGCCCCGAAUAACUUUUCGGAGAUGGUCACCAUGGGAACCCGUCUGGAGGAAGCCGUCAGGGAUGGAAUCAUUGUGUUCGAGAAAGCUGAAUCCUCUGUGAAUGCAUCGAAGAGGUAUGGUAAUGGACACCACAAGAAGAAAGAAACGGAAGUAGGGAUGGUGUCAGCUGGAGCCGGUCAAUCCAUGGCUACUGUUGCUCCUAUCAAUGCAGCUCAAAUGCCUCCGUCAUACCCAUAUGUGCCGUAUUCUCAGCAUCUUUUCUUUCCGCCAUUUUAUCAUCAGUACCCUCUGCCACCGGGUCAACCUCAAGUACCCGUCAAUGCAAUUGCUCAACAGAUAAAACAACAGUUGCCAGUUCAACAACAACAACAAAAUCAGCAAGCUAGACCUACUUUCCCUCCGAUACCGAUGUUAUAUGCUGAGUUGCUUCCAACUUUACUCCAUAGAGGGCAUUGUACAACCAGACAGGGCAAGCCCCCACCUGAUCCGCUGCCUCCAAGGUUCAGGUCCGACCUCAAAUGUGAUUUUCAUCAAGGCGCCCUGGGUCAUGAUGUCGAGGGGUGCUACACUUUGAAGUAUAUCGUGAAAAAUCUCAUUGAUCAAGGAAAGCUGACUUUUUAGAAUAAUGUCCCACAUGUCCUCGACAAUCCUCUUCCAAAUCAUGCCGUUGUGAAUAUGAUCGAAGUAUGUGAGGAAGCUCCUAGACUCGAUGUCCGUAACGUCGCAACUCCUCUGGUGCCUCUACACAUCAAGCUGUGCAAAGCUUCUCUGUUCAGCCAUGAUCAUGCCAAGUGCCUAGGAUGCCUUCGUAAUCCUUUGGGUUGCUACACUGUUCAAGAUGACAUCCAAAGCUUGAUGAAUGAUAAUUUUUUGACUGUCAGUGAUGUCUGCGUGAUUGUGCCAGUUUUUCACGAUCCGCCUGUCAAGAGUAUACCUUUGAAGAAGAAUGCUGAGCCUUUGGUGAUAAGGUUGCCUGGACCGGUGCCGUACACUUCAGAUAGGGCUAUCCCGUACAAAUAUAAUGCUACCAUAAUCGAAAACGGAGUAGAAGUGCCUCUGGUGUCCUUGGCUAUGUUGAACAAUACUGCCGAAGGAACUUCAGCAGCCCUAAGAAGCGGAAGAGUCCGUCCACCAUUGUUUCAAAAGAAGGCAGCUACGCCUACCGUGCCAUCCAUUGACAAGCCAACCCCGACUGAUGUUUCUCCCGUUAACAGAGACGCGAGCCAACCAGGCCGGUCUAUAGAGGAUUCUAAUCUAGACGAGAUUUUGAGGUUGAUCAAAAGAAGUGAUUAUAAGAUUGUGGAUCAGCUGUUGCAAACUCCGUCGAAGAUAUCCAUUUUAUCUCUACUCCUGAGUUCCGCUGCCCACAGAGAUACCCUUUUGAAAGUAUUGGAGCAGGCUUAUGUGGAUCAUGAAGUAACUGUGGAUUACUUUGGUAGCAUAGUGGGAAACAUUACCGCCUGCAGCAAUCUGUGAUUCAGUGAAGAUGAAUUGCCCGAAGCAGGAAAGCAUCAUAAUCUGGCCUUGCAUAUCUCCGUGAAUUGCAAGUCUGACAUGAUCUCAAAUGUGUUAGUAGACACUGGCUCAUCUUUGAACGUGAUGCCCAAGUCAACGCUGGAUCAGCUGAGUUACCGGGGAACUCCUUUGAGGAAAAACACUUUUCUAGUCAAAGCCUUUGAUGGAACCCGCAAGAGCGUUCUCGGGGAGAUAGACUUGCCAAUAACUAUCGGCCCCGAAACCUUUCUAAUCACCUUUCAGGUCAUGGAUAUUAAUGCCUCUUACAGCUGUCUCUUGGGGAGACCGUGGAUACAUGAUGCGGGGGCGGUGACCUCUACUUUGCACCAAAAGUUGAAAUUUGCAAAAAGUGGAAAGCUUGUUACCAUUCAUGGAGAGGAGGCAUACCUGGUUAGCCAGCUAUCAUCUUUCUCUUGCAUAGAGGCAGGGUCUGUAGAGGGGACCGCUUUUCAAGGAUUAACUGUCGAAGGUACGGAGCCCAAGAGGGAUGGAACUGCCAUGGCUUCUUUGAAGGAUGCACAGAGAGCCGUCCAAGAGGGUCAAGCUGCCGGCUGGGGCAGGUUAAUACAGCUUCGUGAGAACAAGCAUAAGGAAGGUCUUGGCUUUUCCCCAACUUCAGGAGUUUCCACCGGGGCAUUCUGUAGUGCUGGGUUUGUCAACGCAAUCACAGAAGAAGCAACUGGAUUUGGCCCGAGGCCUGCAUUUGUUACACCAGGAGGCUUUGCGAGAGAUUGGGAUGCCAUUGACAUUCCCUCAAUCAUGCAUGUUUCUGAGUAAUAUACCUUGUUGCUUAAGUAUCUUGUUUUUUCAAAAUAACAAUCAUCUCGCUCUGCCCAAAGCGAGAAUGAUAUUUUCUAUAAGGGCAUGUUUGUUUCGGCAUUGCCGUUGAUUAAUAAAAAAUUGUCGUUUCUUUCACGACUGCUUUUUUUUUAGUACCUUUUUUUCUUGGAAAUAAUGGUAAUGCCAGAAAAAACCAAAAUAUCUGUAUUUUCUUAUUAAUUUCAAAAAUCUGCAUAAAAAACCCUCUUUCUAAAAUCAUCCAACCAUUUUACGCAGAUUGAACUAUAAUAAACCCGUUGGGCACAGUAAUCCUGCAUUCCCUCCGAAUUUUGAGUUCCCAGUGUAUGAAGCCGAAGAUGAGGAAGGUGAUGAUAUACCAUAUGAGAUCACUCGGCUACUUGAGCAAGAAAAGAAAGCCAUUCAGCCUCACCAGGAAGAGAUUGAGCUUAUCAACAUAGGUACCGAUGAGAACAAGCGAGAAAUCAAGAUCGGUGCUGCUCUAGAGGAAGGGGUUAAAAAGAAGAUCAUCCAACUCCUCCGGGAAUAUCCGGAUAUUUUUGCAUGGUCGUAUGAAGAUAUGCCAGGUCUAGAUCCUAUGAUUGUGGAACAUCGGAUCCCCACCAAGCCUGAAUGCCCUCCCGUCAGGCAGAAAUUGAGAAGGACUCAUCCAGAUAUGGCUCUCAAGAUUAAGAGUGAGGUUCAAAAACAGAUUGAUGCGGGUUUCCUCAUGACAGUUGAGUACCCUGAAUGGGUUGCCAAUAUUGUACCUGUGCCAAAGAAGGAUGGUAAAGUCCGGAUGUGUGUUGACUUCAGAGACCUGAACAAAGCCAGUCCAAAAGACAACUUUCCAUUACCUCAUAUUGAUGUGCUUGUUGAUAAUACUGCUCAGUCUAAGGUGUUUUCCUUCAUGGACGGUUUCUCCGGUUACAAUCAGAUCAAAAUGUCUCCUGAAGAUAGAGAAAAGACGUCUUUUAUCACUCCAUGGGGUACUUUCUGCUACAAAGUGAUGCCGUUCGGCCUAAUAAAUGCUGGUGCUACCUACCAAAGAGGAAUGACUACUCUGUUUCAUGACAUGAUUCACAAAGAAGUCGAAGUAUAUGUGGAUGAUAUGAUUGUGAAGUCAACAGAUGAGGAGCAACAUGUUGAAUAUUUGACAAAGAUGUUUGAAAGGUUGAGAAAAUACAAGCUUCGAUUGAAUCCCAACAAAUGUACAUUCGGCGUCAGAUCCGGGAAGUUAUUAGGCUUCAUUGUCAGCCAAAAGGGCAUUGAAGUCGAUCCUGAUAAAGUCCGGGCCAUCCGAGAAAUGCCAGCUCCACAGACUGAGAAGCAAGUCAGAGGUUUCCUCGGGCGUUUGAAUUACAUCUCCCGAUUCAUAUCUCACAUGACCGCAACCUGCGGGCCGAUCUUCAAGCUACUCAGAAAGAAUCAGCCUAUUGUAUGGAAUGAUGAAUGCCAAGAAGCUUUUGAUAGCAUCAAGAAUUACCUGCUGAAACCACCUAUCCUUGUUCCACCCGUGGAAGGAAGGCCCUUGAUUAUGUAUUUGGCAGUAUUUGAUGAAUCCAUGGGAUGCGUACUUGGUCAACAAGAUGAGACUGGAAAGAAAGAACAUGUUAUCUACUAUCUAAGCAAGAAGUUCACCGAUUGUGAAACUCGGUAUACAAUGCUUGAGAAGACUUGUUGUGCUUUGGCCUGGGCCGCUAAACGCCUGCGUCAUUAUUUGGUGAAUCAUACAACUUGGUUGAUAUCCAGAAUGGAUCCGAUAAAGUAUAUCUUUGAGAAAGCUGCUGUUACUGGGAAGAUUGCACGCUGGCAGAUGCUUUUGUCUGAAUAUGAUAUUGUGUUCAAAACUCAAAAGGAAAUCAAAGGUAGCAUUCUUGCCGAUCAUCUUGCUUACCAACCUCUUGAUGAUUAUCAACCAAUUGAGUUCGAUUUCCCCGAUGAAGAGAUCAUGUAUUUAAAAUCAAAAGACUGCGAAGAACCGUUGAUUGAUGAAGGUCCAGAUCCCAGUAGCAAGUGGGGUUUAGUCUUUGAUGGUGCUAUCAAUGCUUAUGGUAAAGGAAUUGGGGUAGUCAUUGUAUCCCCGCAGGGGCAUCACAUUCCUUUUACCGCCCGAAUUCUGUUCGAAUGUACAAACAAUAUGGCUGAGCAUGAAGCAUGUAUCUUUGGGAUCGAGGAAGCAAUUGACAUGAGAAUCAAACACCUCGACAUCUAUGGAGAUUCUGCGCUCGUCAUCAAUCAGAUAAAAGGUGAAUGGGAGACUCACCAUGCUAAGUUGAUUCCUAUCGCGAUUAUGCGAGACGUCUGCUGACAUAUUUUACAAAGGUUGAGUUGCACCAUAUUCCUCGUGAUGAGAACCAAAUGGCUGAUGCUCUUGCUACUCUAUCUUCCAUGUUUCGAGUAAACCAUUGGAAUGAUGUGCCAUUAAUCAAAGUGAAACGCCUUGAAAGACCUUCACAUGUGUUUGCUAUUGGGGAUGUGAUCGAUCAGGCUGGUGAAAAUGUGGUUGACUAUAAACCCUGGUACUACGACAUCAAACAGUUCUUGCUGAGCCGUGAGUAUCCGCUGGGUGCUUCCAAACAAGACAAGAAGACCUUGAGAAGAUUGGCCAGUAGAUUCCUGUUAGAUGGAGAUAUUCUGUACAAGAGAAACUAUGACAUGGUAUUGUUAAGAUGUGUUGAUGAACAUGAAGCGGAGCAGUUAAUGCAUGAUGUACAUGACGGUACCUUCGGGACCCAUGCUACAGGGCAUACUAUGUCAAGGAAGUUGUUACGAGGAGGUUACUACUGGAUGGCCAUGGAGCAUGAUUGCUACCAGCAUGCCAGAAAGUGCCACAAAUGUCAAAUCUAUGCUGAUAAGAUUCAUGUGCCUCCGCACGCUCUCAAUGUUAUUUCAUCCCCAUGGCCGUUCUCAAUGUGGGGCAUCGACAUGAUUGGAAGAAUUGAACCGAAGGCUUCAAAUGGUCAUCGUUUCAUCUUAGUGGCAAUUGACUACUUCACCAAGUGGGUUGAAGCAGCAUCUUAUACCAAUGUGACCAAGCAAGUGGUAGCUAAGUUCAUCAAGAACAACAUCAUCUGUCGAUAUGGUGUUCCCAGCAAGAUUAUUACCGACAAUGGUACCAACCUGAACAACAAUGUGGUGCAAGCUCUUUGUGAAGAAUUCAAGAUUGAGCAUCAUAACUCUUCUCCGUAUAGACCUCAGAUGAAUGGUGCAGUUGAGGCCGCCAACAAGAAUAUCAAGAGAAUUGUCCAGAAGAUGGUAACCACUUACAAGGACUGGCAUGAGAUGUUACCUUAUGCUCUGCAUGGUUACCGUACUACAGUGCGCAGUUCAACCGGGGCAACCCCUUCCUCUCUUGUAUAUGGUAUGGAAGCAGUUCUCCCUUUGGAAGUGGAGAUCCCAUCUCUCCGUGUGAUCAUGGAAGCAAAGUUAUCUGAGGCUGAAUGGUGCCAAAGCCGGUAUGAUCAGUUGAAUUUGAUUGAGGAAAAACGUAUGGAUGCCAUGGCUCGUGGAUAGUCAUAUCAAGCAAGAAUGAAGACUGCUUUUGACAAGAAAGUCCAUCCUCGAGAAUUCAAGGUAGGGGAGCUCGUAUUGAAAAGGAGGGUAAGCCAGCAACCCGACCCAAGGGGCAAGUGGACGCCUAACUAUGAAGGUCCUUAUGUUGUCAAGAAGGCCUUCUCCGGUGGUGCUUUAAUCCUUACACACAUGGAUGGCGUAGAACUUCCAAAUCCAGUGAAUGCCGAUAUAGUCAAGAAAUACUUUGCCUAGAAAUGUGAAAAGAACAGCGUGGUAGGUCGAAAACCUGAAAGGGCGGCCUAGGCAAAAAUGCGCUUCCCGGUGGAUCGAAAACCCGAAAGGGCGGUCCAGGCAAAAAUAAGGGACAAAAAAAAUAUAUCUAUAUGAAAAAGCUCGCUGAGAUUGCACGCAACUCAGGCAAGAAUGAGCGUCUCGAUGAAUCGAAAACCCGGAAGGGCGGUUCAUGCAAAAAUGGGAUUGAAACAAAAGGCAAGUAACUAUAUCUGGCUAACCACCGUCCCCCUUGGGGCAUCUGCAGCUGUUAAUGACUAUCUUCAUCAAAAGCUCCUACGCUUGCAAAUUCAAAGUUUCUAGGAAAUGUGAUGAUUACUGUGUUCAAUGUACCACCAACCAAUAAAAUUACCAUUUUCCAAGCUUUGUAAAUCCGUGGAGUCACGCCUUCGGCUGACCACCACUCUUAUACAUCAAUUUGAGCUUGUGCUUUUGUUUGAAACUCUGCUUUCUUUUUACUUUCAAAGCUAUAUACAAAACAUUUUCUUUCUAUUUUUAAUAAUGACAAAUGCUCGAAACAAACAUCUUGAAAAUUGAAAAAGUUUUUUUGAAAAGCAAACCUGAGCAACAGGGUACAUUCAAAUGAACAUGCAUGAGCGAGUGUGUGUUGGUGUCUAUUUCAAUAUAUGUUACAAGCAGGCUCUUCCCCAGGAUGGUCUGUGGUCAAUGGCAAGAAUGGAAAAAACAGAAUGAAAAUGCAUGAAAAUGAAUAGGCUCGCUAAGUUGAAAACCCGAAAGGGCGGCUUAGGCAAAAAUGAGCACCCUGCUGGAUUGACAACCCGAAAGGGCAGUUCAGGCAAAAAUGGGGCAUUAAAAAUUUAUUUCCCCGGUGGAUCGAAAACCCGAAAGGGCGAUCCAGGUAAAAAUGGGAUGCAAAAAAUGAAUGAAUGAAAAUUGAGAAAAUAACAUGCAAAAAGCAUUGACCACAGAUGCGACGUCCACGAUACAUCCGGCAUUAUUCCCAGUAGAGUCUCCCAAGAUUCUAUCCCCAGCAAGUUGCAUAGCUACCUGCCCUCAGCCAUGGUUCCGACACGUCUCCCAACGACGUCAUCUCCAAAGAGGAUUUCCAAGAAUGUGUAAUAUAGCACGAGCCACUACGUGCCCAAUACUCCAAUGUCUUGUCUGUCUCUGCGAAACUGUGUCUACAAAUCGCCAACAGUCAUGCAUUACAAGCAUUCAUACAUACAUAAUCAUGCAUAUUACGUGCCCAUGCAUUUAAUGAAAUUGUUAUAUCAUUCAUGCAUGUUGCAUUUCCAAUGUCAACAUCAGUCUCAAUUCAAUACUCAUGUCGGGUUCUCUGUCAAAACCUUGUGAGCCUAUAAUAUUGGUCAAUUUCUACCUUUCAAAUCAAAUCGACGCCAAGUCAAUUUCAACCUAUGUUGUCAAAAAAACUAAUCCCCUGUGAAUUUGUUUCUGUUCGGUCAAGUGACUAGUUCAAGUCCAAGAACAGCUUGUACCUAUCAUUUUGCUUAUGUUAUCGGUCGAGUGCCCAGCUUAAUCCAAGAGCAGCUUGUACCUGUCAAUAUGUUUCUGUUUGGUCAAGUUACCAGUUCGCAUCCAAGAACGACUUGUACCCGUUUACUUUUCAAUGUUAUCGGUCGAGUUACCAGUUCGAAUCCAAGAACAGCUCGUACCUGUCUAUGUGUCUAUGAUUUUGGUCAAGUGGCUAGUUCAAGUCCAAGAACAGCUUGUACCCGUCUAUCUGUUUCUGUUCGCUCAAGUGGUUAGCUCGAUCCAAGAGCAGCUUGCACCUGUCUAUUUUGUCUUUGUCUCCGGUGGAGUAACCAGUUCACAUCCAAGAACAAGCUCGCACCUGUCUAUUUGCCUUGCUUUCAGUCGAGUGACUAGUUCAAAUCAAGAACAACUCGUACUUGUCUAUUUGCCUUUGCUUUCAGUCGAGUGACCAGUUCGAAUCAAGAACAACUCGUACCUGUCUACCUUUUCUAUGUCCCCGGUCGAGUGACCAGUUCGAAUCCAAGAACAACUCGCACCUGUUUGUCUGCUUUUAUCCCCGGUCAAGUGCCCAGCUCAAUCCAAGAGCAGCUUGUACCCGUCAAUUUGUUCCUAGUCUCCUAUCUACCCUGUUAUCUGUUAACUUACCAAUGUCUACCAAUCCCGCAAUGGAUACGACAUCUUUUGUUAAUUCCAGCUUUCGUUUGUCUCGCACUCAUAAUCCAAAUGUUGCAUGGCAUUCAUGAUAUUUGAAAAUGUACAAGCGUAUUUUUACGUCCAAACACAGUGCAAAUGUUAAUAUUUAAGUAUCUUCGUCACGUCAAGCCAAAGACUCCGUCUCUUGACCCUCCAGACAAAGAAACUUAAAUAGGGGCAGCUGUUAUACCCUGAUUUUGGACCUAAAAAUACUCGUUUCAAAUUUCUUUUUUAACACUAAUAUUUGUCAAUUCUCUGUUAUUUUACUCUGAAUCUUUACUCUCUUUUUAAACGUAUUAUACUGCCUCUGUCUUUUCUGACAUUACAAGUCAUUUAAGAACUCUCUGAAAUGUCGCGUUACUUUUCUUGCACUUUAUUUCAAAAAAUCAUACAAAAGGGUAUUUUGGUCAUUUCCUGCAGUGGAACCCAUUUUUGUCCCUGUAUUUGUCUCUAAGUCUCUUCAACUUGUCUGUACAAAUCAUCGUUGAUUCUUUGUUAAAAAUCAUUUCAAAAUCGCAUCUGAGUCAAUUUGGGUCAGUUUAGUCCCUAGGGGCAUUUUGGUCUUUUCCUGUCAAAAUUUUGACAGGGAGGUAUUUUGAAAUACCUCAUGUCAGUAUUUGGUUCGUUUUAGUCCUUUUGUUGAUUUUAUUUUAGGUUUCACUUUACGUUUUGUCAGGUUACCCAUUUUAUUCCAAUUUUAUUUUUAUUUUUAUUUUGCAUUUUGGUCCUCAAAGAAGUCCAAAAUUGCUUUUCAGUCCAGAACUUUUUAUUUUACAUUUCAGUCCUUUUUGGUUAAUUGCAGUUUAGUCCUUAAGUUUUUGUUUUUGCAGAAAGGUCCCAAAUUCAUUUCAAGUCCAAGGCCGUGCCAUUUUCAUACAAGUCCAGGUGUCACCUUUUCAUUGGGUCUCAAGUACACAUGUCAGAUUAUAAAUAGUGCACAGUGCCACACAAAGCCAUUAAUCACACGCCAACUCAACAAACACAAUCAAGCUUUCUCUCUCCUUUCUGUUAGGAUCAAAAGAUCAAAAAUUCCCAAGAACACGAAGAACAUAAACCCUAAUUUUCUGCAGAAAUCAUAGAAAUUCAUCAGAAAUCAACGAAUUUCACAUCAAUCCUCAGAGAUUCGUAUGAACCUUCAUCACUGGAUUGGAGAUUUCCCUACAAUUCCAAGUGCGAGCUCACAUUGAAGCAAGCUCAAGCACUGAUCACAGGAAUUCUCACGUGGAUCUAAGAAGCAAGAAGCAAGCUCAAGCACGUAAUCACAUAGAAAGAAUCGGAGAAGAUGAAGAAACCAAGCCAGUAAACCGAUUUAUUUUCGGUUCAAAAAGCAACCAGAAAUCAUCAAGAACAAAUCGAAGUUUUCCGAAGAAACUCAGCAGAAUCUCCAUUAAAACUCAGGUAAAACUCAUUUUUUCUCUUUAAUGGCGUUAAUCAUAGUUGAACCUGCAUGCAAACGAACAAACCAGAUCUAAAAAGUUUCCAGAACAGAAAACGAACUGAACCGUAUGCGUAAGAUCUAGAUCCAUAAGGACUUAGACUUUGCAAGCAAGAACAAGCACCAGAGAAGUAACAAACACGAAACGAUGUAGAUCCUUAAGAGUUUGAACGUACUCAUUCAAAACCCUAAAAAAAAAAAAAUUUCAAAACCGUAUGAAAAUUCUCCGAUCUACGUCGUUUCAGGCUUUGUUUGUGAAAAUCAAUGUCAGAUUCGUGUUUAGGGUUUAAAAACGAACAAGAAAAUGUAAAAAAAUUUGAAUUCUGGGUGUUUUGCUCGUCGGAACCCUAACUUCUCACCGGAGAAGAUGAAGUUUCCGGUGGAACCUUCAUCUUCUCCGGCCAACAACCACCGGAGAAGGGAGGAGAGAGGUGAGAGGUCUGAGAGAAGAGAGAGGUUUAGAGAGAGAGAGAGAUGAAAGAAAUGAAUUGGACCGGUGUCCAUAUGCUUAUAUAGACGCCUGAAUCGGUCCGGUUCAUUUUGUUUUCAUCCUGGACCGUAGGAUUUAGGGUUUUGUUAUUUGAAUGGCUGUGAUGCUUUGUUCCAUGUGCUUGAUCUGUGUUACCAUGCGCUGCUUGUUUUGAACCGUCAGAUCUAGGUCUGGAUCAAUCUAACGCCUCUGAGGCCUUUGGAUGAUCCAGGCCCAGUCUGCAUUGGGUUUUUGGUUGGGCUUAAGGUUCCUUUUACGUUUUUACCUUUUUCUUGCUAUCUGUACCCCUACUUUUUGCUAUCUGAACCUGUUUCUUGCUCACAUAUUUUUACAAAAAUUCCUAAAAAUCCUAGGUGUUUCUUGAUACAUUUUUGGUAUUUUUAUGGUGUUUUGCAUGUAAAAAAAAAUGGUAAAAUGGCAUGAAUUAAUUCCCAUGUGUUUUUACAUUUUUGGUAUUCUUUUGGUUAUGUUUUUUUGUUCUUGACACUUUGAUAUGUGACAUGGAUGAUUGAUAUACAAUAUUGUGAUGAAUAUGCCUCUGAUCAUGUGUCCUUUUUGCUGUUUUUGGAUAUGAUUUUGUAAAUUUCUUGUUUUGCAAACAAUAAGUGUUUGUCUUAAGGAAUAAAGUGUCAAAUUUCUCUAUGAAUUUGGUGUGAUACUUUGCUUGCAUAUGUCUCUAUUAAUUUCAUGUCAUGGCUUGAAACAAAAUCUCUUUCAAAAUUGCCAUGAUGUGAGAAUUAUGGGUCACAAGCACAUUUAGGUAUCAUAUCAAAUUUUUUAGGUUUUUACCACUUUAUUACUUUCCUUUUUUGCCAUUCUUAUGCAAUUUCUUUUUGUUUAUUUCCUACUAUUUUGUGCCUUAUGAUUACUAACCGUUUCAUUUCAUGUGCCAUACAUUUCAUAAGCAUUUCACAAUUCCAUUCCUAUUCCUCAUAGUUUAGGGUUUAUUUCUUUUAUUUCAAUGUUACUUUGGCAUGUAAUAUUUUAGAUAGUUUUAAUUUCUUUUAAGAUUUUUGCAAGACCAUAGAAUGUAUCUAGGACAAUGUAAAGGACUAUGGACUCUCUAAUAAUGUACACCGACACAAACACCGACACUCGCACACACGUUGCAUGAUUAUCGAUUUAGGUGUAUGUUUAGGAAUUCGACGCCUAGUGAAAUUUCUCCUUCGAAAUAGGCUAAAUUUUCCAAACAAACUUUGGAGUCAAAACUCCAAUGCCUUUUUGUGAAAUAAAAAUAAAGAUCAAAUUCGAUAUUUUUCUUCUAUGCCUUACGGCUUCUCUCCUCCUUUUCAAAAAUCAUUUUCCAAGUAAAAUAAAAACCUCAAUCAUCUUCUCCCCUCAUUCUUCACUCAAAUAAAAUAUCUUCUUUUCAAUAAGUAGGCAAUAAAAAAUAAAGCGUAGAAAUAAGCUUAGGAGAACGGUUCUUAUGGAGUACCAUAAUCGCUCCGGGUGCCUAACACCUUCCCGUAGCGAAAACAACCCCCGAACUUAGAAUCUAAGGGUUUUUUCUCAAUUUUGCCCUUCCCAAAAAAAUAGAGAAUAUCAAAGAUUGAAAGGUUCAAGCCAAAUUAAUGACUUGACACCCGAAAAUCGCGAUAACAACUUGCAUUAAUCCUCAUUCCAUCUUCCUUGCCUAAGCUUCUGUUUUUUCAGUAUCUGAAUCGAUUCAAUAUGUUGUUUUGGUGCGAAAAUUGUGUCCAUUUUUCCCUUACUAUAUAUAAUCUCCUCUUUCCACAACUUCAAAAUUAUUGAAUCAUUUGCAUCUAUUCUCUCUAGGUCUCAAAAACCCAUUGCUCAUACAUUCUUCAAGAUUAAACACUUUUUCUUAGAAUCACUUUGUCUUUGAGUGUGUAGAUUCUCUAGGGUGCUAGUAGGAAUUGUAAGUUGGUUCUCUCAAGAAGAUUGAUUGGGCUUAAUCAAGGCUUCAAAGGAAGUGAAUAAUCUCAUUCCACUUCCAAAGGACUUAGGGGUCUUUCUAACCGUUCUUGAUAUCGAAGGGGGUUCUUUUACCGGACGUAGCAUUGAAGACUCGAGUGAAGAGAUCGAAGGAGUGCACGGGUAAUUCAAGGAUCCGAAGAUUCAAGGAGCACCAAAUUCAAGGGGUACUUGAAGUUUGGGGGAGGUUUAUUUUACAUUGGAGGUGAAGAAUUAGUGCUUUAAUUUGAAGUAACUACUAUAAACAUUGGUGUUCUCUCUCUCUCUCUCUCUCUCUACUUUUGAUAUAGCACUUGCUUAUUUGAAUAAUUGAUUAGUGAAUUGCUAGUUUUGAUCUAAGUAGUAUUUUCUCAAUAGAUUAAUCUAAAUCCUUUUGAUUUAGGUUAAAACAACUUCAUAUUGGAUCAAUUAAUUGCAAUACCAAUUCAAUUAAUCAAAUUCAUGUGUUUUGUGUUUUCAAUUGAUAAUUAGGUUUAUUGUCAUAUAGAUUUGGUUUGAAAUUGUAUAUUGUUUUGUAUCUUGUUUAAGGAUUGUUAAUAAUUGAUUGUGACAAAAGAUUUGUAUCGUGAAUCUCUUAAUCUAAGAUAAAAUUUUAUUCAACAUAUAUUUGACAUUUGUUAAUUCAUUGUUUGUGAUUGUUCAAGCAAAUUUCAAUAAAACUUGUUUUUAUCAAAUCUCCAUAAAAGUUUUUUAAAAGCGUUGUUCUUAUAAAAUUUUAUUCCACAUAAAGUUUGUUAAUCCCAUGGUAGCAGCACUACUUCGCCUUGUCGGUUCUUGCCGAUUAUUUAAGCAAUUGUGGUUUGUUUGCAAUCAAUUUCUCUAUAACCAGAAAUUCUUGUAAUGUUGUUUUAAUUCUUGUUUUCGGCUAGAUAGGUUGUUCAUAAGUAGUGAAAAUUCACCAUGGAAGAUAUGGAGUGGUUACUACAAGCAAAUAAUGAUGAAAUAAAACUAAGUUCAUCUUUUGUUGCUCAAAUCACAUGGCAGAGAAGCUGAGAUCCCAGUUCUCGAUGCAUUUGAAAACAUCAAAGUCUACCAAAUCUCACAAUGGUGAUACAUUCAAAAAUAAGAUAAGACACAAUUCAGUUAUAAUAUUAUUUAGUGCCUAAUUUCAUUUUAUUAUCAACAUCUUUGAGUGUAGAGUCAUAGUUUCAACAUCCAUGAAGUUGUAAAAAGAAAAAAAAUAAAAGAUACAAUUAUUGGAUGCUACUAAAAAGAUUAAAUGGCAACUCACGGUAUAACUAUAAGGUAUGUUGCAUAGAUUUUUUGCUAGUGCAAGAACUCACUCCUCCUUGCAUGGCGUUUGUGUACCCUCUUCGGCGAGAUACUUAUAUCCAAUCAAAAGGAAACGGAAUCCUCGUAAACACUAUACAUUUGUUGUAAAUGCACUUAUAAAGUAAAGGAUACAAAUCCUUUGGACAAUCAGCCACAUCUAUACAGAAAAUUUUUACUGCAAUGAAAGAAGAGAAUAAAAUAAUGUUACUAAAAUGAUAUAAAAUUUUAUGUAUGAAGUACAAAUUAAAGAAGGAAAUUUGAAAAUGGUUUUAAAAAAAAUGCUUGCUAUAAUCAACCCCGUUGGCAACAAGAAACAGGGAAAGAAAUAAAAUCAUAGAAUAAACAAACUUGAGAGUUCUAGCCAUAUUUUUCUUUGUUGUACCAAAUAGAAUAUGAUUUAGUCAAUUUAUAGUGUAUUAAGGUCAUGUAAUAUUGUUGUGUGUUUGUAUUGAACACUUAAGUAGAUGAAUAUGUUGUGUUUACCCUUUUAUCACACGAAGUAAAGGAGUAACACUAAAAAAAAGAUAAAAAAAAAUAUUGUAUAUAUAUAACACUUAAGUAGAUGAUUAUGUUGUGUUUGUCCCUUUAUCACACUUAGUAAAGGGGUAACAAAAAAGAAGGAAAUUUGAAAAUGGUUUUAAAAUAAGGGUUAAUUAAGUUUUUGGUCCCUAUAAAUAUCUGCAGUUUUGUAUUUAGUCUCUAUAAAAAUAAAUCACACUUUUUAGUCCCUGCAAAAUUUUCUGUUAGUGUUUUUAGUCCCUUUAAAUUAAAAUUUGUUUAAUUACGCUUAAACUUCUAAAUUUUUGAAAGAUUUUUUACAUACAUGUUCAUAACAUCGUAAGACACUCUUUUAUAAUUUUUUUUAGUUUUUUAACGUGUAAUGAAUUAAAUAUGAAUAUUUCUAAAAAUCAUAUUUUUCAAGAUUAUAUUAAUGAAAAUUUGGACCUAAUAAUAAAAUUUUAAGUUACUUUUUUGCGGAGGAACUUUGUAUAAUAUUCUAAAUAAGUAUGUGAAAAAUAUGUUACAAAUUUAAAAGUUUAAGCACAAUUAAGCAAAUUUUAAUUUUACAAGAACAAAAAGUAUGUGUUGGUCCCUAUUAAAUUGAAAUUUGUUUAAUUAUACUUAAACUUUUAUAUUUUUAACAGACAUGUUAAGAACAUUAUAAUAAUCUCUUUUAUAAAAAAUUAGAAUUUUUUAACAUCUAAUGAAUUAAAUAUAUAUUUUUUAAAACGCCAAAAAUUCAAAAUAAAACUAACAAAAUUUUGAACUUAAAAAUAAAAUUUUGAGCUAAUUUAUUAUGGCGGAACAUGUUAUAAUGUUUUAAACAAGUAUGUAAAAAAUCAUUAAAAAAUUUAAAAUUUUAAGCAUAAUUAAACAAAUUUUAAAUUAACAGGGACUAAAAACACUAAUGGAAAAUUUUGUAGGGACUAAAAAGUGUGAUUUAUUUUUAUAUGGACUAAAAAUAAAACUGCAUAUAUUUAUAGAGACCAAAAACUUAAUUAACCCUUAAAAAAAAAUGCUUACUGUCAUCCCCCUUGGCAACAUAAAAUAGGAAAAGAAAUAAAAUCAUAGCAUAAACAAACUUGCCCCUUUAUCACACGAAGUAAAAGGUUAACAUUAAAAAAAUUGAUAAUCAUUAUAACUUAUUUUAUUUUAUUUUUAUAACUUUUCAACCUUUCAUGAUAGAAAGGGGUAAAAAAAAGAUAAAAAAAAUUGUGUGUAUAUAUAUAUAUAUAUAUAUAUAUAUAACACUUAAGUAGAUGAAUAUGUUGUGUUUGUUCCUUUAUCACACUUAGUAAAGAGGUAACGAAAAAAAAUUGGUAAUCAUUAUAACGUACUUUUUUUUUAAACUUUUCAACCUUUCAUGAGAGAAAAUGGUAAAAAAAACAAGAAUUUAAAAUUGUUCAACCACGAUGAAUUUAUUUGUACAAAUAAUGCACCAUCAACAUGACAACAUAAUUAUGCAUUAGUUGAACAGUUUGUAGGAUAUUUUCUUAUAAAAUUAUUUGAUCAUAUGUAAUUAGUAUCAUAUUUUUGUUGUUGCAUGCUUUUUUCUGACAUUAUUAUUCAUGUCAUUUCAUUAGGGACACCAAAGCCCGCCCAUCCGUUUAGGCCCACCCUGCUUAAGUUGUUAAUCUUAAUAAGUUGUAAACUUCUCAUCCCACAAUUAAUAGCGAAACACUCUACCUGGACAAAUUUGUAGAUAACUAAUAGCAUACACCAAGUAAGGUAAACUUUAUUAUGAUGCAAAAUUUAUGGUAUCAUGUCUUGUACACUUAUGAUAACCAUUAUUGAAUUUUCAAAUGCUACAUGGUGUAUAUAAUCAAGUAUUAUAAAAUGCAAAAGUUGAAUGACAGAUAUAUAAUGGCAAAAGAUCCGAACACAUUUCCUUGAUGUCCAAAAUAGAUAGCAUUGGUUCAGGACCAUUUCAUCAUAUUGAGUAGUGAGCAUUACAGAACCCUUAAAAUAAAAAGUGCUCAUUAGAACAUGAUAUUAAGUUUAAGACUUACGUAUUCUACAUCCAUCUCAACCAUGUAUAUACGAUACUUAACACGAAGCUUAUUGAUCUUCCUCUCCAUAGCAUUAGUUGGGGUAGGGAUCAAAGGUGCUGCACAAAACAUGAAAUGGUUAAUAGCUAGAAAGAUGACAAACAAUUAAUGGCAAUGAUUAAAGAACGAUGAAAUAUAAUGGUUUGACAUAAAAAAAAUUAAAGAAAUCAGAAGUAAAAAAAUUCACCAAUUAACAUAUGAUAGAAGAACAUUGCCUGAAAGUUAUGGUGGUGAGCCAUCACUGGAUACAAAAACGGCAACUCCAUAACUGAAAGCUUGAAUAUAUAUAGUGGGUGCAACCUUUGAUAUGAAACCACAAAACCUUGGAAAAUUGAAAGGAAUUCAAUAUCGGUUGGGAAUCCAAUAGUUGGGGGCGUUUUGAUUAGUAUAACCGCCAUUUAAUUUUUGUUGUGAAUCUAAUCAGAAAGGCAUACUCAGCAGAUUUUGUAUCACGUCUUGGGAAUUGUGAUAGCAAUAACUACGUAUGCCAAAAUAAAAGGGAAGUCAAGUUAAGCGGUUCCAAAAAAAAAAGGAACACCAAGGCGCCAAAAGAAGUAGAAAUAGAAAGAUUAUGUUUAUUGGGAAUAGAUGGAAUGGGUGGAGAUCAACACAGAUGCAUCCAAUGGCCAUAACAGUUUGGAGCCAAAACCAUUAGAAUUAGGGUUGGCACAAUUUGUUAGCAAUGUUAUUCAUAUUAGAAAUAAGUAUGAUGUACUUCAAAUUCUUGGAUGUCUUUUCCUAUGUUUCUUUAUGGAAUGUCUAUAUCAAAUUUUAUGUGUUUUGAAAGACAAAUUUAAGAUACAAGAGUUUCUAUAAGUUUAGAUGACCAUUUUAUUGUUUUUAUUUUCUUUCUAGGUUCGCCUUUAAAAAUUGUGAUAAUUUACGCAACAUCAACUAAAAUUGGAAACAUAGAGUUCACAAAUAUAUAAGGUAUUUACCCACAAGCAAGGAUAGAAAUACUACAGUUGGCUAGUCUGAUUGACCCCACUUCCAAAACGUGGAAUUAGGACAUUAUCACGAGUAGUAACAAUUGAAGCUAUACUAAAAAACCACCCGUUCAACAAGUUACCGACGAUAGGUUGGUGUGGAAGGCGGAGAAAAAUGGACAUUACUCGGUUAAGAGUGCUUAUCGACUAUGUAUUAACGAUUUGUCAAGUUAGGGUAUGAGCUUUAGUGAUUUGUGAACUUGAUAAGAUCUAGAAUGACCCUGAUCCAGGUAUUUAUAGUGGGUGUGACCUAGAGGAAGGCACAAUGACUUCCCGGUUCAUCUCGGACAUGGGCUGCCAACUUCCUCCUUUUCAGGGAUUGUGGACAGUGACGUCUUAUGAGCCCUUUGUCUGUUUCUCCAACUCCUUUGUGAUUGAGUCAAUACCCCAUGUGUUCCUUAGGGGGAUUUAACAUAAGUGUAUCGUGCGAUUGAACCCUUUCUCGGGCCAGUGCUACUAUGCCGAGAACGUGACUAAUCCACUCUAUGUUACACUAUGCUUCCCACGUGACUUUUGAUCAUCAACUUAAUUUAUUAUGACGGUACACAACCCUGCAAUCACGAGGCCUAUAAGGACAAAGUGGUUUGAAUGACAAUUUAUUAUAAUGGCUUUACAUUUCUCACCCUGCGUUUCUCACGUGCCCUAUUUCCUUUUUCAAAAUACCCUUUGCUCGAUUAUAUACUUUGAACACCUUUUUUCAUAUUAUAUAAUAGAACUAUUCUCUGGUUUUUCCAAAAACUUGUAAAUAUAUGGUUCAAAAACUAUAAUCUGAAAACUUUCAUAACAUUUCAGGAAAAAUAUAACCCAAAACAUCAAACACCUCAUUUUGAGGCGAACUAUAGUGUACAUAUUGACGCAUUUUGGAUUAUAUUUGCUGAACUAUUAAUAAAUAGUUCAGAUUACAUAAUCCGAACUAUGUCAGGUCAGAAACAGACCCCGUGUUGUUAAAAUGGACACCCUUUUUUGUUAAAUUUAGGCAACAAUAUUGAUUUGAACAUGCAUCAAAACAAAUGAUAUACAAAAAAAAGGAAACACACAUGAAACAACAAAAAUACAUUAAAAACUUAAAUCAUCGGAAUAUUACAUCAACAAAUUCAAACAUACAUAAAAAACUGAAAUUAUCUAAAUGUCACAUUAACAUCAGAAAAUCAGAUAACUACUAGGUAGAAGCACCACCCCUACCACUCGUACACCUUUGACGGUAAGUCAUCUCACCCUGAGCCUCUUUCAAAAUCAAAUCCAAACUAAGCUAAGUUGGACUUCCCUGCUCCAUCUGACCACUGACCAUGAUAGUUCUGGAAGUCUCUGAUGUGUCCUAACUGUCCACUAAAGUCUAGUGGAUGGUUGCUUCAGGUUGCUCAGAAGCAACCUCAUCAAGAGCCUCCUACUCAGGUGGCCUCGAGAUAUGACCAUUAUCCAGAGAUGGUAUCAUGUAUGGAUGUGAAAUGUUUAAAUAAGAUCUCAUGUACCCAACAAUCGUCAUCGCAGUACCAAAUCCUGCAGUCUCAACAUAUGAUCAAGAUAAUGCAAGAAGCGGUGAUUGGCCUCAUGUCGGGUUGUCAUGGGAGGUGAAAAAUAAUGUGCAUGUCUAAAGAUGACCUCGACGUGACAAAACUAGAGCGCCACCCUCUCCGUCAGAUAUCAGACCAUAUGAGGUUUGUCUCUGAGCCAUCUAGAGCAAAGACUGAUUCUCUCAAACAGACGUAUUUGGAGGUGUUGCUGAUUUGAGUCCAUGACAACAGAACUAAGAUUCAUGUGAUGCAUAUGCGAUCCUAUAUGAUCUGUCACAGCCUGACCCUUUGGGGAAACAAACAUCGCGGCACGGGGUGGCGAUCCUCCCUAUAUCUACCCCAGAAAUCCCUAGCCUUGACAGACUUAAAGAGCUAAAAUAUCCAAGCCUACAUCAAUAUAUACCUAUCAAUAGAAAGCACAUAGAAAAAAAAAACAAGUUUAACAGUUAACUAAAUAAGAAUUUCGUUAUUAUACAUGAAAGAUGGUCAAUAUCCUGCCAACUCUGAAGUCUUAUAAUGACAUCCACUAUUAAGAUCCCUAUUGAGGUGAGCAAGGGCAACCUAUCCCCACGCAUAAUCAGCGACCAACUCAAGGUCACGGAAGUACCUGAGGUAUCUCACGUCAACAUAGUUGGCGCUCAUGUAUGUGAAGAGUAUUACACCCAGCAACUACUGUAGAUAAAUUAUGUGUUUAAAUUUUUUCAGAAUUUUACUAUUUAAAUCAAUCAAUAAGCAUAUUGCACACUUAUAAAAUUCUUUUUUAAAGGAACACACUUAUAUCAAUUUAUAAAAUUAUGUACUGAUAUUUUCUAAACACGUAUUAUAAUCAAACUCUUGCAACAUAUGAGCUUUCCACCCAGUAUAUAAUCAUAGCUAGCUUGAAACAUCUUGACUUUGGUAAAUAGAACAACAACCAGAACAUUAUCAGUCUCAUCGCAUGCAAAAAAACAAUACAUUUAACUCAUUGACAUAAGUUUCAAACAAAGUAACAUUGAAACGAAAUCUAACAUAAUAUUAGAAAAACAAUAUAUUUCAGUAAAAUAACUUACUUCGUCGUGGCGUUAUUGAUCAAGCAUCCAGGUUGUGUGUGUCUGAUUGUGGCUCGUUGGAAUCAUCUCAACACUUAUUUUUACAUUGUAAUUUUUUUGGAUCUGUUUGGCACUUCAUUUAUAGGUGGUUAGGCUUGUCAGUGGCUGCCCCUUUAUAGGUGUCGGAUCAUUUUACUCAGUUUACCGGUAGCGGUGGUACCACAAAGGUGCACCGCUCUAUUCUUCAGGUUAUUUGGUUUGUUGUAGUUUGAGAAAUAUGGAAGGAAAGAAACAAUAGGUUGUUUAAUGUCAAAGAUUGCUCGGUUAUCUAGGUGGUCGAUAAGAUUAAGUCGCUUGCUUUUACGUGGUUGAAGACGAAGUAUAUUUCUCUUCCCUUCAAUUACCAUGGGUGAUGGCUUAGUCCGUUUACCAUUUUAGGCAUAGGCUAAGAGUUUCUUUUCUGUUUUUUAUGCUCUGUUCAGGCAACUAUUGUAUAUAUUGUUCUUGACUCUGAUGUCCUUUCCUGAGUACGUCUUGUGCUCGAAAAGACUCUUUUGAGGUAGUAUUAUAAUUCAUUUUAGCUUCUUAAAAAAAAAGUAAAAUAAUUAUAAAAUAAGUAGGAAAUAAAAUUUCAACCUUGUAGACCACCAUUUGAAGAUCUUCAAGAAAACAUUAUGUGUGGUGAAGAAGGACUUUAUAUUUUUUUUAUUAAUAUUAAUACGAAAUCAAACAAUGCAGGUUGCCUGUAAGAAGACUUUUUCAAUUAGAAGACCAAUAACACAACAAGUAUGAAAAUGACUAGUAUUGAGUAACUUUGUGCAGGGAAAGUCAUCAUGUUUUUGUCUUUUUUUAGCAAAAACAAAGUUAAUUCAUUUCAUUCAUAAUUAAAAAGUAUAAAGUAGUCGGUACAUCACAAAAAAUAUGGGGGCUAGGGUUGGAUAAAGAUGCUCUAGCAAUACUAUGAGCAACUUUAUUAGCGUGCCUCCUAACAUACGACACAACAAAGUAGUUUCUAGAAAGUAAGAGACUUCUACAAUGAGAAACAAGGUCACCAAACUCGUUAGCAAGAAUAGAGGUGGUGUGGAGCGCAUCAGAUAAAACUUUGGAAUCAGUUUCGAACAUAACAUCUCGCAUGUCAUUUAAGAUGGCCACCUUAAUAGCUUCUAGUAAGCCUAAUGAUUCAUCUUCAAGAACGGUGGUAGAAGAUGCAAAGUAAUAUGAUUUUCCUAGCAAGAAUAGGCCUGUAGAGUCUCGAAAACACAUACUGUAUCCCAUAAUGGAAUUACCGUUGAAAGAGGCUGCGUCAACAUUACACUUGAUCAUGCCUGGUGACGGUUUGAUCCAAGGUUGUUCCGUAUGAUCACUUCGGGACCGUACUUUUCCUCUUUGCAUACAUCCCCAUUCAACUAGUGUGUCUUUAGCUCAGCUCACAAUAGCAAAAGGAGAGGUGUCAAUAUCUUCCCAAAGUUUUGUAUUACGACUCUUGCAUAAGCUCCAGAGGGUCAUUGUCGUUAGAGUUAGCUGCUGCACUUGUAACCUGUCAAAUAAAGCAAAUAACAUUGCUGUAAAAUUGUUAGCAGAUGGGAGGAGCGCUUGGAUGGUGCCAUUGAGCCCAAGUAGAUUCCAACAUUGAUUUACCGUAAGAUCUUCAAAGUUUUGCAACGGCAGGGAUGACGGUUUUAGGGAAGGAAGGUUUGAUGUAAGAUUUUUACAUGUAUUAAAACUAUUUACACGUGAGUAUAAUAGGAUCGUUUCCGCAGGGAGUUGCGUAUUUCAUAAGCAUUUUCACAAUAUUUGUCACAUUAAGUGUUUGGGUAUAAAUUGUUUUUUUGUGUAAAACUAUUUUCCUAAUCUACAUAAAAGUAAAACGAGAAGAGAUAGGGCUAUUCCGCUUGCGGUCAGAGACAUCAACCAAGCGUAAUAGCUGCAAUCUCUCGAUCGAUUAACGGAUUCUAGCUUUUUAAAACGAUAUUAUCACAAUCACUCGAAAAUAUCAUUCGUGACCAAAUGAUAUCGUUAUUUCUAAGGGAUCGUUUAAACAUCGAUUUCCCAAACAUUUAAACGAUCACAAAGUCGAUUGGAUAGUUUAAUCGACAAUUUCCAAACCGAUUAAAUUACCCAAAAGCAUUAAGUUCUAGAUUAAAAGUGAUUAUUAAAUAUUAACAUCCAUGUCUAGAGUGAUAACUUAAGAUAGAUUGUUAUUCUAUUUCUAGAUUCAAAAGUAUGUGUCCAUAUCAUUUUGAAUCUCAAUAAACAAUAAAAGCAAGAAUAACAACAAUAUUGAAUAAAUAGCUAGAACCAUAUAUUAAUGAUCAAAAGAUUACAUAAUAGCUUGUUUGAAUACCUCAAAACUACAAGAGUAGAUGUAGCUACAUAUGUCUAUGAUAGCUUUGCAAACGAUGAAGAAAAGAUGAAGAUUUCAUGACAAGAUCCAUGAUCUCUCAACAAAUCUUGGCUUGAAUCUACUUCUUGAAGGUGAAAAACACAAGAAGGGGGGGGGUUGAAUUGUGUUUUCUUUUUCUCUUAAAAAAGGAUUCUUCUUCUGAUAAAACUUCAGAAGCAGUUUGAUUGCUUCUGAUGAAAUGAUCAGAGUCAGAUUGCAGCGGAAAAGAACAGAGCAGAGAAAAGAAAGACAAAGACACAGGCAGUUAUCCUGGUUCCUUCCACAACACGGAAGUAGUCCAGUCCCCCUUGCACUUCCAAGGAGAUUUCACUAUAAUCACAAGAUUACAACUGCUCAAUACUUUCAAAGUAUGAGACUUCACAAAACAAUGCUCAAGCACACACGCAAGAGUCUUCCAAUGCUCAAGCACUAAGCAAGAGACUUCUAAUGCUCAAGCACGCAGGCAAGAGACUUCUAAUCAAACAAAAAUACAGAGAAUUGAGUUUGAAUUGAACACUUGAUAUACAAUCAGUGGUGUUCACAAUACAAUACAGAAAAGACUCUAGACUUUGAAUUUCUAAGAUGUAUCAAAUCAGUGCAGAAAUUCAGUGUGCUUUUUAGAAUCAAAUUGACAGAGUUUUGGCGCUUUUAAACUUAUGUAUCUCUCUCUAUUAUCUUCAAGUCUUCACUCCUUUAUAUAGAGGCGUGAAAGAGACGUUGAGAUAAUCAGCACGUCUAAAGAGUCGUUUGAAAUCCUUUGAUUAUCCACCAGUGAUCCUUUGCCUGAUUUGGGUGUAGUCCUUUGAAGAAUAAACUUCAAAUUCAUUCCCAUCUUGAGUGUACAAUUCUGCAGGCAUGGCUGUUGUUUUGUCUUGUAGCGUAGACAGAAAACAGAGUAGUGGAGGUAGUGGUUGUACACUUGUACUUUGUCAACUCUAUUAACGAGAGACAAGAGCUCAGUGCUAUCCAUAUAUCCGUUGAUACCUCCCUUUCAAUUCUUCGUUCUUCUUUGAUAAGACUGAAUUGAAAAUCAGCUACUUUGAAUCUUCAGUUUGAUUAAAGGAUCAAACGUAGCUUCUGGUGAAGAUAUUGCUUCUGAUGAAAACUUUUGCUUCUGAUGACCUUCUGCUUCUGAUGACGUCAUCUCUUCAGGAGCAGUUUAGCUUCAGGAGCAGUUUUCUUCAGAUGCUCAGAAUUUCUUUUUUCUUUCCAUUGUUCUUCCAAGACCUAUUGAAAUAACUUAAGUAGCCUUUGGUCCUGUACACUUGAACAAUUAUUAGUAAUAACCAAUUGACAAUUUUUAAUACCUUGUUAUCAUCAAAACUCAAUAAGGUUCAUUGUGAAACACACUUUGUUCCAACAAUCUCCCCCUUUUUGAUGAUGACAAACAAUAGUAUUUAAAAUGUUCAAUUGUUGUUGAUCUAAUUAAUAAGUUGACUACUGGGACAGAGGUUUGUAAGCUCCCCCUGAGUCUAAUAGAUCUUUAAGGUGAGGUUUGUAAGCUCCCCCUAAGUUCUAUUCUUAUUAAUUAAAUUUCAAUAAAAUACUUAUAAAAUCAAAUCAGAAGUAUUUAAAAGAAAUUUAGAAGUGGUUAUAGUAGGGCUCAGUGCCUUAAAAAAAUACUAUACAUUUACUCCCCCUUUUGUCAUCAACAAAAAGAAUAGAAACAAAAGAAAGAGUAUCAGAGCAAGCAGCAUUAAAAACAGUAAAUAUCAUCAGAGUUAAAGCUUGUAAAACAUAUUGAAGGUGAAAAAGCACAAGAUUCAGAAACAAUGAUAAUAUAUAUAAAGAAAGAUUAAGAUACAAAGACACAGCUACUAAGAACAAAAGUAAAAAACAAGCUAGAGUUGGGUGUGCAACUAAGGUUGGGCUUGCUUAUACAACUGUUCUAAGAGAUACUUGAUCUGAUCAUCCUUCUUCUGAAGUAGCUCAUCCUUUUCCCUCAUUCUUCUUUUAUAUCCAGCCUGAAUUCUAGCAGCCCUAGUGAUGUACUCUUCUUCUGGAUAGAAAGGAGUGAUGUCCAGCAGAGGCACAAAAUUCAGCUCUUUCUCCUUAGCUGCUUCAUGCAUAUCAUCCAAAAGCUUCUUCAGCAUAGCAGAGUGAGAUGACACACAUUUAGUUCUAAGCUAAUCCAGCAGCUCAUCAAAGCUCUUCUGUAGAUCCAUCCACUGAUCAUAAUAGUGAAUAGGAGGUGCAGGAACUGUUCUGCGAAGAAUCAGUGCCUGAAUCUCAUCACUAAGUCUGAUCAGUUGUUCCUCUAUAUACUCAGACUCCAGGAUAUGGUCAGGGAUGGGUGAAGGUUCAGUUUGAGUUGUAUUUGAUGUGGAAGGUUGGUCAGAGGUUAAGUCUAUUAUAGUGGGUGAAUCUGGUUGUUGUUGUUCUGUUGUUUGGUCAGAAGGUAUAUGUUGGUCAGAAGUUGUUUGGUCAGGAGCAACUUGUUCAGAAGCAGUUUGCUCCUGAACAGUUUGCUCAGGGAUGGUUUGGGUUUCUGUUUGGGUUUCUGUUUGGGUUUCCAAGACAGUCUUUUCAGAAACUGUCUUAGAGGCCUUAGUGGGUGUUGGUUGCAUUUCACCACCUAGAUGUUUUUCUAAGUUGUGAAGGGUUGAGGAUUCUUGGUGUUGGGGGGUUUCUGAAGUAGUUGCAUCUGAAGCUACUUCAGAGGCUUUUUGUGGAGAUUGGUUAUUUGGUGAGUUUGUUUGGGUAGGUUCAGGUUGUUGUAUACUAACAGGUUCUGGAGUAUCUGGAUAUAGUGGAUGAGUAGUAGGCAAAUUGAAUUUCUCACAAAGUUUUAUCCUAUUUUUUGAAAAUUCUAUUUGAGUACUCUCAUAGUCAAGUGUUCCAUACUCUGUUAGUUUGGUAGGUUUGGUUUUUAGAAGCUUGUUUAUAUGUUGGCUAAGGGGUUGGUCAUCUGAUUCUGUGGAUGAUGAAGAGGGUGAAGAGGGUAGAGAUAGAGACUGAGUAUUAGUUGGAGCUUUAGAUGGAUUACCUGAGGACUGAGCUUCUGGAUGAAUUGCUUCUGGAGCUGUUGAAAUUGGAUCUGAUGAAGUUGCUCCUGAAGCUUGCUUAUUCUUCAAGGCUUGAGAAAGCAGAGUUGCUCCAUACUGAACUGUUUCUAACUCAGACGCUAAAGCAGCAAUGUCAGGAGUAGGCACAUACCCUGCAGCCUUGAGACGCUCAUCCCUUUCUUUCUCAAACACUUCCUUCAACCUUUUCUUUUCUGCUAUCUUGGAUGCAGAAACCUCUCUAGCGUACUGCCUCAUUUCUUCAGUCAUUUCAAAACUGGGCAUGACUAUGGGCUCAGAAGUUGCAGUCCUUUUUGCCUUCUUGGGGCUUGAGUCUUCAUCCCAGUUCUCUUCCAGUUCUUUCAACAUUUCUUCCCUUCUUCCUUCAGCUGUCUUCAGAUUUCUUGUUAAAUUAGACCUCUUCCUUUGGAUGGUCUGAAGAGCAGCUUCUCUUUUAUUUUUGGGACUUUAAGGCUUUUCAGAAGCAGCUUGAUCAGAAGCAGCUUGUUCAGAACCAGCUUGUUCAGAAGCAGGCUGUUCUGCUGUUUCUUGAGUACUCCUUGUCCUUUUUCUGAUAAGAGGGACAUCAUCCAAAUCCUCCACUUCCUCAAGAAUGGUGGACAUAGCAGAUUUUUCCUUCUUAGCUUUCUUAUGCUUCUGAGCACCCACCUCAGUAGCAUCUUCAGCAAGGUAUUCUUCCUUGGUGAUCUGCUUCUUUUUAGAUUUUCUGCCUUUGGCCACAGGCAGAUCACCACCAUACAUUUCUUCUGGGAUAUCUUUCAGGCUGAUUUUCUUGUUGUAGCUCUUGUAGUAGUCCAAGAUGUAGGCCCUCUGCACAUCCAGGGGAUCUUUCUUGCAGAUAGGGAUGUGAUGAGUGACUAGAUCAGAUAUGACAUCAGAUUCAUGCAUAUCUGUAUCUAGUUUCUUGCAAGUUGAAAUCAGCCUCAUCUUGACUAGAGUUGCCCCAUUGAUUAUUUUUCCUGUGACUGCUCCCAGCUUCUGAUUAUCAUAAAUACCCACGUCUUUCAGGGCACUUAGGAGUCCUCCUUCUUGAAAGAUUAUGGAGAGCAGCCUUCCAUAGGGAACAAACUUCCUGUUCUCCAUCUGGCUCUUCUUGAGUUCCUUGAUCAUGUAUUUAAACAUAUACUUGGGAACAUUCAUUGUUGUUUCCUGAGAGAUGGUGUGAUGCAGAAAGACUUUGUGACCAAGUGAAGGUUGAUCAUUUCCUCCACCUUUGGGAAAAAUGUUUUCAUUUUGGAUCUUCAGCAGCAUUUUCUUUUCCAUGCUUAAGGUGCUGUAAGGCUUAGCAUCCUUUGAUCCGUAGAUAGUGUUGUUUACUAUCUCCUUCCAUGGGCUUGUUCUGGGGUUAGGAAUCUCUUCUCCAUCGUAUGUCCCAGAAGCAUCCCUUCUCAUGGCUUGAGCAAUCACAUGCUCAUUGAUUGUUACAGGAAUCCCCAUGACGUUUGAUCUAAUCUCAGUCCCAGUGAAGGCGAGUAGACCCAUUUCUUCUCUGGUUUUUCCCUCCAAAGUAGGAUCAACCAGAAUCAUCUGAGCUUCUUCCUGUUUAGCAGCAACUUUGUCAAACACUGAAGCUCUUACCCAGAAUUGUCUGACAAGCACUUCAUAAGUAGGACCGUUGAGAAGACUGAAGUAACUCAUCAGCUUCUGCUUUUUGUAGAAUCUUACCAAGUCGCAUCCAUGAUGAGUUAGAGAAGUGAAAUCCACUGGAUUUUCCGCUUGAAUGAUUAGAUCCCAUUCCUCAAUCGACAUAGUUCUUCCUUUGAUUUCAUAAGCAGGAGUAUCUAUAUCCAUAUUCGAUGAAGAACCACCGGCAGAACUUGAAGAUGCCAUUGAUUUUAAGUAGAAUUAGGGUUCUAAGGUGUUUUGAGAGGUUGAGAGAAUGUGCUUACUUACACAGAGGGUUGAGAAGAAAUUAGAAAGUGUUUGUUGUGAAGUGAGAAGUGUGUGAAAUGACUUAGUGUUUUUUAUUAAAACGUUUGUAAUUCAGAAGGGACAAACAAACACAGCAUUAAUGACAAAUUGGGGGCGCGUGUAAGUAUGUUAAAAAGCGAAUAAAACAUCAUUGCCCUUUUUGUUAUACUCCAAUACAAAUAGACCACGUCAGAGACUCUUCAGAAAACUACUUUUUGGGUAAUGGGACAGCUGUUUACAUAAAGUAACUACCAACGUUCCCACUAACCAAGCUAUUCAGAAGCAAAGAAUAACACUUCUGAAGUUUUAGUGCUGACGUCAUCUUCAGAAGCACAUUUUCCUCAGAACCUCAGUUAAGAGCUUCUGAUGAACCAAAAUGCUCCUGAAUAAACUUCAGAACCAAACUUCUUAUUCAGAGGCAAGCAAUUUUUCAAUCAGACACAAAAUGCAUGUUCAAAUUUUUCUUAAUAAAAUCAAAUCUUUCAACAGACAAAGGUUUUGUAAAUAUAUCAGCCCAUUGAUGUUCAGUAUCAAUGAAUUGUAUAUCUAAAAUUCCUUUUUGAACAUAGUCUCUGAUAAAAUGGUGUUUGAUUUCAAUAUGCUUGGCUCUUGAAUGUAGAAUUGGAUUCUUUGACAAACAAAUAGCAGCAGUAUUAUCACAAUAAAUGGGAAUACUGUUAGCAUUGAUCUGAUAGUCUUCCAACUGAUGUUUCAUCCAAAGUAGUUGUGUGCAACAACUUGCAGCUGAAAUGUACUCUGCUUCUGCUGUAGACAUAGCAAUAGUUGCUUGUCUUUUGCUUGCCCAGGAUAUCAGAUUCUCUCCCAGGAAUUGACAAUUUCCACUGGUUGAUUUUCUUUCAAUCCUAUCACCAGCAUAAUCAGCAUCACAGAAUCCAAUCAACUUAUAAUCUAGGGAUUUCCUAUACAGGAGUCCAAGAUUAGUUGUUCCUUUCAGAUACCUGAAGAUUCUCUUAACUGCAGUUAAAUGAGAUUCUCUAGGAUCUGAUUGAAAUCUUGCACACAAGCAUACACUGAAUAAAAUAUCAGGUCUAGAUGCAGUGAGGUAUGACAGAGAACCAAUCAUACCUCUGUAUAGCUUCUGGUCUACUACUGUUCCAGUAUCUUCUUUGCUUAAGGUGCAGGUUGGAUGCAUUGGAGUGUUCAUCACUUUACAAUCUUCUAGCUUGAACUUCUUCAGAAGCUCCUUUGUAUAUUUUGUUUGAUGAACAUAUACUCCUUCUUUACUUUGGUUGAUUUGAAUUCCCAGAAAGAAUUUCAAUUCUCCCAUCAUACUCAUUUCAAAUUCAUCCUGCAUUAACUUAGAAAAUUCUUUGCAAAGAGAUGCAUUAGUAGAACCAAAUAUUAUAUCAUCAACAUAUAUUUGCACAAUCAAAAUAUCUUUCUUAAGAGUCCUUCUGAAGAGUGUUGUGUCAACUUGUCCUCUUUCAAAAUCAUUUUUAAUUAAGAAAUUACUUAGUCUAUCAUACCAAGCUCUGGGAGCUUGUUUCAAGCCAUAUAGUGAUUUCUUAAGUUUAUAAACAUGGUCAGGAUGCUUAAGAUCCUCAAACCCAGGAGGUUGUUUAACAUACACUUCUUCUUCAAUGACACCAUUAAGAAAAGCACUUUUGACAUCCAUUUGAUAUAAUAUUAUGCCAUGAUUAAUUGCGUAGGAUAGAAGUAACCUGAUUGCUUCCAAUCUUGCAACUGGAGCAAAUGUUUCAGUGUAAUCAAUGCCUUCUUGUUGACUGUAGCCUUGAGCAACAAGUCUGGCUUUGUUUCUGGUUACUUCUCCUUGUUCAUUCAGCUUGUUUCUGAAUACCCAUUUUGUUCCAAUAAUGUUCUUCUGAGAAGGUUUGGGUACCAGAUCCCACACAUCAUUCCUUUGGAAUUGAUUUAGCUCUUCUUGCAUAGCUAAUAUCCAUCCAUCAUCUGAGAGAGCUUCUUCAACAGUUUUAGGCUCAAUUAUUGAAAGCAGUCCUAUUAAAGACUCUUCUUGUCUAAAAUGUGAUCUUGUUCUUCUAGGACUAUCUUUGCUUCCAAUGAUUAACUCCUCAGGAUGUGAAGAUUUGUGCUUGAAUUUAGGUUGAAUAACCUGCUGAGUGUUAUCUUGAAAGUCCUCAGAAGCACUUUCAUUCUGUACUUUUGGGCUAGGUUCUGCUUCUGAAUUAGACUCAGCUUCUGGAGUGAUUUCAGCUUCUGGACAAGAUUCAACUUCUGUAUACUUUUCAGAAUCAGAAGGUUGAUCAGAUUCUGAUGCAUCUUCAGAAUCAGUUGUACCUGCAUUACUUUCACUUUGCUCUGAAGUUUUACUUCCAGGCUCUCUAUCAUCAAAUUUUACAUGCAUAGAUUCUUCAACACGUUGUGUUUCUGAAUUAUACACUCUGUAUGCCUUUGACCUUUCAGAGUAACCUAAAAAGAUUCCUCUUUGAGCCUUGGCAUCAAAUUUCUUCAGAUAGUCUUUAGUGUUUAAGAUGUAACAAGUACAUCCAAACUGAUGAAAGUAAGAGAUAUUGGGUCUUCUUCCUUUAAAGAGUUCAUAUGCUGUUUUCUCCAACAUAGGUCUGAUAUAGAUCCUAUUUUGAAUAUAACAUGAAGUAUUGACUGCUUCUGCCCAAAAAUGUUUAGCUAAGUUGUUUUCAUGGAUCAUGGUUCUGGCCAUUUCUUGUAAGGUUCUGUUCUUUCUUUCUACAACCCCAUUUUGUUGUGGAGUUCUAGGAGAAGAAAACUCAUGGAGAAUCCCAUGUUUUUCACAAAAAAGUUCAAAUGGCUCAUUUUCAAAUUCUCCACCAUGAUCACUUCUGACUUUCAAAAUUUUCAAUUCUUUUUCAGAUUGUAUUUGAGUGCAGAAGCUGCUAAACACUUCACAUGCAUAGUCUUUACUUUUAAUGAAUUUUACCCAAGUCCAUCUGCUGUAAUCAUCAACAAUGACUAAUCCGUAUUUACUUCCAUAUAAAGAUGCAGUGUUAACUGGACCAAAAAGAUCAAUAUGGAGUAAUUCUAAGGGUCUGGAGGUUGAUACAAUGUCUUUAGAUUUGAAAGAACUUUUCACAAUUUUCCCUUUCUGACAUGCACCACAAAGUGCAUCUGAAUGAUAAUCAAUGUUAGGCAAUCCUUUGACCAGUUGUAACUUGCUAAUUUUAGAAAUUAAUCUCCAAUUAGCAUGUCCCAACCUUUUAUGCCAUACCCAUUUUUUAUCAUUCAUUGACAGAAGGCAAACUACCUUCUGAUCAGCCAGAUCAGAGAAAUUUAUUUUAUAGACAUUCUCAACUCUCUUUCCCUUGAAUGUAAUGGAUUUGUCAUCCUUGUUGACUAGUGUGCAGUUGGUCUUACUGAACGUUACAUCAUACCCAUUGUCACAAAAUUGACUAAUGCUCAAUAGGUUAUGCUUCAGACCAUCUACUAGCCACACAUUAUUAAUUGAGAUGGAGGAAUUACCAAUAGUACCUGUACCAAUGAUCUUUCCAGUUUGGUUGCCACCAAACUUCACUUCUCCUCCAUCUUUCAUUGUAAGGGUAAGGAACAAAGCUUUCUCUCCAGUCAUGUGCCUUGAACAUCCGCUGUCUAGGUACCAUGACCUUUGUUUCUCUCUUGCCCUUAAGCACACCUGCAUUUUUGGCCAAUUCAGAUUUAGGUACCCAUAUCUUCAUGGGUCCUUUUGGGUUAGUUUUGGAGGUUUUACUUUUCCUCCCUUGUACCUUAGGGUGAAUGCUGAGUGGCUUCUGAUCAUUCAAUACUUUAGGUUUGACACCUUUUGGUAUUGUUUUCUCAGAAGCAGUAGCUGCUUUGUUCUUCUGAUCCUUUUGUUUUGGAAUUUUAGAUUCUGGUUUAAUCAGAUUCUGAUGAACAGGUUCUGAUCUUUUCAGAAUUUUAAUCUUUUGACUCUUAGGAUCAGAUUUUGUCAUUACCUUGAUCUUAAGAUUCUUUGGCUUUGAUGUGAUCUUAGCCUGUGAACCUGAAGCUUCAGGUUUUGACUGAACAGCAGUUAUAGCAUUUGUACCUUCAGGCACAAAGGUGGAUUUCAAUCCAUCCUUGAUACAAUCACAGUAGCUCUUGAGACUGUAUUCUUUGGAUUUCUCCUCAGAAUAUCCAAUCCCUUUGCCUUUGUUCUUGUAUGUGCUGUAGAUCAUAGAAGCAACUUUGCUUCUGUCUAUUCCAGCCAUAAUAAAAUCAUCCAAGGCAAUCUCAUGUUUAUUGCCUGAACCUUUAUCACAUUUUUCUUGUAGCUUCUGACAAAGACUCUUGAGUCUAUCUUCAUAUGUUGUUGAUAUGAGGUUAAACCCUUUGAGUUCUUCUUCAGAAGCUUUCAGUUCCAAUAGAGUUGAUUUUUGUUGUUUCAUCAAAUCAACAUAUUUUUCUUUUAAAUCUGUCAACUCAUUGGUUCUGUGUUCAAACAGUGAUAAAAGUUCUUUUAGAGAAUCAACAAGUUCUUGUCUAGGGAUUUUGGAAUAUACCUCAUUUUCAUCUUCUGAAUCUGAUUCAGCUUCUGAUACUGCUUCUGAUGAUACUGUUGCCACUAACCCAACGGCUGCCUUAGCAUCAUCAUCAGCUUCUUCUUUAUCAGAACCAGAUUCACUAUCCAAAUCUUCCCAGGUCGCCAUCAAGCUCUUUUUGAUUUGCUUUCUGAAUUUACUGGAGUUGAAGCUUGAUUUCUUGGAUUUGCCUUUAAACUUCUCCUUCUGAAGAUCAGGGCAAUCAGCAAUGAAAUGACCAGGCUUCUUACAAUUGAAGCAUCCCUUCUGAUCUUCUUUCUUGAAGUUCUUGUAGCUACCUCUCUUGCUCAAAAAUUUCUUCUGCUUCCUUGCCAGAUACUCAAGCUUGUUGGACAGCAUAGCCAUCUUUACAGAUUGAUCUUCAUCAGAAUCUCCAUCAGGUGAUUCUUCUUCAGAUUCACUGGCUUUGUAGGCUUUGGAAGACUUUGAGGUCUUUCCUUUAGAUGGUAAAGCAAUGGAUUUACUCUUCUUAGAGGUUUCAUGCUCAUUUAAACUCAUUUCAUGCACUUUGAGUGAGCUAACAAGAUCUUCAACACUUAAAGUAUUUAGAUCCUUAGCUUCCUCAAUAGCAGUUACUUUGGGUCUCCAUCUUGAAGGUAAGCUUCUCAAAAUCUUACUAACAUGAUCAGAAGCAACAUAGCUUUUCUUCAGUAUCUGCAAUCCAGAAACUAAAGUUUGAAAUCUUGAGUACAUUUCUUCUAUACUCUCAUCAUCCUUCAUUCUGAAAAGUUCAUACUGAUGAACUAGCAUCAAAGCUUUAGCCUCUUUUACUUUCUUGCUGCCUUCAAAGUUUGCACAUAGAGAAGCAAACAUAGCCUUCGCAGUAGAUUUGUCACUCAUUUUCAUGUAUUCGGUGCGAGGUAUAGAAGCCACAAUGAUUCCUCUUAUCUUGUGAUGUUUCUUAUAAAGCUUCUUCUGAGCAGGAGUAUGUAUUCUUCUGUCUAUAGCAGCUCCUUCUUCAUCCAAAUCCAGAUCAUCAACUCCAUCUUCCAGUAUAUCCCAUAGCUCUUCAUCCAAUCCCAUGAUAAAGCUGUACAUAUUAGUUUUCCACCAUGAAAACUCUUCUGGAUCUCCAUUAAACUUUGGAGCUUUUCCAGAGUCUGUUUUCUUGUCAGCAGUAUCAUAGUCAUGCUUGACACUUGUGUAUUUUGUAGUAACUGAUUCCUCAUCUCCAGACAUGUUUUUCUAAUAGAUCUUGAACUGUAACACGGUUAAGUGCUGUGAUAACAGAGCAAGCUCUGAUACCAAUUGAAGGUGAAAAACACAAGAAGGGGGGGGGGUUGAAUUGUGUUUUCUUUUUCUCUUAAAAAAGGAUUCUUCUUCUGAUAAAACUUCAGAAGCAGUUUGAUUGCUUCUGAUGAAAUGAUCAGAGUCAGAUUGCAGCGGAAAAGAACAGAGCAGAGAAAAGAAAGACAAAGACACAGGCAGUUAUCCUGGUUCCUUCCACAACACGGAAGUAGUCCAGUCCCCCUUGCACUUCCAAGGAGAUUUCACUAUAAUCACAAGAUUACAACUGCUCAAUACUUUCAAAGUAUGAGACUUCACAAAACAAUGCUCAAGCACACACGCAAGAGUCUUCCAAUGCUCAAGCACUAAGCAAGAGACUUCUAAUGCUCAAGCACGCAGGCAAGAGACUUCUAAUCAAACAAAAAUACAGAGAAUUGAGUUUGAAUUGAACACUUGAUAUACAAUCAGUGGUGUUCACAAUACAAUACAGAAAAGACUCUAGACUUUGAAUUUCUAAGAUGUAUCAAAUCAGUGCAGAAAUUCAGUGUGCUUUUUAGAAUCAAAUUGACAGAGUUUUGGCGCUUUUAAACUUAUGUAUCUCUCUCUAUUAUCUUCAAGUCUUCACUCCUUUAUAUAGAGGCGUGAAAGAGACGUUGAGUAAUCAGCACGUCUAAAGAGUCGUUUGAAAUCCUUUGAUUAUCCACCAGUGAUCCUUUGCCUGAUUUGGGUGUAGUCCUUUGAAAAAUAACUUCAAAUUCAUUCCCAUCUUGAGUGUACAAUUCUGCAGGCAUGGCUGUUGUUUUGUCUUGUAGCGUAGACAGAAAACAGAGUAGUGGAGGUAGUGGUUGUACACUUGUACUUUGUCAACUCUAUUAACGAGAGACAAGAGCUCAGUGCUAUCCAUAUAUCCGUUGAUACCUCCCUUUCAAUUCUUCGUUCUUCUUUGAUAAGACUGAAUUGAAAAUCAGCUACUUUGAAUCUUCAGUUUGAUUAAAGGAUCAAACGUAGCUUCUGGUGAAGAUAUUGCUUCUGAUGAAAACUUUUGCUUCUGAUGACCUUCUGCUUCUGAUGACGUCAUCUCUUCAGGAGCAGUUUAGCUUCAGGAGCAGUUUUCUUCAGAUGCUCAGAAUUUCUUUUUUCUUUCCAUUGUUCUUCCAAGACCUAUUGAAAUAACUUAAGUAGCCUUUGGUCCUGUACACUUGAACAAUUAUUAGUAAUAACCAAUUGACAAUUUUUAAUACCUUGUUAUCAUCAAAACUCAAUAAGGUUCAUUGUGAAACACACUUUGUUCCAACACUUCUAACUACCUUGCUUUGUGUUUCUCUCUAGAAAAGCCCUAGUCUCUCUCUAAAAACCAGAAAAAUGUAAAAGACAAUGUAAUAAUCUGGAAAGAGGAGAAAAAACUAUUUAUAUGAGCUGAAAACGUGUCGUUCGCUUAAGCGAAGAAGCGUUCGCUUAAGCGAACUUCCAGAAAAUCUUCUAUUGGCCAUUGAGGAGCUGCCACGUGGUCCUUAUCUUCUGAAGAUUGAUGAACUUCGCUCAAGCGAACUGGGAGCGAACUUGUGAGCGAACUUCCUGGAGCUCUCUGGAACUGGUUCGCUUAAGCGAACUUGAGGUCGCUUAAGCGAACUGGCCUUUCUUCAUGAGCGAACUGGAAGCGUGCUAGUAAGCGAACUAAUCCGGUGCUCUCUGUAACAGGUUCGCUUAAGCGAACAGGGGUUCGCUUAAGCGAACUGACCUUGGUUCAAGAUCUCCCUUCUUUUGGUCUUUGCUUGUCAUUUCCUGCAUAAAUUGGGUAGAAUCAGGCAUGUAAGGCAUAAAUGGUAAAAAUACACUCAAAUGGUAACUUUUCCUUAGAUAACUUGCAAAACAAGUCACUAAUUUGCCUAAUUUAACACAUGAAAUAUGUUACUUUUGAGCACUUAUCAAGGUUGCAGAUCCAAGGUAUUCUCCACACGUUGAUUUUAGAAACAUCACCAAUCUUCCAUCUAUGGCCUAUGAUAAGUAAAUUUUGGGUACUCCAAAGACUCCUCCAUGUAUAGCUUGGAUUAUAGCCAAGGUUGGCAUCCAAAAAAUCCCGUCGGAGAAAAUAUUUAACUUUAAAAACUCUAGCAAGUAAAGAGGUAGAGUUGGUGAGAAGCUUCCAACUUUGCUUACCAAGCACUUUGCUUACCAAGCAUUGAGAGGGAGGGAAAGUCAUAAUGACUUUCUAUUUCGUAUAUUACUUUCUCUCUAAUCUUAACUGUUAUUUAUUUUUCAUGAAACACUAUAAUAUAUAUUAAACUCAUCAUAACUUUUCCUCCAUUCAAUCUCAAUGAUCAUCUCAAAAUGGAUGUGUUAGAGCAAGUGUAUUUAGCAUUAACUCUUUUUGGUAAACUUCAAAAACAAAAUUAAAUAACAGAAAUUAUAUACACACUCCCUCCCUCGUCCACAAUGAGUGAUCUGUUUAGAAAAUAAAUUGUCUCAAAAGGAUUGAUUCUUUUACUUUUCCAGACAAAAUUAUUUGUUAGUCUUUCAAUUCUACCAUCUAAUUAAUACUACCUUCGUAACUCUAAAAUCAAUAUAUUACAUGUAUAUUUAUGGUAAUGAGAUUACAUUAAUACAAAAUAUUUCUUCCGUUCCAAAUUAUAUGUCGCUUUGAAAUUUUUUUUGUCUCAAAUUAUAUGUCGCUUUAAGAUACCAAUGAAACAUUAAUAUUAUUUUUCCUAUUAUAUCCUUAACUAUUUAUUACUCUUUCUUUUUUCAAUUCUUUAAUUUAUCUUUUCAAUUUAUUUAAUAAGGACAAUUUUGUAAAAUAACUCGUAAUAUCUUUUUUUCAUACUAAAUUAAUUACAUUUCUUAAUACAUGUGAAAUUGUCAAAACGUCAUAUAAUUUAGAACGGAAUAAGUAAAAGACAUUUUAGUAAAACUAUAAAAAAAAAUUUUGACAAAAUUUUAGUAAAACUAUAAUCUCACUCAUUUAUUUAUACAUUUUUAUUUUAUUUUUACAGAAAGUUUAUACAUUUUCUAAAUCAGUGUGAAAUGAUCAAAAUGACCACUCAUUAUAAAAUAGAGGGAAUAAUAGGUAUCCCACGCUUAAAGCAUGGUGACCUUCAAAAACGUUUAAAUAAUAGAGACUUCAUAUAACCCAAAAAAAUGUAUUUAAUAGAGACGACAUAUAAUAUAUAAUAGGAAAUUUGUACCAUAAGAUACAAGAUAAAAAUCUAAAAAUUAAAUUGAAAAAUAAAUGUUUUAUUGAAAAAAAAAACAAGUUUUUAAGAUAAUCAAUGCACAAUUUCUAAAAUUAUAUGAGUAAAUUACACUCCUCUCCCCUCAAAGAUGUUUGAAUUACACUCUCCUCCCCUCUUAAGUUAAAAUAUACACUCCCAUCCCCUCUUAUUCAAAACAUAUUAGAAAAAAUUUCACUCCCCUCCCCUAAGAGAAGCUUGAAUUACAUUCUCCUCCACUCUUAUGUUAAAAUCUACACUUUACUCCCUCAAUAUUCUUUUUUAUUAUUUCUAAUAUUCUAGCAAAAAUUAAUAAUUUAACACACUUAAAAAAAUAGUAUUGCGGGUCUAUUUUAAUAUAAUAAAAAAUUGAAUACAUAUUUUUCGCUAUUUUUUAUUCACAAUUUCAUUAACAUGUAGUUUUAAACCCUAUUAUAAAAUAUGAAACAAGCCAAAACAAAAUUAAAAUAUGUGAAAAAUUACUAAAAUCAUUAAAGCAUGAUUAUUUAAAAGUUAAUUUUAUACUCUAAUUUAUAAAAUCAAUAGCAAUAUAUUUAAAUUUAAUUAUCAUAGACAUUUAAACUAGGCUUAAUUACAUUUUUGGUCCUCUAACUAUUUAGUUGGAAUCGGAUUGGUCCUCUAACUAAAAAUUGAUUUAUUUUGGUCCUCUAAGUUUCUCACCAUUACUACAUUUAUUCUUUUCUGUUAGUUUUAUUCAAAUAAACGUUAGGGUUUGUGUUAUGUGGGUAUCUGACCUCCUAUUUCACACAUACAUAUGAACCAUAACAGUUACCAAUAAUAUCGGUCACUAUUUGAUCAUAAUUCUUAUCAAGGAAUAGAACCAAAAUGAUGCUAAUAAAUAAAGUUAGAGGACCCACAUAACACAAACCCUAACGUUUAUUUGAAUAAAACUAACAGAAAGGACUAAAUGUAGUAACGGUGAGAAACUUAGAGGACCGAAAUAAAUCAAUUUUUAGUUAGAGGACCAAUCCGAUACCAACUAAAUAGUUAGAGGACCAAAAAUGUAAUUAAGCCUUUAAACUAUAAAGAAAUGAAUUAAUUUUUCUUAAAUGGUGAUUCAAAAUUAAUAUAUAUUAUAAGAAUAUUUAUUUAUGUUCAAAUAGAUUAAAGUGUAGUGCAUAUUUAAUUAUUAAGGGAGGAGUUUGUAAUUCAAGCAUCUUAUAAGAGAGGGGAGUAUAAAUUUUAACAUAAAAAAAAUAUUGAGGGAGUAAAGUGUAUAUGGGGAGUGUAAUUCAAACAUUUUUGAGGGGAGGGGCGUGUAAUUUACUCAAAUUAUAUUUAUAAAUUUAGUUUUUAUCAUGUACUCUUAAAACACAAGUUAUUAUGACCAUAUUUAAUAUGUAUUCUUAAGACACAAGUUAUUAUGACCAUAUUUAAUAUGUAUUUAUUUUUUUUUUUUUUUGUGAUACACCCUACUAAUAAGUAUACCAACAACCAAAUACCAUUCAUUAAAAAAGAAGGGACCAAUAUUUGGUUGAAGUUGCACAGAGCAUUUGUAGUGCUAGGCAUUAAAGAUGACGUAGGUUCAACGGCGUAUCCAGGAUCUUGGAUAGGGGUGCAAAAAAUUUAACUUAAUUUAAUAUUUAUUUUAUAUAUUUAACUAUAUAAGUAAUAAAACCAUAAAUUUUAAUAAAUAUAAUAAAAUUUAUUGCACACAUAUCUUAGAAAUAUUUCCAUGAUGGACUAAGUAUUGGGCGAUGCAGAACGUGAUAAGGUUGAACUCAUUAGAGGCUUUUAGAUAGAUUUCAAAACGAUGUAGAAGAUUACUAUUAUUGUGGAAGUGAAUAUGUUAUAAAAAGAGAUAAAUAGAGAGAGGAGCAUUCAUAAACUUUUGUAUGACUAACUCAUGUACAAUAUUAUGAAACUCAAACCAAUCAACUAGUCAAUAACAUGUAACUAGUAAAACCCAUAUGUUAAAUUAAAAAAGGGACCAAUAUAUGGUUGAAGUUGUUAACACGGUAGAUAAAACUUCAUUGUGCAGUAAAUAUUUGCGUGGUGGGCAUUCGUUAAAAUGUUACUUCAUCCGUUUUAAAAUGAGUGUCGCUUUAGUAAAAAGAAAUUGUUUUAAAAUAAAUGUCACUUUCACUUUCCAAUGCAAUAAUAACUUUUUCUUUUCAAUUGUACCUUUCAAUUAAUACUCUGCACACUACUUUUAAAGUACUACCUCCGUCCCUAAUUAUAAGACCCUUUUGAAAAAAAUAACGCGAAUUAAGAUAGUGGAUAUUUGUAUUAAAUAUGUUUGUAAUUACUAUUGUUUUUACAAUUUUAUCCUUUAAGAAAGAGGGUUUGGCUUAUGUUUUCAACAUUCUAUUUAUUGCUGAUUGAAGAAAAAGAUGUAUAAUAAAUAGGGGCAUGUAUGUAAAAAAAUAAUUAAUGUAGUUGGAAAUAGAAAAAGGAUCUUAUAAAAAGGGACAAAAAAAAUUCUCAAAAGGGUCUUAUAAUUAGGGACGGAGGUAGUAUUACUUUUAAAACUAACCAAUAGUUAAUAAGGAUAAUUUGGUAAAAUAACCAUUCGCUUUCUUUUAAUCAUUGCUUUUCUUAAUAUGUGUAUAAACACCUAAAACGACACUCAUUUUAAAAUGGAGGGAGUAUUAUUUCUCAUUUUUCUAAUUAUUGUUGUCAACUUUUGUUGGUUCAAAAGUUGCAUGCAUGCUAUCAAGGCGUUGAAUAAACAGGACAAGUCGGAACAAGUGGCUGUAUUUAGCCAGACACAAGCCAAUUCCAUUUACAAUAACUCGUUUGUGUUUGUAUUUUUUUAUGAAAAAGGCAUUUUAGUUUUUCAUGAAACUUGUACCAAAAAAACAAAAGUUUUUCAUGAAACAAGAAUCAUUAAAAAUAUGAUUUUAAUUCUCUAUCUAAAAGGUGUCAACCUAAUGGUUAGAGCUUAAUUUAUAAUUGGAGAAUGCUAACCAUUGCAUUUGGAGCAUUGGAUAAAGGGAUAAAAAUAGAAAUAUAGCAUUGAAAAAUGGUGAAAAGUGAUAAAUUUAACUUUUUAAAAGUCAAAAUGUUGUUGAAACCAAUGCAAACAUGUUACUUUUGGCUUCCUUAAGUUAGCAAGACCCUUUAUAAUUUUAUGAACAGUUAUACCGCAACAAUUAGUGUCAAUGUAUUAAUAAAAUUUCUCCUUUCAUAAAUAUAUGAGAAAUGCUACAAUACAGCCGCUCGUCCCGUGAGCUUAACUCAGUUGAUAAAAAAAAAAAUACAAUGCAUAAUAUAUGCAAGGUCUGAGAUUCGAAUCCCGGUCACCACAAAAAAAAACAAUACAGCCACUCAAAUUUAUAACGAUGUAUUUUAAAAUCUUGCACCUUUUCAUUUUAACAAAAUUAAAGGUCAAAGCAUUGUGUAAAAGAGUUAAUCAGUUCAAUUAUUUUGGGGAAAAAGAAAAAAAAAACAUCUUCCUUCUAUACAAAAAAAAAAAAAUAUAUAUAUAUAUAUAUAUGGAAAAUGCUUGUUCCUACAAAUCUGUUAUCCACGAAAACCACGACUUGAUAUCCGCCAUCCAUUUUCAUAAACACAUGGCCAUGAUUUCCAUUAAAUCCGGAAUUAAUAGUUUUCCAUCUCUAUAAAGCAGAAAUGCAAUACAUUCUUGGUAUUCGUUGAAAAAAUCUUCGUGGAAAAUAGCACUUCUCUAUAUAUAUAGAAAUCAUACCAUUUUUUGGUGGUGUUUGCGGCAGUCAUGUGUCCGCCACUAUGGCACUUGGGGCUUUCCGGUGGUCCAAAUUCCUCGUAACGGUUUGCGAGGACUAUAUUUGCAUGGGACUUUUGUUUGCCGCAAAUAUGUCUUUGUGUUACCUUUUUCUUGUUUGCGUGGAAAAUUGGCCGACAUGUAAUCCAGGACAUUCAUGUAGUGAAUAUAUGGUUGCAUGUGAAAGCAUUAAUUCGUGUAAAGUUCAACAAUUAAGGGAUCAUCAACCUAAUUUCUAAUUUUCCAAAGAUCUAGUCCUAUAAAAAAUCUUGACUAUAAACCUAAUUUCUUAUUAUUUCUCUUGUGAAAGCAAGAAUAAAUCAUGAAUAUUUUUUUCUCAAAAUUUAGAUUUCAGGCCAAAGAAAUUUAAUUUCUUUUUUAUGAUAUUGAUAUAGCAAUAUAAGCCCAACAACCCAACUUAUUUGAGCAUCAUUUGAUUUUAGAGGCAUAUAGAGAUCAAACACCGUUAGGAAAGAAUGACCUCCGGUGUGAGGGUCAGCAAUAUGAGCAGGUUAAAUUUUCUUCUACCCCACAACCUACUAAUAUAGCUAAAGAAGUUUAAAUUUUUAGAUUUACUUGCAUAUUACAUUUUAAAGUUAUUCAAUUUACAAACUAAUAAAGGCUAAAAAUUUAUUAAAGCAUCUAUUAUCAUGCAAGCUUCACAAGAGUACAAUUAUCAAGUUUGUUAAGGUUAAAAGUCAAGAAUUUGGAAAUUCAUGAAUGGCGUGUAUACCGAUAAAACAGAUUUGGGCAUAAUUAUGAUUCUUGAUCUUCUAUAAUUGUUCCUUCGGAGCAAUGCUUCUAUAGUGCAUUCAAGAAAGUUACUUUUUUUAAAAAGUUAAUUUUGAUUUUAAUGUUUGAUUCAUUUUCAAAUUGUUGAUUUCUGAUUAAUGAUUAAUAGUAAUUCAUCUGGUAAUGUUUGCAACAUUUUGGACUUAUAGGUACUAUUUUAUUGUCGGAAUCUUUAACAUGCAAAUAUAGUUGAUGAUAUUAUGUGAUAGUCUUAAGUGUUAUACUUUGUGGGGGUGUUAUACUUAUAACAAGGUAGGAUAAAAUUAGAUUAAGUGUAGUCUUGUUAAUCAGAUGAGUUGAUGAUACUAUGAGGACUGAACUUUUGAUGUCAUUGUACAAACAGUGAAGUGUUACUCAUUACAUUUUUGAUAUUAUAGUAUUAACUUCACCAAAAAAAAGUCAAUCUCAUGAAUUCACCAUAGAAUUUUCCUUGUUACUAUUCUUGAAAUUGAAUGAAUUCAUUUAUAUAUUGAUUUAUUUUAUUUCUAAUCUAAGCAUUUCUCUUCAAAUUGCUAUCAUCCUUCAUCAUAUUUUCAGAAGACUUACAACUUUUACCUCUCAAUUUUACAUGGCUAAUAAAGCUUCAAGUUCAUCGGUUUGUAAUUCAAGUCGAAAAUCAUUGACCUUGGACGAGAAAGUAGAAUUAUUCUUUGCUGAGACUCCUCUCAAUCAGUAGGCUGAAGCAUUUUCUAUGACCCUUCAUCGAGUACUAGAAGGUAUGUACAAGACCAAUUUAGAGAACAAGAAGUUUGAAGAACCGUGUUUUGAACUAGAGAAACUCUCUAAUCAUGUCGAUUUUCCGACUGAACUUGUAAAAGAAACCAGAAGAAGAAAAUAAUUUUCUACUUGGUAUUUUGAGUCCAGUUUAAUACAUCUUUAUAGUGUCUCAACUAUUACUAGAUCAUGGUAUAUCGAUUGAUGUGUUAAGUCGUAGUAUUAUAUAGUAUUCCAGACCCAUCUCUGUUGUAUGAGUGAGUAUAUUUACUUUCCUCGUAUUAGCUUAAUUUCAUGGUAUUUUUGUAAGGGCAUCAAAAUUUGUAUUUUGUAUUUAGAAUCAAAACUAGGACAGUAAAUUUUCAGUUUUGAUACCAAAAAUCAACACUAUUUAGGCAAAAUCAUUCUCAACGUGGAUGUUAAUUAAGAGUCUCACAAGUAUUUUUUAGAGGAUAUAAUCUCAAAGUUUUCUUUUACUAAAGUUCGAUCAAACAUAUAUUAUAGACUUAUUUACGGUCUGAAAUGGCUAAGUAUAAAUCAAUCAAACCAAUCAAUCUCACACAAUCAUAAAAUUUAUUUAUUAUAAUCUAGUGUCACAAAUAAAAAUAUUUAAAAUCUGCAGUACAUAGCAUUCUUUCUUGUCAAGUAAUUUUUAUUCAUGACACAUACACACACAAAACACACAAACACACACACACACAGAGUUGCCAAGUAGGAGAGUACAUAUUACUAUAGAAAACAAACAGCUUGGUAACUAGGACCACUUAUUCAGUACAUAUACAUUUCAUAACUCUCAUUUCAUACUUUAGAAAUGAUUGUUAUCUUCUUUUGGAGGGUGGUGAGGAUGUGGUUUGGGUAAGUUGGUAGGAUGUAUAGGAUGAGAAUGAUCACCAAAUCCUUGAGUAGAUAGUGGAUGGUUUGGAUGAUGAUGAGGUUGAGAAGCAAAGCCUUGAGGGAUGAGAAUAAGAGAUGCAAGGAAAAACACAAGCAAGUAUGAGGAAAAAGAAGUCAUCUUAAUCUUAAUUAGUGUGAUUUUAGUAUUGGUGCAUAAAACAUAAGAAAUAAUAUCAUGUUUUAUACUAGUUAGAUUAGAGACAUUGGUGGUGAGUGGGAGGUGCAAUUAUUGAUCAAAUACGUCAGGCUAUUGCCAUAUGCUUACGGAUUAACCUACACGUCACAAAGCAUAUCAAAUUAACUUUUUAAAAGCCUAAUUUAUCGGAAUUAUUGAUUCUGGAUUAAGAUGAAAAAAUCUGCAAUUUUUUAAUUAGGUUUUACUCGUGGAGGAGGUAGAUGUGUGUCUGUUAACCUGCAUAUAUUUUAUAUAUAUAGAGGUUGAAGUUUAAAUUCCGAACAUCCCAUUUAUUUAUUUUGUAAAGGUGAAUAUCUAACCAUUUGACUAACUAAAAAAAUUGGAGGUGGAUGUGUAUAUAACAAAAUUUAUUUGACACGGAUUAACAAAUUGCUCAUUACGGAGGAUAUUGAAGUUUUUAGGCAAUAUACAUUGUGGUGGGGAGACAACACAAUUUUUGGUUUUCAACAAGUUAAAAAGUUAAACAUAAUAUAUAUUCACCAUUGUUUUCAUCAAUACUUUAAAUUUCAUCCAAUAUUACAAUUUCAUUUUUAUUUAACCAUGUUUCCAACAACAUAAACCAAUUUAAAAAUAUGGGCAAAAAGUAAUCUUAUUCCAUUAGAAAUGCAAAAUACUAAGAUUUUAUCAUUCUCUAAUUCAAGUAACACAUAAAUAUAUUUUUGAAAUGAAAGGAUGUGGACCUUCUACAUAGAGUUCAAAAGGUUAUGCAUAGCAAUGUCAUGUCUCCUGGUCCAUGAAUGUUGUGUUUACGAGGAUUAGAAUUGCCAUCCAAAAAGGCUUGGUGGCGCAACUUGUUGCCCGCUUGCCUUCUAUUCAAGUGUAAAUAAUGGUUUAUAUAUUUGAAAAUAAUUUUGGAUGAAGAAACUUAACAAGAGAAAAAAUAUGUCAUUUUAUAAAAACUUUAUACGAGUUUUAGUCUAAGUGAAAUAUGUUUAAUUAGCGGUUUUUUUAUUUUGCGGUUUGUUUUGGUUGCUAAAAUAAAAACCACAAAUUAAAACAAACCAUACAGUUGAGUAAAAUGAUCCGAAUAUAUCCCAACCAAAUACAUUUAUUACGGUUUAGAUUUUGAUUAUUUGGUUCUAUUGGGUUGAUUCGGUUUUUAACACCCUAAUCAAGAUCAAAAAACAAAGUUUUUUAACUAGCCUUAUCCACCAGCUAACUUGUCUUUACACACGACUUAAAAACCCACACAUAUCGUUGCAACUAUACAGCAUAUUCUUUCGAUCAAUCAAACUAGUUCAGAGAAAGCAAUCAUAUUGCAUGAAAGCAUUUACGUAUUUCCUUUAUAAAAGAAUGAAGACCACAAAAUUGUUUGGCAUGCAAAAUAAUAUUGGUAAACUGGGGAGUGGGAAAACCUAACAUAUUCAAAAUGCCACUCAAACACUUCUAGAUAAAAGGACGAUUAAGAAAUAAAUGAUUUGAAUUUUAUAAAAAAAUUAUAUCACUGGAAAAAAAGCCGCCGCUCCUAGGGUUAGCGUCGCCACUCCCUUGUGAGGGAUUCUGUUGUGGUUUGGUGAGAUAUCUGCUCCUCUUAACGUUUUUUGUUUCCACUUCAUAGAGAUAAAAGGUGCUUCCACUUUCUUUUCUUCCUCGGAUCAUGUUAUGAUCCCGUGAUCCCUUUCUUUUCCAAUUGGCAUCAUAUACAUUUCAUUACAAGAACAAAAGGUGUUAUUAUCUCUCUUAUGUUCUCCUAUGACUCACGAUUUGAUCAAUUGCUAUCAUUUAUAUCUUAAUUCUUAGAGAUAAAAGGUGUUGUAUCUGCUUUUUCCUUCACACUGAAUUGAGUUGUCUUGUUUCUUCCUUCUAAGUGCCACUAUUUAUAUUUUAACAUAAGGUAUUAAUUAUGGGUUUACUCUUCUUCUUGUUUUGAGAUUGUCACGGUUGUUAUUUGUUGAUCAGAAUUCGAAUCAAGUAUUGUCUCUUGCGUAGCUCUGUUCUGCACUCUCAUUUGCUUUGUUAUUGUGAGUUUUUAAAAGGAGAUAUAUGGAUUAUUGGGAUCGCCAAAAUUGCCGAGAAAAAUGAGUGUCAAAGGAUGGAAUGGGAACUUGAGCGUAGUUCCAAAAUUAAAAUACUUAUUCUCAAAAAUACCAAUUCUCUCCUUCUAAUUUGUUCAGUCGAAAAUGGCAUUUUUGGGGUGUAAUUUGUUAGUUGGAAUUUUCACCAGCCUCAUUUAAUGUGAUCAACAUUAGUUGACUUUUACUCUUGCAGGAAUCGAAGUUUUUUCCUUCAACUUAAGGAGUUUCGACGAAAUGUUGGACUUAGCAUGAAAGGGUCUAAAUGCGUUAAGGUUCGACAAGAAACGAGACAGGAAUACAAAAUCGUCGAAGUCAAGCAACCUUCGUUGAGGCGGGAAGAUUCGAAUUUCAAAGAGAAGUGAUUUCCUCAAUGGAGAACAUGGGAGACAAGCAGUUGUCUACAUGGAAGAAGUGUAGAUCGUGGGAUUGUACUUGUUCUAGUUAUUUUCUAUGUAUAAAUAGUAGUUUUCCAUAGGAAAAAUGGGUCGCAAAUCACCUAUAUAGUAUUCUAAAACACUUGAUGUACUAGCGCGAGAGAAAAGAGUCAUAAAGAAUUAAUGUAUGUAAAUGAUUUGUCGAACCACCUUUACUUUUAAUGCAUUGUACUUUAUUUUUCCUUUAAGUUUAUGCAAUUUUAAACUUAAUGCCUUUACUUUGCUUUUAAAAACCCUUUUCAUGUCGAAAGACGCCAUACGCUCUCGUCCUACGAACUCUAUGAACGUUUGAAAAAUAAAAUGCACAACAUGUCCUAGGAUUUCUGGUUUGUUCCUGCUUGUAAUAACCAAAACCACCCACCGUAGUUUAUCAAAAACACCGGUAAACACAUAGUCAUUAAAUUAUUUGAAGAUUUUUUAAGAUUCUAUAUUUUGGAUGAGAAAGGUAUUAAUAUAUUGUCAAUAUUGCGAUAAUUCCAAACUUGGACGAAUAGAUCUCUUAGUAAUAAUCCUUUUUUUUUAAGCAGCUAAAGUAGCCCACCUAAAUUGACAUUUAGUGGAAUCGAACCUAAAACUUUCAGGAGCAAACUCUUAGAAGAAAGAAAUGAACGGGUGAACUCUUUGUUCAAAAGAAACAUCAAUGACAUUGUUCAAAAAUUCAUAAACGUGACAAUAUUAUGAUAUAAAAUUGAAGUUAUAUGUGGUAUCACUGUAAAUAUAAUGUCAUAUUCUUAAAUCAAAGGCAUGGUGAUAAAUAGAAAUACAACUAUUGGAAUCCAAGACGAUAACUACAAUGUAAUUAUAAAAUAUUUUAGCAAAAUAUAUAUUUCAUAUUUAUUUUUGCUAGCGUAAGAACUCACUCUUCAAUGCAUGGUGUAAUUGUCAUAUCUUGAGUAUGAGACUCAUGCUAUCCGUAGGACAAUCUAUACGAUUUACAUUUACCAUUAAGGCACCUAUACCUUAGAUCCCGAGUAUCUGGUGGGCAAUCAUCAACAGUUCUACAAACAACAUAUCCUAUAAUGAUAGAAAAUAAUAAACUAAUGUUAUAAAAAUGAAAUAAAGAUUAUAUAUCAACUACAAACUAAAGAAUAAAAUUUUAAAAGGAUGGAAAAAAAACAUUACCCUUAACAUUUUUAGCAACAAGAAAUAGGAAGAUGAAUAAAAUUAUAGCAUACACAAACUUAUGAGCCAUAUCUUUCUCUCUUUACAUAAAACAAAUACAAUUUAUUUUAUCACUUUAUAGUGUAUAAUCUUUACAUACAACAAAUAUGACAUAUUUGAUUACUUUAUAGGGUAUAAACUUAAAAAUGUAAUUAUUUUUACCCCUUAAGAACUUGAAAAGUCCCUCCCUAAAUUUAGAAUUAUUAUUAAGUGUCUCUUAAGAAGAACAAUGUGUUAUAUUAUCCAUUUAACACACUUAAUAAAGGUGUACUGUAAAAAACUUGCUAAUCAUUAGAAUUUAAUAUUUUGGUAAUUAACCUUACUACUUUUCAUGAUCGGAAGGCGAAAUUUAAAAAAUAAUAAUGCAUAAUUUAAUCGUAUUGUAGAAUUUUGUAUAUAUUAAAAUCAUUUAAUCAUAUGGAAUAGUAUAAAAAAAUUUAGUCGCAUGAAUUCAUACACAUUAUCAUUCACAUAAAGUCUUUUAUUGGUAUAUGUAUAUGUUGAAACAAAAUUGGUUUGUACAAUUCCUCUAAGGUUUUGAUGAUAACAAAGUAUUAAAGAAUAAUUAGAUAUGCUAAUAUAUGUUCAAGUGUGCAGGACGAUAGAUUUAAAUUUAACAAGGUCUGAACAUGUAUAACAGCACCAUAUGCACGCGAGAAGCUCAAAAACUUUUAUAGAAGAUCUAAAGAAAGGUCAACCAGAAGUCAACACCUUAGAUCAGAAGAAAUUAUGAUACUCAGAAGCUAAAGACUUUCAUCAGACUCUAAAGAAUGAUCAGACUCAGAAGACCUCAUCAGACUUGGAAGAUCUCCACCAGACUUGGAAGACCUCCAGACUCAAAAGAUCUUAAGGGACCCAGAGUCCACGUCAGAUUUUUCCACUUCUAUAGUUGUCACUUUCAAAGUCUGAUGGUACAGUUUGUCUUCUUGUUGCCACUUGAAUAAACAAACAAAUAACUUCAAGGACAGAGAGAAUGAACGGAUAAUUCUUGUUUCUGCAAAGGAAAUUCAAAUGUCUAAUCAACGAAACUAUCCACAUCAGGAAAAGGGUCCGUUCUUGAUUUAAAGCUUCUCAAUGACUCUAAUUAUGUUGGAAUUUGUUCUCCAAGGUCAUUUAAAUCCUUUCUUAUAUAAGGAGUUGAAACUCUGCUAUUUAUAUUGUGUCAUUAACUCUGUCAAAAUCAAAUAGCAUAAAAACACUUAAGAAUUUCUUAUCAAAGUUAGUAUCUUAGAAAUUCUAAGUCUUUAGAGUUUGUUUUGAUUAGUUCAGUUUACACCUUUGAUUGUAUAUCAAGUGUAAGAACAUAUCAUGUUUAUUUAUAAACUUUGAAGUCUCUUGCCUACGUGCUUGAGCAUUGGAAAUCUCUCAAAAGUGUGUUUGAGCAUUUGAAAGUCUCUUGAAAGAGUCCUUGAGCAUUUGUAAUCUAGUGAGAUUAUAGUGAAAUCUCUUGGAAGUGCAAGGUGAUGGGAUAAAACCGCAAGUGCACGGUCUUACCGAAGUAGUAAAAAUAGAGUAUCGUUCCGACAGGGAGUUAUGAAUUCAAUUAACUUUAGAAAAUGAUUAGACUAAAGUUUUAUAAGGUAGAAAGUUUUGGAUUUUUAAUUGAAAGUAAAUAAUAAAAGAAAAGAUAAAAGCCUUGGGGUUAUUGGUUCAUCCUAACGACAAGUCCUUCUCAAACCAAACUAUUAAACUUAUAACUUUAUGUUAGACCUAAUUUCUCAAGACAGUUUCUCUUUUGUUCCUCUAGCAACCAAGCCUAUUUCGCUGACUUGAUUACUAUUAGAUUUUGGUUCCUCUAACAACCAAGCCUAUUUCGCUGACUUGAUUGUUAUUAGUUCCCUUGAAGAUCGAAACUAUAUGUCUCAAAGAUUGCAAAGCCUAUUUCGUUGACUUUGCAAUCCUUGUCUAAAUUCACUUGUUCGAAUAUCAAAGCUCCACUUUCGUUUUAUGAAUUGAUAUUUGAGAUGAUGGAUAAACAAUUAUCAAACCCUCCACUUUCGUUUCCACAGUUUGAUAAUGGUUGAUCCAUGUUAAAGCGGUGAAUUUAGAUAAGGAAUUAGGGUUACAUAAGAUUAAGGUUUAAAGCUUGGUUUGAUUAGGAUUAUGUCAUUAGACUUAUCCAACAAUCCCAAGACAAGAGAAGUCUACUCACUAACGUUCAUCGUAGACAAGGAGAAGAAGAGAGAAAGCAUAAAAGUAAAUAACAAUAAAGUAAAUGAACUUUUAUUAGAAAACAAUUGUCACAUAUUGCAUUCCAAGAAAAGAUGAAUAUUUGUGAUGGCUAGCUAUUCUAUUUAUAGUACACAAUUGACUUAAAAUCUAAGCAAGUAUAUUCUAAGAAUAUUCCACGGUAGAUUGUGCGCCAAAAUAGAAUAGCUUGGAGUCCAAGCAAAAGCAGCAAAAAGUAUUCUGGAGGGUGGCACGGCCGUGCCAAGGCUAGCACGGGCCGUGCCAGGCUUCUGACUUGUGGGAGACAUAUUUUGUCUCUCAAUCUUUAUAUUUUCGUGUCCAAUCUGCUCUAAAUCCCUUUCUUUUGCUCCAAGACUCAAUCCAUCCAAUAUUCUUCCCUGAAAUAUAAUAAAUUGCAAUUUAAAGUAAACUAUCCUAAAAAGGAAAUAAUACUAAUAUAAAAUUAUAUAAAAUCUAAAUAAAACUAAACUAAAAAGCAUAUUAAAAUAGUAUAUAAAUGACUCAUCACAAGGGUACUGGACUACUCCUGUUUUGUGGGAGGAACAAGUAUAAAUUGCUUUGUGGGAGGAACAAGUAUAAAUUGCUUUGUGUCUUCUCUCUCUCUCUCUCUCUCUCUCUCUCUCUCAUCAUUGUGUUUGAUAUUUCCACUGCAUACAUACUCUGAGUCAGACUCUGAAUCCAUAAAACAAAGGCUAGUUCUAAAAUACUUACAAAAGUUUUUUUAAAAGGGAUUUAAAAGCAAAGUAAAGGCAUUAAGUUUAAAUUUCAUAAACUUAAAGGAAAGAAUAAAUACAAUGCAUUAGAAAUAAAGGUGGUUCGAAAAAUUCGUUACAUACAUUCUUUAUGACUCUUUUCUCUUGCGCUGGUAUUUCGAGUGUUUUAGAAUUAUGUAUAGAUGAUUUGGGACGCUUUUCCCUAUGGAAAACUACUAUUUAUACAUAAGAAAAUAAAUGGAAAAAGUAUAAUCCCUUCUCCCAUGUUCUCCAUUGAGGAAACCGCUUCAAUGGAAGUUACUUGAAUUCGACGGUUUUGUAUCGCUGACUCGUUUCUUGUCAAACCAUAGGGCUUUUAAACCCUUUUGCGCCAAGUCCAACAUCUCGUCAAAAUUCCUUAUGUUGAAGAAAAGACUACGAUUCCUGCAAGGAUAAAAGUAAACGAAUGUUGGCCACAUUAAACGAGUCUGUUAAAAUUACCAGCUAACAAUUUACCCCCCUGAAAUGCCAUUUUCGACUGAAUCUAUUCGAAGGAGAGAAUUGGCAUUUUUUAGAAACUCUAAGUAUUUCAAAGCAUGAUGUCAUGUUAAUCACGACUUUCAAAAGUAGUCAUUUCAAGGUUUAUUUCACUACACAAUCUCAAGACUUUGUGGGGAACCACUUCCGCAGUUGAAAAUUUAAUGGAAUCUUUCCAUUUUGCCUCAAAACGCCUCGUUUCCCUCGAUAUUUUUUCAUCUUCAUGUUUUUCCAACUCCUUCAUCAUUAUGGCACCUCCUUCUUGUCGAUUGGUUCCCCUCGAGAUAUUAAAACCUUCCACUAACUAGAAAGAUUACAUCCUUUGCGGGUUGAUUGAACCCAUUUCUGUACAGAUGCCUUGGAAUAGGGCACAAAAGUUUUCCAAUGACCAUUUUUAUUAACAUAAUUAGUGGUUGAAGAGUUAUUGAUAAAAGGGAUAUAACUCUUGGUGAAAGAGAACGUUGGUAUAUGACCAGCAAACCAAUUUUCUCUUUUCUUGGAUUCGGGAAUAAGAUUUUCAAGGCUUUUUGUAGCCUCUUUGUCAAAUAUCGAACUACAUCUAGGGCACAACAUUACCUAAGAAUUCUUCAAUAUGCAACAAUUGACGAAAUCAAUCAGCCCAAAAUCCGUAGGUAAAACAUAAUUGUUUUCUCCAAUGGUUAUAGAUUCCGUAACUAUAGGCUGUAGCGACGACUCAAAUCCGUAGGUAUAACACCAGUAUCCACCACGAAAAAAAUUGCCGUAGGUAUAGGUAAUUUGGCAUAUACCUACGGUAAAAGGAUAUUUACCUACGGUUUUUGGCUGUCACUAAAUGUCAAGUUUCUUGUUGUGGGAUAAGUUGCUUUUGCCUUCUCAUUAAAUCGAGGUUCUAAAAUGAUUUCGUCAGCAUCUUUGGAGUUUCCAGAAACUUCUACCAUUUGACAUUCAGCAACAUCAUCUUUUUCUUCGACAAAUAGCUUUUCAACAGUGUCCACAAUGGCUUCCACUAUGUUACAACUUGCAACAUCAGCGUACAUUGCGUCGACAUCUUUUAAGGGAUCGACAUCCACUUUCAUUUGAGGCUUUCUUUUAUCUCCAAACUUUAGCUUGCCUUCAUUCAGAGCUCUUUGCACCAUGUCCUUGAAAUAUACACAAUAUGAAGUCUUAUGUCCCAAAAAAUUAUGAUACUUAUAACACCCUAUCUUUUUACGUUGCUCUAGUGGUGGAAUUUUUAAACCAUUAGAUACCGCCAUUCGACCAUCAGCAACCAUGAGAUCAAAAAUCUCAUCCCAUUUGGUUACAUCGAACGUGUAAUUUUGGGACUAUAUUUAUCAUUUUGUGUUUCGAAAGGAUUUCUCCCAUCGGAUGGCCUCAACACUUUGCAUGUAUAAGGAGUCCUAGGUUUUAAUUCAGCAAAGUUAAACUCGCCAUCUUCGACGUCUUCGUAAGCUAUUUCGACGUCUUCAUAAACUAAUAUCAUCAAUUGAUAAUCAGCCUACAUGGAUGUAAUCAAGUUGGCUCAGUAUAAUUAGUGAUAGAUGAAGAUUCAUAUCAAAUAUAGCUUACAUCACUGUAAUGUUUUAUGAUAACCGAACCUAAUUUAAACCGUACUUUCCAUCUUGAGAUUUUCUAAAACCUUUUACUUCUUUCCCAAACUUAACCUUUUAUAUUUACUGUUGUGACAAAUGAUUUAUUUUAUUUAUGUAAACAAGUUUUCUACUGAAAAGCUACUCGAAGUUGUAGUUCCACUUUGUGGGACGAUAUCUUUUUAUACUGUAACUUGAACAGUGUAUACUUUUUUUUUUUUUUUGAAGGGUUGAACGGUGUAUACUUGAACUCGGUGUUUCUACCUAAAAAUAUUUAUAGUUUCUUUGGGUAAAGUGUGAUUCUAUGGAAUUAUUAGCUUUUACUUUUCAUCACCAUAAAAAAAGGGCUCGUUUUUACGCAACUUCCCUACAUGGAGUUUUAGUCCUUACUACAUUCAAUUUCUUUAAUUAGUCUUAAACUUUUUAAAAUAUUAAAUGAUUUUGUUCAUGUUUAGAAUAUUCUAAAAAAAAUAUUAAAUUUUUUUUAUUUUUUAAUAUGGAAUGAAUAAAAUAUAAAUUUAUAAUAUUGAAAAUUCAAGAUAAGGUAUUGAUAAUUUGGAAUAAAACAACUGCUAUGAAAAUUUUAUAGGGAGAUCAAAAUGACACUAUUUUAUUGGGCAGAAAAAUUAAAAUUGGUAAUUUUGUAGGCAAGAAAAAAAAUAUUUAACAAGUUGGCAACAAUGGCUACAUGUUUGGCUUUGAUGCCCAAGGCGAAUGGUGUUAAAUAAGCAAUAAUCCUUCAUAGCGUUGACGCCUAAGCCUUUAGUUUCGAUUCCAGGAUAUUUAUUUUCUAUUUUGCACUGUUUUGACUUAAUAAAGAUGUUUUAGUCAUCAACUAUGAUUUCCUAGUCCUAAAUCACUUUAAAAUGGCAUGUUAAUCGUAGGAAGACCUCAAGCUUAUUAUUAAUGAACGUUGCUAUAUAGUACGAGAGAUUUAAUGCACGAGUCAUGCAUGGCAUGCUCAAAACACACACUUUGUUUGGUGAAUGACCUUCUUCUAGAUGGUUUAUGGAUUUAUAAGAUAAAGAUGAACUAAGAUAUAUAAAAUAUGAUAUAAUAAACUAAGAUAAUAUAAAAUUGUUGUCGGUAGUAGCACCAUCAUCUUCCCUGUCAAUGUUGCACCGAUAAAAGCAUUACAACCUUUAAGAUGCUCCAAAUUCAUGUUUUAUUUGGUGAAUCAGCUUAGUUAAACAUAAAUCAUCAUGAGAUCAAGUUGGCAUUACUCUCUGACAAGAUUAAUUACUGAGAGGAAUAGUUCGUGCAAUUAGGCACGAAAAUUUUAUCGUGCCUUUUAUCAUUUUCCAUUAUUAAUUUAAAAUGACUAUUCAAUCAUUUAAUGAUUUUUUAAGAGUCUAUGUUUUGGAUGAAAAAGGUAAUAAAUAUAUGGUCAUUGAAGUUAUAUGGGGUCGGUCUUUAAAUAUAAUGUGAUAUUCUUAAAGGCUUAAUUACCUUUUUGGUCCUCUAACUAUUUAAUUGGUAUCAGAUUGAUCCUCUAAUUAAAAAUUGAUUUAUUUCGGUCCUCUAAGUUUCUCACCGUUACUAUAUUUAGUCCUUUUUGUUAGUUUUAUUCAAAUAAAGUUAGGUUUUUUGUUAUGUGGGUCCUCUAACUUUAUUUAUUAGUAUCAUUUUGGUCCUAUAUCUCGUUAAGAUAUUAUGAUUAAAUAGUGACUGAUAUUAUUGGUAAUUGUUAUGUUUCAUUUGUAUGUGUGAAAUAGGAGGUCAGACACCCACAUAGCACAAACCUUGACGUUUAUUUGAAUAAAACUAACAUAAAGGACUAAAUGUAGUAACAGUGAGAAACUUAGAAGACCAAAAUAAAUCAAUUUUUAGUUAGAGGAUCAAUCUGAUACCAAUUAAAUAGUUAGAGGACCAAAAAGAUGAUUAAGCCUAUUCUUAAAUUAAAGGCCAUGCUGGAAAUCCAAGAAUAACCAAUAGAAAACAAUUUAAUUAAAAUAUUAUUUUGUACUUUAUUUCAUUUGAUUGACAGUCUCUUGGACUACAAAACCAUAACUGCAAGUAGGGGUGUAAGUGGGUUGAUUUGGGUUGGGUUUGGCCAAACCCAAGGCCCGAACCAUAUAGGGUACUCCGGUUUGGGUUAGGUAAAAUAUCCACCCGUUAAAUUAAUGGGUGGGUUUGGGCAAACCCACUAAUUUCCGGUUUGGUUUGGGUUGGGUAGUGGGUUACCCAAAUUUUUUUUUUGUUAAUAUGAAAUGACUAAACGACGAGUCCUUGUAUUUUUUUCAUAAAAAAUUUUCAACUUUUUAUUUUCUUAAAAUAAUUAUGUAACAUAUUUUCACUAUAUUUUAGCAUCAUAAAAUAAUAAAUUUUAAUAUUAAAUAAAUAAUUUGAUCAUUGAAUACUUGAAAUAAAUUAAAGUUGGAUGACGUAAAAUUGCUUUAGCAUCAAAGUAACUAUAAAUUGCAACAUCAUAAUUUGUAACUCUAAUAUUUUUUUUAUUUUCAAUAUAGAGGAUGUGUUUUGUCAAUUUUAGGAAUUAAACUAAAUUUAUGAUCAAAACAUUUGUUAUUCUUCUUCCUCCCUAUGAAAAUGAAAUUAAAAUUUGGAAAUUAUUGGGUAAGUUGGUUUAUUGAGUAUGGGUUCGGUUUUACCCAAAACCCAUUAUUUUUUAUGGGUUUUUCAUUUUUUAAAACCAUAUCCGCUCAAUCACCCAACCCAACCCACUUUUUUGGGUGGGUUUGACGGGUUUUUUGGGUUUACCCAACCCAUGUACACCCCUAACUGCAAGGUCCGUAAAAUUAAAAAAAUAAAUAAAAUACAAUGAUUGGUAACUAUAAAAUAGUUUAGCAAAAUGUAUAUUGCAUAUUUGUUUCUUCCAGUGAAAGAUCUCAUUCUUUAAUGCAUGGUGUAAUUGUACUAUCUUUAGUAUGAGACUCAUACUAUGCGUACGACAUUCUGGUCCAUCUACAUUCUCCUUUAACGCACUUAAACCUUUUAACUCGAGUACUGGGUGGACAAUCAGCAUCAGUUUCACAAUUAACAUAUCCUGUAGUGAAAAAAUAGAAUAAAAUAAUGUUACAAAAAUGAUAUAAACAUUAUAUACGAACUACAAACUAAAGAAAGAAAUUCGAAAAGAAUAGGAAAAUAGAUUACCCUCAACAUUAUUUGAAGCAAGAAAUAGAAAAAUAAAUAAAAUCAUAGACACAAGCUUAUGAGUAUUAGCCAUAUUUCUCUCUUUUUACAUGCAACAAAUAUAAUUUAUUUGAUCACUUUAUAGUGUAUAAAGUUAUUCGCGUGUUAAGAAAAAUAUAAAUAUUUUUACCUCGUAAGCAUGAUUAAAAAUCUUUCCAUAAAUUUAGAACUAUUAUUAAGUGACUCUUGAGUUGAUUAAUGUGUUAUAUUUGUCCAUUUACUACACUUAAGAAUGGUGUAACCUAAAAACCUUGCAAAUCAUUAGUAUCCAAUAUUUUGGUAAUUAACUUUAUUACUUUAGAUCAUCGAAAGGGGAAAUUUAAUAAAUAAUAAUGCAUAAUUUAAUCGUGUAUAUAUAUAUAUAUUUAUAGAGAGAGAGGGUGUAUCAAAUGAGAGGAGUGUUAUUAUGAGAGGUGAGAGGAAUAAAUAUGGACCAUUGGAUUAAAAUGGAAGGUGAAGAUUAAAAGGCUCCACGUUAAGUUUCACAUGCUACUCACUUUUUUAAGCGCCUCCUCUCUUUCUUUCCCACCCCUUCCCUUCCUUGGUCUCAAACUUAAAUUUGCCUGCUUCCGAAUACUCCCUUGAACCUUCUUCCAACAGUUUGGGAUAAUAACCAAAACACUAAUGUUUUGCAAAAUCGUUUUAAUGUUUUUGUUAUCUCGAUCAAUGUCUGUUGAAUACCCCUAAUCUUUUUUCAACUCCAUAAAAUUGAAAUUAACCCAGCAAACCACAAAGAUAUCACACUACAAACCACUUAAAAUAUAUAUGAAGUUGCAUGAUCUAGGAUAAGAGUGAAUUACAACGACUCAGGUGAAAACAAUAAAAUAUGUUCCACAAACCAAUAAGAGCUCCUCUAUAUCUUAUCUCAUUUGUCUUCAAAUGCAAAGAAAAAAAAGACUAAACUACACUUUUCACCCUCUAAGUUUCAAAAUGUUGCAAUUUUGGCCCCCUAUAAAAAAAAAUUGGCAAAAGUGACCCCCAUGUUUAGGGAAAUAUGCUAUUUUGACCCCCUCACAUACGGGAAAUAUGAUCCUUUGAUCCCUUAUCUUCUUAAAAAGUUGCGAUUAUGGCCCUUGUUUUGGGAAAGGGGCCUAAAUUGUAAUUUUUUAAAUAAGGGGCCAAAAUCGCAACAUUUUAAAUCUUAGAGGGCGAAAAAUCCAGUUUAGCCAAGAAAAAAACUAAAAGCAUAAGCAAAAUAUCAUAUGAUGCUCUAUCAUCAAUACCCUAAUACCUUAGUGCGGAACUGGUGGGAACCUAAACCUAGAAAUUGUUUCUUGUUAAGUCUCGUGAUCGAGCCCAUAAAUGAGUAUUGUUAUGCUCAUAACACGAUGGAUGAGGUAACACUCCCUUAGACUAACUGGUUUGCUUGAAAGCCGGUUAGUAUUAGAUAUAGCUCUAUGUAUCUCAAGGCUAUGAGAAGCUAGAAACGGUUGCAGCUUUGUGAGUGGUAGGAAGCUAUGUAGGGAUACAGCUCCGUGAAUCUCACUUAAAUUAACAGGUUAAUAAAUGGCCAUAACGCUAAGACUCAUAGAGGUUGUACCCAACCAUAGCUCUGUACAUCACAAUAAUGUUUUAUGAUAACUGGACCUAGUUUAAACCAGACUUUCCAUCUUGAGAUUUUCUAAAACCUUUUACUGCUUUCCCAAACUUAAUCUUUUAUAUUUACUGUUGUGACAAAUGAUUCAUUUUAUUUAUGUAAACAUGUUUUCUACUGAACAGCUACACGAAGCUUUAGCUCCACAAUCCUUGUGGGUCAAUAUCUUUUUAUACUAUAACUUGAAUGUUGUAUACUUGAAUUCAGUCUUUCCCCCUUAAAAUACUCAUAGUGUUUUGGGGUAAAAUGUGAUUUUAAUUAGUCUAUAUGGAAUUAUUAACUUUUGUUGUUCAUUGCCAUAAAAUUGGGGCUCGUUCUUACACAACUUCCCUACAUGGAGUUUUAGUCCUUACUACAUUCAAUUUCUUUAAUCAUUCUUAAACUUUCUGAAUUUUUAAAUGAUUUUGUUCAUGUUUAGAAUAUUAUAAAAAAAUUAUUUUUUUAUUUAUUUUUUAAUAUGGAAUGAAUAAAAUAUAAAUUUAUAAUAUUGAAAAUUCAAGAUAAGGUAUUGAUAAUUUGGAAUAAAACAACUGCGAUGAAAGUUUUAUAGGGAGAUCAAAUUGCCACUAAUUUAUUGGGACGAAAAAUAAAAAUUGGUAAUUUUGUACCGAAGAAAAAAUAUAUUUAACAAGUGGGCAUCAAUGGCUAAAUGUUUGGAUUUGAUGCCGAAUACGACCGGUGUUAAUUAAGCAAUAAUCUUUCAUAGCGUUGGUUUCGAUUCCAGGACAUGUAUUUUUUAUUUUGCACUUUUUUUAUUUAAUAAAGAUGUUUUAGUAAUCAACUAUGAUUCCUUUAGUUCCAAUUCACUUCCAAACAUUUUGUUUAUUUAAAAUGACAUGUUAAUCGUAGGAAGACCUCGAACUUAUUAUUAAUUUGAAAUGUGGAGGAGUCCUCUUUUUGUCUGGGAGCUAGAUCUCCUUGCUGAGCUGCUCGUGGUCGCGGCUAGGCUUUCGAGAAGUGUGCGGGAGGAUAGGUGGUUUUGGGCUACCAAUCAUGAUGGUUGUUAUUCGGUGAAGUCGGCUUACUCUAAUCUUUUACGGGGUCUUCUGGUGGAGGCCGCCCCUGAGGGGGUGGUUUUGCAGGCAGUCUCCUCGGUGUGGAAUUCCUGGGCUCCGUCAAAAGUGAUUGUUUUCUCUUGGCAGCUUCUCAUUGAUAGGAUCCCGUCUCGUCGCAAUCUCAUUAGGCGCGGUGUGCCUCUUCCUGUAGGUGGGGUGGGGUGUGCCUUCUGCGAUUGUCCGUCCGAGUCUGCGGUGCACCUGUUCAUUUCCUGUCCUUAUUUCUUUCCGGUUUGGUACCAGGUUUCUACGUGGUUGGGUUGGGAGUUGGUGUUGCCUAUGGGGCUCCCCCAGCAAUUUCAGGCGUUUUCCGGGUUAGGGGGGGGGGGAAGAAAGUUAGGUUAGGUUUGCUUCUUGUUUGGCAUGCUGUUAUUUGGGCGUCCCGGAAUGACCGGAUUUUUGCUGGUGGUUUACUCCAUGAGGAGCCUGUGGUGGAUAGAGUUAAACUCUUAGUUUGGAAGUGGUUCCAGGCUAGGUGCCCUGCUAGUCCCUGCUCUCUCUAUGAGUGGGAGGUGCAGCCCGUCCUGUGUUUGAAUCGGUAGGGUUUUUGGUGGUUGCUUGCCUGGGGUUGCCUGUUGGGUUUGGUGGGGUUGUAUCUCCCCUUCCUUUAUGGUGUGGCCUUGGGGUUUUUUCUUGUUGUUCUUUGUGCUUGCAGGUGUUUGCUGGGCUUGCCGCUUUCGUUGGCAAUCGGCUUUUGGUGCAUUUUUAUUUUGGUGCUUUUGCUCUCUCUGGGGCUUUCUCUCUUUGGGUUCGGUCUGGCCCUGCCUGUGGGGUGUGAUGUGCUGUUUCCUUUGGGGAGGUUUGGUGGAGAGUCGUUUGUUGGCUCCUUUUGUGUAUUUUGUUAUAACUAUUGCGAUUUUUUCCUUUUUAUUUAUAUAUAUAUAUAUGGGGAAUGCUACAACACACCCUUCAAUUUAUAUGAAGGUGUGUGUUAGCAUAGAACACCUUUUUGUUAGGACAAAACUAACCAACAUUCCUUUUUGAAAAUAAGCCAAGCUGAAGGGCAAAUAUGUAAUUCAGAGAUUAUUAUUAUUAUUAUUAUUAUUAUUAUUAUUCCAGUUAUUCUCUCCCUUCUCGUCCAAAAAAAAACAAAAAUUAUCUUCUUCCUCAAAUCAACGCAGGUGCAAGGAAAGAAAAAAAUUGGGGUUUCUCACCUAGGAUCACUGUAUUUUAAUUCUCUAAUCAACACCAAAUUCUCUGAUUAUUCAAUUGUAUGUAUGCUUUCAUUAGACACUUUCCUUUAAACAAAAAAAGAAACUAUUUUUUUUUUUUAGUGUUUUCAUGGAAGAAAGACCAAUCGAACCUAAGAAAAAAUAUACAUAAGAUAAGAGAGGUGUUCCUGUUUUGGAGAAUUAGACAUCAAAUUUUUUCUUCAAAAUUUUUAAUUUCAUCUAUAUUCUUUCUCGUUUCUGACUUGUAAGUCUGAAACCCAUGAGAGCCUAACAGAGUGAUGGUGGAGGGUGGAGAGAGAGAGAGUGAAAUUCGCUCCAGGGAAGAAGGGACCUUCAAGAGUGGUUGGAAUGGAGCAAUUUGUGAAAGCAAAGAAUAGAGGAAGAAGAUUGAAAAGGAGAAUAACCGGUUAUAGAAAAUGAUAAUAAUAAUGUGUAAAUUACAUAUGUGCCCUUCAUUUUGGCAUGUUUUCAAAAAGAAAUGUUGGUUUGUUUUGUCCAAAUAAAAGGGUGUUCAAUGCUAACACAAACCAUCAUAUAAAUUGAAGGGUGUGUUGUAGCAUUCCCCUAUAUAUAUAUAUAUAUAUAUAUAUAUAUAUAUAUAUAUUUUGCCAUUGAAAAAAAAAAUAAAAUUUUGAAAUGAGUAUUCAAUCAUUUGAAGAUUUUUUAAGAGUCUAUGUUUUUUGAUGAGAAAUGUAAUACAUAUAUGGUCAAUAUUGCGAUAAAUCCUAACUUGGAUGAAUAGAGUUCCAUCUUGAAUAUAUUUUCAAUAAUCUGUUUAUUAUCAUUAGAACCAAUAAUUUACAUUUAGAAGAAACAAAUGAACUGGUGAACUCUCCGUUUAAAAGAAACAUAAAUGACAUUGUUUGAAAAUUCACAUGCCUGACAAUAUAUUAUGAUGUAAAAUUGAAGUUAUAUGGGGUAUGCUUCUAAAUAUAAUGUGAUAUUCUUAAAUUAAAGGUCAUGCUGUAAAUCCAAGAAUAUGCAAUAGAAAACAAUUUAAUUAAAAUAUUAUUUUGUACCUUAUUUCAUUUCAUUGACAGUCUCUUACACGACAAAACCAUAACUGCAAGGUCCGUAAAAUUAAAAAAUAAAUAAAAUACAAUUAUUGGGAUUCUAGAUAGGACAACAACUAAAUGGUAACUAUAAAAUAGUUUAGCAAAAUGUAUAUUGCAUAUUUGAAUUUUUCCAAAGAAAGAGCUCAUUCUUUAAUGCAUGGUGUAAUAGUACUAUCUUGAGUAUGAGACUCAUACUAUGCGUACGACAUUCUAGUCCAUCUACAUUCUCCUUUAACGCACUUAAACCUUUUAACUCGAGUACUGGGUGGACAAUCAGCAUCAGUUUCACAAUUAACAUAUCCUGUAGUGAAAAAAUAGAAUAAAAUAAUGUUACAAAAAUGAUAUAAACACUAUAUACGAACUACAAACUAAAGAAGGAAAUUUAAAAAGAAUAGAAAAAUAGAUUACCCUCAACAUUAUUUGCAACAAGAAAUAGAAAAAUGAAUAAAAUCAUAGACACAAGCUUAUGAGUAUUAGCCAUAUUUCUCUCUUUUUACAUGCAACAAAUAUAAUUUAUUUGAUCACUUUAUAGUGUAUAAAGUUAUUCGUGUGUUAAGAAAAAUAUAAAUAUUUUUACCUCUUAAGCAUUAUUAAAAUCCCUCCCUAAAUUUAGAACUAUUGUUAAGUGUCUCUUGAUUUGAUUAAUGUGUUAAAUUUGUCCAUUUACUACACUUAAUAAUGGUGUAACGUAAAUACCUUCCAAAUCAUUAGUAUUCAAUAUUUUGGUAAUUAACUUUAUUACUUUGGAUUAUCGAAAGGGGUAAUUUAAUAAAUAAUAAUGCAUCAUUUAAUCGUAUGGAAAAUUUUGAAUGCGGGGGAUAUAAGAUCAAAACACAAAGAGAUCACACUACAAACCACUCAAAAUAUCUAUGAAGUUGAAUGAUGUAGGAUAAGAGUGAAUUACAAUGAUUCAAGUGAAAACAAUACAAUAUGUCCUCAAACCAUUAAGAGCUCCUCUAUAUCUUAUCUCAUUUGUAUUCAAAUACAAAGAAAAAAAACGAAAAACAUAGCCAAUAACUUUACACACGAUGUUAAGUCUUGUAAUCGAGCCCAGAAGUAAGUGUUCUUAUGCUCUUAACACGAUGGAUGAGGUAACACACCCUUAGACUAAUUGGUUUGCCAUAAAGCCUUUUAGUAAUAAAAAUAGCUCUGUGAAUCUUAGGGCUACGAGAAGCUAGAAACGAUUGGAGCUAUGUGAGUGGUAGGUAGCAAUGUAGGGAUAUAGCUCUGUGAAUCUCAGUUAACUUAAGAGGUUAAUAAACGGCUAUUGCGCUAAGAGUCGCAAAGGUUGUACCCAAUUAUAACUCUGUACAUCGCAGUAAUGUUUUAUGAUAACUGAACCUAGUUUAAACCAGACUUUCCAUCUUUAGAUUUUCUAAAACCUUUUACUGCUUUCCCAAACUUAACCUUUUAUAUUUACUGUUGUGACAAAUGAUUUAUUUUAUUUAUGUAAACAAGUUUUCUGCUGAAAAUCUACGCGUAGCUUUAGCUCCACAGUCCAUGUGGUCGAUGUCUAUUUAUACUAUAACUUGAAUGAUGUAUACUUGAAUUCACAGUCGAGGUGUGUUGAAUGAAGUAGAUAAAAUAGUCACAAGGAAGGGGGGUUUGAAUUGUGACCCUUUAAAAAUUAAACCUGUAACUUAAAAUUGAUUCUCAAGUUGAAACUUGAAAUGGCUAAGUUAAAAGCAGACUUCAGAACGUUCUGAUGUUUGAUUGCAAAAACAGUUUAAUAAAGUAAAUGUGUUUGUGUGUGUUGUGUAUGCAGUAAGUAAAGAGUAUAGGGAAGAGAGAAUCAACACACGGAGAAUUUAUAGUGGUUCCCCCAAUGUGGGUUAGUCCACUCCUCACAAUCUUGUGAGAGUUUCCACUAUGAUGCUUGAGAUAACCUCUCAAAUCCUGCACCUUACAAUCUUUGUUCACCUGAACAGUUACAAUUCUGUAUUCUCUAAGCCUCAGCAGGCUUGCACCUUGUUGCUAAGUUAACCACUUAGACUUUUACAAACUCAGCUCAAACUAACACUUUAGUACCCCUAAAGCUAGAUGAGAUUUGUUUUUCUUCUUGCUAAGUUGCCCACUUAGACUUUUGCUCCUUCUGCUCAAACUAACACUUUAGCACCUCUAAAGCUAGAUGAGACUUUCUUUUCUUCUUGCUAAGUUGCCCACUUAGACUUUUGCUCCUUCUGCUCAAACUAACACUUUAGUACCCCUAAAGCUAGAUGAGACUUUACAAGAUGUUUGAAGCUUGAAUGAUUGAAAUCAGACAAGAGAAGAAAGGAAGGAAGUGUUAUCUUUAAAGAGAUAACAAAGAGUAUUGAUGUGCACUAAGGAAACAAGAGCCUUAGAGAUUGAUCAAUUUCAAUUUGCAAGAGCUUCAAACAAUCAAGUUGUUUUCUUGUAUGCUUUGCAAUGGUGCAAGUUUUGCUAAUGCCUUGAUCUCUAUUUAUAGAGUCUUUGGGCUCAUAUAGCCGUUGUAGGAUGUCCAAUGGUGUUAUGCCAUGUGUCCUGGGUCCCACAAGCUUUAACUUGAAAUUCUGGGCAAACAUUCUGAUCUCUGAUGAACAUCAGAAUGUUGUUGUGUUCAUGAUGAUCUUCAUCUGGGUUCAUCAUGUUCUUCAUCUGGGUUCAUCAUGUAUGAAUGAACACAUGAAGUUCUGGGCUAUGCAUAUGUUUUUCAUAUGAAAUUCUGGACAAUAACCAAUGUAUGGACUUUUCUUCAUACAUCAGAAUGUUCCUUUCCCAGAUUUUGUCUUGGAACCGGUGCAGGAGGAUUUAGUGGGAUUCUGCAUCUUCAUGCCCAUGCUUUGAGGGAUUGUGUGGUCCUUGUACUGUACCAACUCCCAUAUGUGUCUAUCUCUUGUUGAUCAAGACAGAUUUGCUUUUUGCUUUUCACCUACUAUACUGUUCAUAAAGUAAGCAUGUGCUGAGCUGAACAUUCUGACCAUCAGAAUGUUUAAUAUUCAUGAUUUUCUUCAUCUGGGUUCAUCAAGGAUGAAUGUCUGAUGAGUUUCUGGGUCCAUCCAAUACGUGACAUGAGAUUUGUUCAAGUUUUAUCCUUCAAAAGUUACUUCACCAUAUGCAUCAAAAGUUGCUUGAAAAAGUAGGAUAAAGUUGAUUCAAAUCUGUCUUGGAUUUGGUUCAGGAGAGAGAGAGAGAGGAUAGUGGAUCUGCAAUCUUCAGGCCCAUGCUUCAAGGAGAUUUGCUUGAUUCAUCUCAGAGUACAGGUUAUCUCUGAUGCAAGAUCUCCUUUGCUAGCUUUUUCCAUCUUUCCACCAACUACACUGUUCAUGGCUGGAAGCAUGUGCAGAAGUGAACAUUCUGAUCUCAUAAUGUUCCAUUUGUUCUUACUUUAGGUUGAUUUAUAAGACUUAACUUUUAAUGUAAUCAAACCUAAUAGUAAGAUACAACUGAAGUGCAGUGAAUGCAUCAUCUAGGACAAUAUUCUCUUUGGAAUAUUCCUAGUACUUUAAUGUUCAUCAUCUUGGAUGAACAUUAAAGAUCCUUUUUACAUAGAUCCUUGUCCAUGCCUUUAUUUGUUGAUAGAUCCAUGCAGAUGUACUUUUCUGGACCUUUUAUUCAUGUCAAGUGUACUUGCAUGCUCUUCAUGUUCUUGAUAAAUCUGGGUUGCUUCUGAACAACCUUCUGAACUGGGUUGCUUCUGAACAACCUUCUGAACUGAGUUGCUUCUGAACUCUCAUCAGAACGUUCUGAUCAACAUUCUGAACUAACUUUCUGAACUUCAGAGUUAGUUCAUGGAUUCAAUGUCCUUUGAUUUUAUGCAUCUUGGUAUGAUUCAAACCUUGUUCCUGUCUUAGUGAAAACACUCAAGAGCACAAGUUAAAUACCAAGGAAUUAAUCAAAGUCCAUUUAAUCCUUAAUCAUUAAAGUUUAUUAUCUUUAAAAUUAAUUAGGGAUUUUGCCUCAACAUUGAAUUCACAUUUUUCACUUUUGAAAUUCUUCUUUUGUGCACUUGUGAAUUCCAUUUCCAUUGAAGGCACUUGUGCACUUGUGAAAUUCACGUUCUCUUCAUUCACGUGUUGAGUGAAUUGUUGGAUUUUUCGGUGGUUGAUCACUAUAUUUAAUUAUCCACCAUUUCAUUACGUGAUUGCUUUCCUUGUAUGUUCCAAUUUUAUUUUGGUUAAAUUGGUGCUUGCGUACGGAUUUCUGUUUGAUUUCGAUCCCAGCUACCAUGUUCAACUGGCAGACUGAGAUGUAUGUUCCGGCAGCGCCCCCAAAGGCUGCGAGGGUUGUCACACCGCCCCCACCAGUCGCUUCUCUAGUGAUUUCGUUUGCACAGGCUUUGACAGCUUCGACCAAGGCUGUCAGAGGGUGUGUUGGCGUUUGGUAGACCAUGAGAUUAAAUUGUCACCAAGAUAAACACAGUAACCAGAAGGGAUCGCCUGGAGUCCGGUCAACCAACCCAAUCUGCAUCAGUGUAAGAAACCAAUUUGCUGACAUUGGAGGGAUAUAAGUGAAGGCCGAAAUCAAGAGUGACAUGAAUAUACCGAAUGAUACGCUUUAGUGCUGACAUAUGUUGCAUUUUAUGGUCAUGCAUGAAUAGGCAUACUUGUUGAGUCAUGAUAUGGAUUCCCAGAAGAGCCACUGUGUUUUGCGUUGGUGUCGACUGGAGUGGGUGAUGGUUUGCAAGAUGACAUGUCUGCUCGUUCUUUAAUUUCCUUUGCAUAUUUUCUUUGAGACAAGAAAAGACCACAUGUGUGUUUAGUGACAGAUAUUCCCAGAAAGUAACUUAGAGGACCCAAGUCCUUCAUGGUGAAUUUAGAACUAAGUUUAGACAUAAUAGAGUCCAGAAGAGCAUCAGAUGAAGUAGUGAGAAUUAUGUCAUCCACAUAUAGAUGGAUAUAUGCAAUAUCAAGGACACGAUGAAAAAUGAAUAAAGAGUGAUCAUAGAUGUUGUGAGAGAAACCCAAUGUGGCAACAUAAUCAGUGAAUCUUUGGUACCAGGCACGUGGUGCUUGUUUUAAAUAAUAGAGAGAUUUCUUGAGGAGACAAACAUGCUCAGGAUAAUGUGGAUCAGAAAAUCCAGGAGGUUGGUGCAUAUACACAGUUUCGUCAAGCUUUGCAUCGCUUAAAAAAACCAUCAGAUUUCUUUUUGUGCCUAAAAAUCCACAAACUUUGAAUAACAUUACCAUUAGAGGGACGGGGAACUAGCUCCCACAUCUUAUUUUCAAUAAGAGCAUAAUAUUAGUCUUUCAUGGUCAUUUUCCAAUUAGAAUAUCUUAAUGCAUCAAUGGGGAAUGUAGGUAAAGGAGAGAUAGUUUGGUUGGUUGAUGUGUGUAGGUUGAAAAUUGUAUGACGUUUGACAAUACCGUGUUGUGAACGGGUUCUCAUUUGAGGUGACUAACGUACAGGUGGGGAAAUGGGUGUUGGAAUCGGUGGAGAAGAGGUGGUAGGUGUUGUUUGUGGAGAUGAGUUCGUUUUCUAGGAGGGAGAAAGUGUUUGAACCGUGGGUGUAGGUUGUUGGGCCGAGGAGGUUGGUGAGAG